UUGUCAAGAGCGUCACCGGCAGCAAGAUCCUCCGCAUCCUCAAGGCCCAUGGUGAGAACUACAUCCCUAUCGCUCGAUUCACAUGUUGCCAGUGGCGAAGCCUGAGGUACAGUGAGUGUGAGGCUGGCAAAUCUAAACCUUCAUCAGGAAAAUAUACCAAGAUACGGAAGCAUCCUUUAUAGAAUUGCAAAACCAGGAGGGGUCAUGGCCCUAAUGAAGCUCCACCUCGGCUUGUCGGUAUUUUGUGAUUUGUACUGUAAUCAUGUUUCAUGUGCACGUGUAGGGCUGGCACCAGAAAUCCCCGAGGACCUGUACUUCCUCAUCAAGAAGGCGGUGGCGAUAAGGAAGCACCUUGAGAGGAACAGGAAGGACAAAGACUCUAAAUUCAGGCUCAUUCUUGUGGAGAGCAGGAUCCACCGCCUUGCCCGCUACUACAAGCGCACAAAGAAGCUUCCACCCACCUGGAAGUAGUAAGUCAACCAGAACCCAUUCCUUGCCUCAACCAUGGAGUUGCGAACUGUCAGUUAUCUUGGUGAUUUGUAUCAUGUGUUUGAUGUGAGAGUCAAUGUGCACCAAUACUACAUAGGAGCUGUUCUAGACACAUUAGUUGUGUGUGGUAUGCUUUUAUUCUAAUCAACUGAAGCUAGAUAUGCAUAUCAUGGGCUCUGUUGUAUCUACAAGGGCGGAGGUUUAGGCAAUCGUGUUUACUAUUUCACUGUUGUUCUGAUUGUAGUCUUUGUGAGCACCAGAUAAAUUGUCAAAAUACAUACUAUUUGACUUUAAUGCUAGCUUAGACAUGUUGAAGUGUGCUUAUGUGUUAGUGGGGAUUGACACAUUUUUGUUGUCUAUUACACUGGUACACUGCUUGUAUUCAUUCUGAAUACUUAACAUUAGUGGGGACUGACACAGUUUUGCUGUCUAUUACACCGGUACACUGCUUGUAUUCAUUCUGAAUACUUAACAUCGACAAAGUACAAUUGACUUUCCUUAAAAUACUAUUAGCAGGUAGUGUCCUUGUCCCUGGAAUAUAACAUGUGUUGAUGAGGGUUUGUUGUAAAAUCAUUAGUGGUAUGAUGUAUACAAGUACAGAUGUUGAGUUGAGUAAAGAUUACUGGUUUUGCAGAGCUACAUUUGUAUUAACUUGGACUAAACUGUAAACUUAGACUGUGAGGCUAAAUUUGCUAUGCUCUGUGAAUAGAGUGAAACAUCCCAUUCUGAUUAAUUCAGUUAUCGAACUGUUAUUUACUAAAUAUUGAUUACACACAUACUGCACCUCAACUGUUGUCUGUUUGAAUUUUAAUUGCUUUUGGAUCUUGUUGCAUAUAUGACUGACCUUGUUUCCUUGUUUUUGUGCAGUGAGUCAACCACAGCGAGCACUCUGGUGGCCUAAGUGUGGUAUCCUCCGACAGCUUGUUCUAGAUAUGAAUUUGUGUAAUGCUUCUUAUGUCUCGAUCCGGUUAAAUGGACAACGGACCUCAUCUUUUUUUAUGUUUACCUUGAGAAUCCCGUAAACCAUUUUGGGGUUUUGAAUUGUCUGUUAAACGUAACAUGCAUAUGUUUUGAAGCCUAGGGUGAGCUUUUACUUCACCAUCACUUAUUAUUGUUGCUUGUUCAUACGUGGCAUGGUUUUUUUGGUUAUUAUAUGACUAAAAUGUCCACUUUGAUCGCACAUACCAGAUGUGUUUUUUCUCGAAAUAUAUGCAUAAGACCAAUCUGCACGCAUUUGUAAACGGUGUUUUAAUCGUCAGAAACCCUAUGCCUGACGCACGCUCAAAUUUACGCUAAUUUGUCAUGGACAUGGCUGCUCGGCCUUUUUUUAGAGAACAGGAGGGGGCUUACUGAAAAUUUUAUUUAAACUAGAAAGAAAACAUUGUUUAGAACAAACAAAUAGACGGAUUACAGAAGGUUCUACUGCCAUUGCUGAAGCCAUGUCGGGAUGGCAGAAUCGAAUCUAUCUAGAGCUCUAUGAGUGACUAGGAGUAAUUCUUUUGCAAACUCAUGCUUGCAUUGUUGCACCGUUGGAUCUUUGUUCUGAAAAAGCCAAGUAUUACGAUACUUCUAAAUGCUUUAGGUCAUGAGAAUAAUGAUCUCCAUAUAGAAGGGAACAUUGAGUUGCUGUUUUAGAUUUGCCGCAGCCUCCUCUGGAUUAGCAAUUCUAGGGGGUAUCAAACCGAUUGAAUUCCAGCAGUUGCACCUGAGGAAGAGAUGAUAAAGAGUUUCCUCCUUCUGCCAGAUGUAGUUCUCGCAGGUGUAAGACUCAAGUGUCAUGUUUUUCCUCCUUAGCAUAUUCCUUGUGUUGAGUCUGUUUUUUAACCAUAGCCAAUAAAAGACUUUAUCUUUUGGUUGACAUUUAUUUUUCCAAAGCGAUAUGAAAAUCUCAUGAACUUGAGACUGACCCAUCAAAUGCCUAUAAGUGUUUUUCGUAGAGAAAAUUUCAGAUCCCAAAUGAGCUUCCAAGUGUCCUUUGCGUUGGUCACCGUGAUUUGUUCCCAAGCCUCAUUUAAUUCAAGAUACUGUUCGUAGGCUUGCACAGACAGAGGAAGCUGAAAAAUCUCAAAGGAAUUAUCUUUUUGCUUAGCUUCUUUGAUAGAGAGUUUGCUGUUGCAGGCAAAAGAAAAUAAUUCCGGAUAUUGCUGAGCCGGGAUGCCCUUAUUCCACAGAUCUCCCUAGAAAAGAAUCCCAUCACGAUACAAAUGCAGCUAAGUUCAUAUGGUGUCGACGAAUAUGAAUGCAGCUGAGUUCGACGAAUAUGAAUGCAGCUGAGUUCAAAUUGGUUUAGCAACAUUCUGAUCAUUGUGUAUACGAUCGUGUAAAAAUAGAAGGUGAGAUAGCAGAGAUGCUAGAGAUAGCCUUAGAAACCAUUUUCAACACCUUCUAAGGGCUAGUUUGAAAACUCAAAUCCUUCAAGAUUGAAGGGGAUUGGAGGGAAAAUUAGUUUAUUUUUAUCUCAAUUCCCUCCAAUCUCGAAGGGGAUUUGAGGUUACUAAAGUAGCCUUAAAGGGUUAUAUUCUAAAUUUAUUGGACGAUGGCCUCCUUUGCCUCCAACAAUCGACGCUACAAGAUCUGCUAAACUAUAGCGUGUAAUGGACGCUAAAAGUAGGGAUGGCGACAGGUUUAAAACCCGCGGGUACAGAGAUUACAAACCCGUACCCGCGAGAUUAAUGUUAAACUUGUACCCGCUACCCGCGACGGGUAGUGUAUGUUACCCAAACCCGCUACCCGCGGGUUUAUGGCACCCGCGGGCACAAUCAUAUAAUAAAUAUUUAUUAAACUGAUAAAAACCUGUACUGAUCUUAGCCAAAAGUUCUACGAGUUUCUUGACACAUGUAGUCUUCUUUUAUAUCAUUUGAUUGGCGCCGCUCGCUCAAAGCUUUCGGGGUGGCACUAAAUUGAGAUGCAUGUGCUCUACAGUCUACACAGACACACAAUGCACACCACACAUACGCAGGCAUGGGCGCUCGACGCAAACUGUUUUAAUAGCAGGGCACAGUGGAAAUGUGUUUGCUGUUGCCAAGGGCCAAGGCCCAUUAGCUAGCUACCAAAGGCCGUGAGGAGGGGACUGGGCGGACGCUUCCUGUUUCACGCUGAGGCCGUGACGAGGGGGUUGUGUGCACGGGGCCAUGAAGCCACAGAGAAAGUCGUCAUAUUAUACACACACACGGGUAUGCGGGUUUGCGGGCACGGGUAUAACAUUUUCAUACCCACGAGAAAAAAUCCGUCGGGUUGAGAAUCAAACCCGUACCCACGGGUACAAACUCACACCCAAACCCGCACCCUAUAGGGUUUUUACCCGCGGGCACGCGGGUAAAAUGUGCAUGUUGCCAUCCCUAGCUAAAAGGUUCGCUCGUGUAUUUGUCAUCAAAUCUAGCGAACAAUUGGAGAGUUCUGCGUUGUGGUAGUUGUCUUCCAGCGCUCCCAUCUCGGUGGGGAUAGCCAGCGUAGCCCGCGUGUCACAGAGAUGGCGCUAUACAUAGCGUGUAUUUGUCAUUGUUAUGAAAGAUAAGCAGCUGCUGAUUGCUUCCAACCGACGUUCUCCAAGGGACGUGCCCCUUGCACGAUCUCCACGUAGAACAUGGUCAACUGACCCAUUGGCCUCCUCCUCUCAGUGUCUCCUUCACUUGUAUAAAUACCGUUGCAAUAAAGAAUAAAGAACACAUGGAUUUUGUUCACUGUUCAUUCUCGCACACCAGUUUUACUUUUCAUCACGUCAUCAGCACUUGCUUUCACAAAAAGAGCAAAGGCCAGAGAAGACAACCGGAGGCAAGAAAGUUCUCCAUAGAAGCAAAACAAUCAUCGGGUACGCGAUGAUCUACAAAGAUCUUUUUGUUGCCCUUCUUACCUUCAUCCUUCGGUUUUUGAACGGUGGCCAUCGUCGCCGGUGAGGUGCUGACCUUGUCGCACGUCGCCUUCUACGUGCUGCGCAUCGACAUGGACGCCGCUAUGCCAAGAAGCGCCACAAGAAGGAUGCCCGAGCCACACUUGACCCUAAGCAUGUCCGCCAGACCGGUGGUGAUCCUGGCGCUGGACCCAGCAACGCCGCAGCACCGUCGCAGCAACCGCCAGCGCCACGUCAAGACCGAUGGAUGCAUCCUCCAUCGCCUUCGCCGGAGCGGGUUGCAGAGCGGUUGCGUGAGUCCGAGACCCAGCAACCGCUCCGUCCGAUGCGGUACUGCCCCCUCCAUGGAUGGGGGCCGUGUCCUGCUCGCCAACCGUGGGUUUCUCCGUCGGGUGCACACACCACCGCUACCGCUGUUCGAUCGAGCGGACUGCUCAUUCAAGUUGCCUCUCCAGCGCGCCCUCGUGCUUGGACACGGUUGACUGCGCGGAAAUCAACCGACCCUCGCGGUCGCCCCGUCGGCCAGAUCGCAUCAACGUCUACUGUGACCGUUGCCAUCGACGACAUCUCUUCCUCCUCCGACGAUGAGAGGAUCGCCUUAGUCCUCGGCGACGGGGUGCAGCAGCGGCUGCCUACUCCGACUCCCGACGUCGGCCCAUCGGGAACGGUCUCACCACCGACGCUCUUGAGCCCGAGCGGCAACAGUGUGGUCCGUCGGCUGGCGCACCACCUUUCCCCACGGCCGCGCGCGCCGCGGUCGUGGUCUGCGACAGCAAGACCGUCCGACGACGACGUUCGCGAGCGCUCACGCUCACCGUCUCUCCUGAUGCGCGGCCUCAGCGGGCACCUUGACGUCGCGCGGCCCCGACAAGGGGCUCUGUGCGGCCUCGGCCUCGCCCGGCACCCGUGAGGAUGGCCCCGGCCUAGGCGGCGCGGGCUCGCCCCCUCACCCUCGGCAUGGCUGGUGCGGGCUCAGCCCCGACCUAGGCGGUGCGGGCUCGCCCCCCACUCUCGGCAUGAAUGGCGCGGGCUUGGCCUCCAGCCUAUGCGGAUCAGCCUCACCCAGCGCCCAGCGAAGACGACGCGGCCUCGGCACCCAUCCCCGGCAUGGCCGGUGCGGGCUUGGCCCCGGCCUGGGUGGUGCGGGCUCACGCCCCCGCCCCCGGCAAGGACGGCGCGGUCUCGGCACCUGGUGCGGCCGAUGCAGCCCUUGGCGGCAAGCUCCUCGGCAGCGAUGGCUGAUGGGGGCAGUUAGGGUUGCCACCCCUUAAAGAGGCCGCGCACACCUAUGUUUGGGCCGACCAGCUUGCCCAUAGCGCCACACCUACCCACGCCUUGUUAGCUAUUUUUAUUUUAUUUUAGCUAUUUUUAGUUUUCUAAAUUCUAGAAAAUUUAGAUUGCUUUCAUUACAGAUGUUUAGAAAUUUAAGACUCAGUUCUUAAACCUCUCAGUAGCAGCUUGAGUCAGGAAUUUUUUCAAAGUUUUAGUACUUGGAAAUGAUGUCAAUAAAUAUUUUCUUUAAAUAUGAUAUUUAUUGCCAUGUGUUUUAUUUUGCAUUCCUUAAAAAUGCAAACUAAAAAAAUAAUAUUCAUCUCAAUUAUACCCAUAGUGGUUUAAUACGAGCAGAAUUAAUUUUUGAUAAAUAUAUAGAAUAAUUAAUAUUCAUCUCAAUUAAGUUAUUCAAAACUUAAUAGGAGCAAGAAUAUUUAUUUAUUCAAUUCCAUACGCAAUUGAUGCUACUCAUAUAUUCAUCUUAUUAAGUUACUACUAGUACUUAAUUUCAUCUGAAUAUUUUAUAUAGUACAUCAUUAACAUCAUAAUGAAUUUUUUGAUCUCUUGCAUCACUUUGCAAUUGAGACCUUAAACUAUCAUUCAUCUAUGCGAUAUCACAUUAUAUUGCAUAUUAUUCAUCUCAAUUGGGUUUUUUCUCUUAAAUCCAAUACAAGCAAGAAUACAUAUAUGUUGUGAACACCACACAUAUUACAACACACCCAUGAUGAUUUUUAAUGAAAUUCUCUGGUUGCUUGUGUAGGAUCAUGGCCCGCGAGUUCAAAGAACUUGCUCUUGAUGGUCACAACUAUCCUACCUGGGCGUUGGAUAUCAAGAUAAGCUUAGUCUCAAAGAAUAUUUUGAGUGCAUUACUCCCUCCCAACGAGAGGGUUGAACCACUACAUGAUGCUUAUAAGUACAAUGCUUUGUACAUUAUAAGACAUCACCUCCAUCCUGAUCUAAAAGCAGAAUAUGUGAUGGAAGAAGAGCCAAAUGUAUUAUGGUUAUCUCUUAAAAACAGCUAUGAGCAGCAAAAGGCUGUAAUCUUACCAGAGGCGAAUCAUGAAUGGACCCAUAUUCGUCUGCAAGACUAUAAGUCUAUUGGUGAUUACAACCAUGCUGUUCAUAAGAUGCGGCAAGGAACCAUCAGAUGCGGAUAAGAUUGAAAAAACACUUCAAACUAUGAUCCCAUUUGAUAGAGUCCUGUAGCAUCAAUACCGUGCUCGCCAUUAUCAGACUUACUCUGAACUCAUACAUUAUCUACUUCAGGCAGAAAAGCAUGAUGAGCUUACGAUGAAAAAUCAUAAGCAACGUCGUGUUGGAGCUGCUCCUAUGCCUGAAAUACAUCAUGCUGUGAAGAAUGGGAAGAAAAAGGAUGGCCCCAAAAACCAUCCAAUUGGGGGCCUUCCUCUUCCGAAGGUCCUCAAAAACUUAAUCUAACAUAUUUUUUAGUAUCAGACCGUUACAGGAGGCUUCAGCUUUGAGGUAAAGGUGUGUCUAGUAUGAAGGUGUGGUCUGAAGGAAGGACAAUGUUGUGGCUGAAGGAGCUUUGGUUUGGCAAGACGACGAUGUUGAAAGGAGAAACCGACCUAAAGGAGAAAAGACUGCUUAGUCCUCAAUAGAUUGCCUUACGGUUAACAGUAAAUGUCAAGGGCAUGAAUGUAAUUUUGUCCAGGAUGAAUGUAAUUUUGUCCAGGCUGCGUCCUGUUCCUAUAAAUAGAUGAACAGUAACACCGUACUGUUCACGCUGACUUGUAAUCACCAUCGCGUCACUCCCAUUUUUCACCUUCUGUCAAGCUGAAGGUACAAAUGCAACAUAAAUGUUAUUGAUGCUUAUUCAUGUUUAUAAAAUAAGAAUAGAAAUAGUUCAAUAAUUUGGGAAAUAAUUGUUCAUAUUUUCUGUGUUUCAUAUGUCUCUGUUUGCAUCCUUGCUUACUGAAAUGAUGAAGGUAUGCCCUUCAUGACCUUCGUCUGAAGAUCAUUAUAUCCCCAAGGGAUAUAAUGCUUCGAAGGACGAAAGUCCCUAAUCGUUAACAAUUGUGUUGCUUUGUUCUUGGUGUGUAGCAUCCGAGAGCAAGGACCAACAUUGGCGCCCACCUCCGGUGAACUCAUUCGACCACCUUCGGCAAGCAUCGACCUUCGUCAUGCCACCGAAGAAGACAGCAGCGCCAGGGGCUGCACUGCAGCCACUGGACGUUACUCAAGAAACGCUACGCAAAGCUAGGAGCCUGAAGAGGAAGGCUACCAGCCCAACACCUCAGGAGGAGGAACUGGACCAAGAAAUCAGGGAUCUCGAAGCUAUCCAUCAAUAGGUCCAAAGGAAGAGAGAGAAAAUGCUUCAGCUCGCUGAUUUCUAGAGGAAGAUUGAUGCGACCGUCGAAGAAAUGCGUCAUCUCACCCAGGAUGACCAAGAUCGAAGGCCCCAAUACAGGGAGCUUCGUCAAGAAAAUUCAUACAAUGAUGAUGAAUGGUAUGGUGAUUUUCACCAUGGCAAUUUUGCUUUUGAUGAUGCUUCUCCCUUGGCAGCAGAAUUACAGGCUACCCCAUGGCCCCCAUCAUACAAGCCACCUUAGCUUCCUAUGUAUGAUGGGCACUCAGACCUGAAGCAGUUCCUGAUGAGCUACGAAGCAACCAUAUCUUCAUAUGGGGCAAUACUGUAGUCAUGACGAAAUCCUUCGUCAUGGCAGUCAAAAGCGUAGCGCAAACUUGAUACUCUUCUCUUCGGCCAGGGACAAUCACAUCCUGGCAGAAGCUAAAGGACAUGCUGGUCACUAGCUUCUAGGGCUUUCAAACGAAGCCACUCACCGCUAAGCUCUAUUCCAGUGCACACAGGAUCAGGAAGAGUACCUCCAGGCGUAUGUUCGAAGGUUUCUCCGACUGAGAGCUGAGGCGCCUAUAAUGCCCAAUGAGAUUGUCAUUGAGGCCAUGAUCAAGGGGCUCAGACCAGGACCAAUGACACAAUAUUUCACAAGGAAGCCGCCCCAAACCUUGGAGAAGCUUCUCCAGAAAAUGGAUAAAUACAUAAGAGCUGAUAAUGAUUUCCGGCAAAGAAGGGAAGAAGCUUACAAGUACUCUGAGAUGGCCAGGGGCUUCGGAGGAAGAUCCCACCCCAGGCAUGUCAGGUCAAUCCAUAACGUCAGCCCAAGUGAUGAAAGGGGAAGUCAACCCCAAAGGCAACAUCAUAGCUCCCAAUCAUCAGGGCCGCAACAGGGUUCCUUCAGGCCACCAGCUCCAAGAGGCAGAGGGGGCAGAAGCUUCAGAGGAAGAUACGGAGACCAGCCCAGGAGACUGUUUUGUCUGUUUUGCAGCGAAGACAAGGGCCACACCAUAAGAACGUGCCAGGUCACGAUUCAGAAGCAGAAAGAGCUUGCCAAAGCUAAAGCACGACAGAAUCAGCUGAAGCAAGUCUUACAUACUACUUGAUGCUACUCUCCCUACGUCCCCGAGUACGUAGGUAAUCAAUAGCCUACGACCUCUGUUGCUUUGACGAGCCACUCUCAAGCUUCCUGGGCCCAACUCCCACCACCACCACCACUAGCACCUACUCUGGCCCGAAGCCAAUAGCCAGAAGGGCACCAACACGCUCAACAACAACACGAUUUUCGGGAGGAGUCCGAAGCUCGCAUAGUCAAUAGCACUAUGCCUGAAUCCAAACACAUCUACCGUUUUAUCUUUCUUAUAUGAAAAACAAUUCACGAAGGAUUAAAUUCCGUUUUCAUGUAAUAAUAUUGUACUCAUAUCAUCGAGUGGAAUACUUCCUCUUAACAAGAUUUCGAAGCUAGAAAAUUCGUCCCUAAGGGAGCGCAGAGUAAGUUCCAAAGCUACAAAAGUCGUUCCUAAGGAAGCGCAGAGUAAGUUCCGAAGCUACAAAAGUUGUUCCUAAGGGAGCACAGAGUAAGUUCCGAAGCUCAAAAGUCGUUCCUAAGGGAAUGCAGAGCCAAAAUACCACCAAAAUAGAAGGUGAAGAAGCUCCAAAGUCGUCCCUAAGGGGAUGCAGAGCUUAAAUGCCACCGAAGUAGAAGGUGAAGAAGCUCCAAAGUCGUCCCUAAAGGGAUGCAGAGCUUAAAUGCCACCGAAAUAGAAGGUGAAGAAGCUCCAAAGUCGUUCCUAAGGGGAUGCAGAGCUUAAAUGCCACCGAAAUAUAAGGUGAAGAGACUCCAAAGACGUCCUUAUGGGGAUGUAGAGUCUGAGAGUGUUUUCCGUACGGAUAUGUCUUUGGCAUAAACAUCAUGAUGCAUUAUAUCAUCGCAUCAUUCCGCAUAGCAUUACAUCAUACAUCAUGUCGCAUCAACACUGUGAAUCAUCUAGGCCCCUUUGAUAAUGUUUUGGUAAUUAAUGACAACUACUUGUGGACUAACGAUUCUUGGAGAAAUAAGAAUGCAGGGUUGGACCACAUAGAAAUGAAAUGUUGAAGAGUCAUACGCAUUGGUUGUGGAUCAGAUGAAGGCAAAGGUAUAAUAUAGGUUUUACUUUUGCCGGUCUUGAGGAGUUUAGAGAAGAUACCUGACCGGAUUAGUAGGCUAGAUAGCCAUACUAUUAAGAGGGGUCAAUGACUUAGAUCUGUGUAAAACUUAGUGCCUCAUAAAGCAUCAAGUAGUUGCAUUUGCAUAAGGACUAACAGCGCUUCUCAUUUAGUGAGUUAUAAGUUCAUUCAAAAGGAUGUUUGAGAUUUGAGAAGUCUUGGUCACGCGGACUGUCCGGCCCUUGGGGGCGGACCGUCCGCGAUCCUCCAGAGGGUCCGAGGUUUGACCAUUUGUGUUGGCUCUAUGUUCUUUUUGCACUGCGGACCGUCCGGGCCUUAGGGCCGGACCGUCCGCAGUCCUGACCAGAGGAAGGUGGCUUCGGGUCAGUCCCUGAAUUAUAGCCGGACGGUCCGCCUGUGAGGCGCGGACGGUCCGCAUGUGUCUAACUCAUUUUUGGACAGGGACUGUGCGUUUUUAUAGAUUUGUACUACGGACGGUCCGGGGGACCAGUCCGGACAGUACUGUCUCAGGUCGCGGACGGUCCGGGAUUUAUAGCCGGACGGUCCGCGUGUGUUAACUCCGUUUGAUCCGAGGCUCGGGUGUUUGAAAUUGCCAGGUCGCGGACGGUCCGGCCUUGAUGGGCGGACUGUCCGGACCCACCUUUUUGAGUCUGCUCUGACAUGUUUCAACGGUCAUUAUAGCCGUUAUGGUGUACGGCGGACCGUCCGGCCCUAGGGCGCGGACGGUCCGCGUGUGCGCAGAACUGCCCUCUUUUGCUCAUAACGGUUGGUUUUUGAUGGGGGACUAUAAAUAGAAGGGUAGCUCGUGUGUGAGACCUCUCUUGGCCAUUCCUUGCAUACAUUGAGCUCAUUUGUGAUCCUCCAACUCACUCUCUCACACUCUUUGCUUGAGAUUGCAUUCUAGUGAGAGAUUGAGGGUUCCUAGUGCAUUUGCAUCAUUUGGUGAUUCUUGAGGCACUAGGUGGUACACCGAGCAAGCGUCGUUGGCUUGUUACUCUUGGAGGUUGCCGCCUCCUAGACGGCUCGGGUGAUUGUCUCCGUCGAGCUCUCCAAGAAGAUUGUGGUGAAGCCGCGGUGUUGAUUGUGAGGGGUUCGCGCCUACCUCGCCGGAGCGGCAAAGGUGACAUUAGUGGAAUCGAGGUAUUGAGUGAUUUCUUGUCCACUUGGCUCAAAGAUCAAGUCGUGUCUUGAUAGAGGAGCAAGUGAGAGCUUGAAGUCCACCUCAACGUGGAUUAGGGGUGAUCGGCAAAUCACCGAUACCACGGGAUAAAUUUCGGUGUCUAUUCCUUCUAGCAUUACUUAUUGCCUUGCAAUUGAUUAGUGUUUUGCUUAUUGUUCUUCAAGUAUUCAAUCUCCGUAGUUGUCUUUCAUACAUUGUUUACUUAUUGACACUAGUAAAUUUAUUCCUCUUGUUGUAUUGAUUAAAUUUACUUAGUAUUAUUGUUUUUAGUCAAAACCGUCUAUUCACCCCCCCUCUAGCCGGUGUCCUAGAUCCUACAAGUGGUAUCGGAGCCGAGGACUCCAUUGUUUGUGGAUCUAAUCAUCCCGGAGUGGGACAAAAUGGCUAGUAACAACAAUGUGCACAUUGGGAAGCCACCGCACUUUGAUGGAAACAAUUAUGAUUAUUGGAAAAUAAGAAUGUCAAUGCAUCUUAGAGCAAUGGGUGGAAAAAUUUGGCCAAUUGUUAGAGAUGGAUUCGUUGUAUUGAAGGAAGAUGAACCAUCCGUUAGUGAUAAUGAGAAUAUCCUCACAAAUGAUCAAGCCAUGAAUGUCUUUUAUGAUGCUCUUGAUAUAAAUGAGUUCAAUCGUAUCAAGAAUCUCACAACCGCUCAUGAGAUUUGGGUAAAACUAAUGGAAAUUCAUGAAGGAACUACAAUUGUGAAGAGUGCCAAACUAUAUGUGUGCAAAGGGAAGUUUGAGCAAUUUAUUAUGAAAGAAGAUGAGAGUGUAUCCGAUAUGUUCAAUCGAUUGAAUGAGAUUGUAAAUGAACUCAAAGGACUUGGUUUUAAUGUACCGGAUGUGGAUUUCACACACAAGUUCCUUAGAUCACUUCCGGAGAAAUAUGAGACUAUUGUGACAAUGCUAGUAAGGAGUGAUCUAUCUACAACCUCUCCAACCGAAGUAUUGGGAGAAAUUCUCACUCAAGAUAUAUUUAAGAAGUCACAAGCCGAUGCUUUAAGUUUGGCAAAGAAGGUGAAAAAUGAAUCUAUUGCUCUCAAAGCCAAGGCCUCAAAGGCAAUUGAAAAGGAAGAUAGCAAUGAUGAAGAAAAUGAAAGCGAGAGUGAUGGUGACAUGGCUUUAUUUGUAAGGAAAUUCAAUAAAUUCAUGAAGAUGAAAAGAGGUCAACCUAGAAGAGGUCAAACAUCUAGAAGAAAUGCUUUCAAUGAUAGAAAAUGUUUUGAGUGUGGGGAACCCGGUCACAUUGCCAUGAAUUGUCCAAGCAAGAAGAAGAAGGGCAAAGAUGAAAGUGACAAGAAGAAAAAGAAAUACUAUAACAAGAAGAAAGAUGGCAAAGCCUACUUAGUUGAAUGGGACUCGGAUGAUAGCUCGGAUGAUGAUGAUGAUGACACCUCAUCCAAGCUUAAUGCCGGAAUUGCCAUCAAGGAAGCUCCCUCACUCUUCUCAUCCCCCCAUUGUCUCAUGGCAAAGGGAGAUGCUAAGGUAAAAAUCAUCACCGAUUUAAAUGAUAUAAAUGAUGAUGAUGAUAUCGAUGAUGUUGAUGAUGAUGGCUAUUCAUAUGAUGAUCUUGUUAGAAUGUUAGGUGAGGCCGAUGACUACAUGCACAAAGAAAAAGAAAAAUUUAAGGCCUUGAAGGAAUUGUAUAAAAACCUCCAAGUGUCUUUUGAGGAGCUCAAGACCUCUCACAAUGACCUCAAAGAAAAUUGUGAGAAGCUUGCGGAUGCUCAAAAAUCAUCUAUUGUGCAUGAAGUUGAGGUGGUCACUAAGGAUGUUGGAGUCACUUGUGACUUACUUGAUAGUCUUACAAGUGAACCACUACCUACUAACUCUAUUUGUGAUAAAUGCAAAAUUUCUCUCAAUGAUAAUAUUGCUCUUGAUGAAUCAAAAAUUAUUGUUGAGAAUGAAGUGUUAGUGGAUAGAAUAAGUACUCUAACUCAUGACCUAGAAAAGGCAUAUGGUGGUAAGAAGAAUUUGGAUUUCAUAUUGGGAAGUCAACGAUGCUCUCUUAACCGUGAAGGUCUUGGAUAUGUUCCCAAGAAAGGAAAGAAUGCUUUUGUAAAGCAAAAGACAUUGUUUGUGAAAGAAUGUGACAAAGUGUGUCACAAGUGUCACAAAAAGGGACAUGUUAAGAAAAAUUGUCCCAAGUUCAAACAUGUAUCCUCCACUUGUUUUGAGCAUUGUUAUGUUCUUUCUCAUAAUGCAAAAGGUGUUCAUGCUAAAUUUGUUGGUACUUCAAUUGUUGGAAACAAAAAGAAAGCUAUUUGGGUGCCAAAGACCUUGGUCACUAACAUCCAAGGACCCAAGCAAGUUUGGGUACCUAAAAGAGAUUGAUUUCCUUUUGUAGGUAAACUACAAGGCGGGAGGGAAUCAUUGGGUGUUGGAUAGUGGAUGUACUCAACACAUGACCGGGGAUAUGAAGAUGUUUACCCAAAUGAGUGAUGAAGAUUGCUCAAAUUAUGAUAGUAUCACAUUUGGAGAUAAUCGUAAAGGAAAGGUUAAAGGUUUGGGUAAAAUUGCUAUUUCAAAUGAUCAUUCUAUAUCAAAUGUGCUAUUGGUUGAGUCUUUGAAUUUUAAUUUACUUUCCGUAGCUCAAUUAUGUGAUUUAGGAUUUUGUUGCAAUUUCACGGUUGAAAAUGUUAUUAUCUCUAGUGUUGAUGGUAGCAAUCUUAAAUUUAAAGGUUUUAGACAUGAAAAUCUUUAUCUUGUUGAUUUCUCAUCUAAUGAGGCAAAGCUCACAACUUGCUUAUUUUCAAAAGCUUCACUAGGUUGGUUAUGGCAUAGAAGACUUGGUCAUGUUGGGAUGAAGCAACUCAAUCGGUUAACCAAGCAUGACUUAGUUCGAGGCUUAAAAGAUGUGAAGUUUGAAAAGAACAAAUUGUGUAGCUCUUGUCAAGCCGGUAAGCAAGUGGCAAAUACUCAUCCAAAUAAAAGUCAAAUGUCCACUCAUCGACCUUUGGAAUUACUUCACAUGGAUUUAUUUGGGCCCACAUCUUUUGUAAGUAUUGGUGGUAAUUCUUAUUGUCUUGUGAUUGUGGAUGACUAUUCAAGAUUCACUUGGGUUUAUUUUCUACGAGACAAAUCCAAUGUGUUUGAAACAUUCAAGUCAUUUGCUAUAUUGGCUCAAAAUCAAUUUGAUUUCGACAUCAAAAAGGUUAGAAGUGAUAAUGGGUCGGAAUUCAAAAAUGCAAGAAUUGAUCAAUAUUGUGAUGACAAGGGUAUCAAACAUGAAUUCUCUUCCAAAUAUACCCCGGAACAAAACGAUAUUGUUGAAAGAAAGAAUAGAACUCUUAUUGAUAUGGCAAGGUCUAUGUUAGCGGAAUAUAAUAUAUCGGAUUCUUAUUGGGCCGAGGCAAUAAAUACCGCUUGUCAUUCAUCAAAUAGACUAUAUUGUCACAAGCUCUUGAAGAAAACUCCAUAUGAAUUGCUCAUUGGUAGAAAGCCAAAUAUCUCAUAUUUUAGGGUAUUCGGUUGCAAAUGUUAUAUUUUAAGAAAGGGAAGCCGGCUUUCUAAAUUUGAGAAGUAAUGUGAUGAGGGUUUUCUUCUUGGAUAUUCAUCAAAUAGUAAGGCUUAUAGAGUCUUCAACAAAACUCAUGGUAUUAUUGAGGAAGCAUAUGAUGUUGAAUUCGAUGAAACAAAUGGGUCUCAAGAUGAGAGUGAAAAUCUCGAUGAUGUUGGGGGAACUCAAUUGAUAAAUGCAAUGAAAACAAUGGCCAUUGGUGAAAUAAAACCAAAAGAAGAUGAUGAUGAAAAUAGUGUGGUUGUCAUUCCCUCAUCUUCAACUAUAAAUGAGGAAGAUCACCAAAGCCAACAACUCAAUGAAACCAUUGAUACUCAUGAUCAAGGUACUUCAAGACCUCCAAUUCCUCCUAAUGCUUCAACAAGCAAUUAUCAAACGGUAUCAAGAAUUCAUCAUUCCAUUGUGAAGGAUCACCCGGUUGAUCAAAUUGUGGGUGAUAUUAGUAAGGGUGUUCAAACUCGCUCUCGCAUAGCUUCGUUUUGUGAACAUUUCUCUUUUGUAUCUUGUGUGGAACCUAACCGUGUAGAUGAAGCUCUACUUGAUGUUGAUUGGGUGAAUGCAAUGCAUGAAGAAUUAAAUAACUUCGCUCGAAAUGAAGUUUGGGAGCUUGUUGAGAGACCAAAGAACCACAAUGUUAUUGGUACAAAAUGGGUAUUUCGCAACAAGCACAAUGAAGAUGGUGUGGUAGUAAGAAACAAGGCAAGAUUAGUUGCACAAGGAUAUACUCAAAUUGAAGGAUUGGAUUUUGGGGAGACAUUUGCUCCCGUAGCAAGAUUAGAAGCAAUCCGGAUUCUACUUGCUUAUGCUUGUGCACACAAUAUCAAGCUCUACCAAAUGGAUGUAAAGAGCGCCUUCCUAAAUGGUAAGAUUAGUGAACUAGUGUAUGUUGAACAACCUCCCGGUUUUGAGGACCCCAAAAGACCUAACCAUGUGUUCAAGCUUUCUAAAGCUCUCUAUGGGCUUAAGCAAGCUCCUCGCGCUUGGUAUGAAAGGCUUAGGGAUUUCUUGCUUUCCAAAGACUUCAAAAUUGGGAAGGUUGACACUACUCUAUUCACUAAAAGAAUUGGCAAAGAUUUAUUUGUUUGUCAAAUCUAUGUUGAUGAUAUUAUUUUUGGAUCUACUAAUGAAUUAUUUUGUGAGGAGUUCGGAAAAAUGAUGUCAAAAGAAUUUGAAAUGUCUAUGAUAGGAGAAUUGAGCUUCUUUCUUGGCCUUCAAAUCAAACAAUUGAAAGAUGGAAUUUUUAUAAGUCAAUCAAAAUAUUUGAAGGACAUGCUCAAGAAGUUUGGUUUAGAAAAUGCUAAGCCUAUCAAGACUCCAAUGGCAACAAAUGGUCAUCUAGACUUAGAUGAAGGAGGUACUAUAGUUGAUCAAAAACUUUAUCGUUCAAUAAUUGGUAGUUUGCUUUAUAUUACCGCAUCUAGGCCCGAUGUUAUGUUUAGUGUAUGCAUGUGUGCUCGAUUUCAAGCUUCUCCUAGAGAGAUUCACUUGAAGGCCGCUAAAAGAAUUCUAAGAUAUUUGAAGUAUACUCCCAAUAUUGGUCUAUGGUAUCCCAAAGGUGCUCAAUUUGAAUUAAUUGGAUAUUCGGAUUCGGACUAUGCGGGGUGCAAAGUUGAUAGAAAAAGCACCUCCGGUUGUUGUCAAUUUCUUGGUAGAUCUCUUGUUUCAUGGUCUUCUAAGAAACAAAAUUCGGUUGCUCUAUCUACCGCCGAGGCGGAAUAUAUAUCGGCCGGAAAUUGUUGUGCUCAACUAUUAUGGAUGAAACAAACCUUAUUGGACUAUGGAAUUAUUUUCAAGAACGUGCCUCUCAUGUGUGAUAAUGAGAGUGCGGUAAAAUUGGCUACCAAUCCGGUCCAACACUCAAGAACCAAGCAUAUUGAUAUACGGCAUCACUUCUUAAGAGAUCAUGUUGGCAAGGGAGAUAUCUCUAUUUAUUCCAUUGGCACCGAUGAUCAAUUAGCAGACAUUUUUACAAAACCAUUGGAUGAAACAAGAUUUUGUUCUCUAAGAAGUGAAAUGAAUGUGAUCGAUAUCUCAAAUGUGACUUGAAGUUGAUCACACAUGUGUCGUCUUGCAUCUCGGGUCUAAGUAUGCUCUUUAUGCUAUUUAUUUGGUAUUAUUUGUGCAUUUUUCAUUUCUAAUUGCUCUAGAUAGUUUAAUUCAAAAAUCUUGCAUUACUCCAUUACAUCAUAUGUAUAUGCAUGCAUACCAACUCUUGGAUUGGUCAAAAUGUCCAUAUAUGAGCACCAAUUCGGAUUCGGAAUUCAAAAUCAGAAAGUGGGCCGAGAUUGGCAAAAUGAGUAUCAGGCCGCGGACCGUCCGCCCAUGGACCGCGGACCGUCCGCAGCAUCAGGCAAUGGACAGUCCGAGCAGCCUCACAGACUGUCUGAGGUCAUCAGGGCGUGGACCGUCCGCCGCCCCCGCGCGGACCGUCCGCGACAGGGCAGAAAAAGGAACAGAGCCCGCAGACUUGCCAGUUGUGCCUAUUCGGUUGUUCUCUCUUGCUCUCCACUCGCUAUAUCCUCUCUUGUGUCGAGUGUGCGCGGACCGUGAAGUGAAGUUGCGUGCAGACAGUCCGACAGCUUGCAGCAACAUUCCCUCAACAUGUCUUCAUCACGGUAUCUUCAAAUCUUGUGGAUUUAAUCAAAUUUCGUCAACUUUGAGAUUAUUUGGGUUUCUUCUCUGAUCUGAAAUUGAGCAGUGGAUUUCAAAAUCUGAUUGGUGGGAUUGAUAGUUCUCCUCAAUAUCAAUGCUAUGCAAAAUUUUGAACUUGUUUUGCUGGGUAUUAUUUGCAAAAACAUCAAAUUGAACUCUUGUGGCGGCUAGGGUUCUUGGAGUCGCCCUGGUCGGUCGCGGACCGUCCGCCCGGUGGACGCGGACCGUCCGGGCCUCUGGCGCGGACCGUCCGGCCCCUAGCGCGGACCGUCCGGACCCUGGCAGAGCAUUACCAUUCCAUUUCUUUUUAUAAGUGGCGAUUGGUAUCAAUUAUUUAUCUCUGGAUGUCUGUCACCUUGUUGCAGUGGUUUUGGUGGUCUCCGCAAGAAACUUGCAGGUCGCUUUAAAUCCAAGCGCCCUCGUGGCAAUGAUGAUGACUAUACACCGACCACUGAUUCAGAGGCGCAAUCCUCAGCUGGGGGCACUGAAUCCAUGGAUGCUGAAGAUUUUCUUCAUGUUCACCCUGAUUAUCCCAUUGAUAUCCAAGGAUGGACUUACCCCAAGCGGAGAUUUUCUAUGGCUGAAUACUGCUCUAGACGGACUGUGAACCAGUAUGCUCUGCCAUCAGAUACAAAUAUUCAGUUUUUCCACACUCAGCUGCAGUUUGAUGUCUUUUGGGGGACCCUGGUGGAUACCAAUUUUCAUAAGCAUCAGGUGAUUGAUUGGUCCUUCUUGCUCAGUCAAUCAGUCAUGGAGGGUCUCAUUCCCAAAUUUGAAACAUGUGGGUUAUAUCAGUUUAUGGGGCAGCGCACUGAUUUCAAUGAAAUGGCAGUUAAGCAAUUCUUGGCUACCUCAGAGAUUGAUAUUGCAGAAGAAUCUAUCACAUGGAUGACUGGCUUCAAGCGGUAUUCUGCUUCUUUUGCUGACUUUGCCGCCGCCAACAGUCUGAACUAUGGCACCAUUUCUGCUGGGGUGGAUCUUUAUACUGAAGAUAAUUUUGAGGAUUUUGUGCAGUUUUAUGAGCCAGCCAGGCUCGGUAUACCCAGGAGGUUUGGAGAAACAGCAGGCCUCAGACAUCAUCCUGCUGUCAUCAACAAGAUUGCCAGAGUCACCAUUCUUCCCAAGAGUGGUGAUAAGAGCAAAAUUCGAGAUAAGUUCUGGAACAUAAUCCAGCACAUCAUGAAUGGUGAAGUCAUGAACAUUGUUCUUUUCAUGAUGAGGCAGCUUAAUGAUUUAAAGAUGGACAAGAAUCAAAACUUGGCUUAUGCUCCCUACAUUAUGGCUCUCAUAAAAUCCAAGACAAGAUUUGAGGGCCCAUGUGAGAUUGUUCACACUCCAUUCAGGCCUUUUAAGAAUGAGAUAGGGUUCCUCACCAGGCCACUCACUCCAUUCCCAGAUGAUGAGGAAGACCCUGGUUAUGCGGGUGGAGCAGCUCCUAAUGUUGAGGAACAGCAGAUGCCUCCUCCUCCACCUCCUCCUCAGCCUCAGCACUAUUGGGAGCCUGCUCCAGGAUAUUUUGAUCCUUAUUUUCACAAUAUGCAGCAAGGGCUGGAGACUCAUAUUGAUGCUCGCUUUGAUGGCCUGAUGUCACAUGUGGAUCACCGCCUUGAUGACAUGCAGUCUCGCUUUGACAGCAACUGGGAUGCGCUCAACUCUGAAUUUUCUGACUUUCGUGAUCAAAUUCACACUAAUGUCACUGAUCCCAUCAUGUCAAGGCUGAAUAAUAUGCAACAAAGUUUUCAAGAUAACAUGGGUGCUCUCUCCAGUCAGUUUGACAAUCUUUCUACAACUGACAACCUGCAUGAUAUAAGUCAGAGGCAGCAGCAGCUCCAGCAGGACUUUGGCCAGUUCUCCUCCCUGUUUGACACCUUCAGCACUCAUUAUUACAACAUGCAUCCUCCGCCGAGUGAUCAGUAAGGCCUCUCCUUUGUGGCAAUUGAUGCCAAAGGGGGAGAGAAGAAGUGAUAGUUGUCAGGCGUCUCCUUGAGGGGGAGUUGGUGGUUCUAUGUGGACAUUAAGAUCAUGCACAUGCAUUUUAUUUUUUCAUGCCGCUUUAGUUUAUGUCUUAUGCAUUUGGAACUUGGUUUGAUCUAUUAACUCUAUGUCGUAUGUCUGUGGACUAUUAUCUGUAAUAUUCUGUGGGAUGAACUAUGUUUUAGUUCAAAUUACUCUGUGUGUGGUUAAUCGAGAUGUGAUUAUAAUUACUGCGCUCAUUCUACGAAUCAUCUCUUGUAUGCCUCGAUAACCAUGAUUGUAGGAAAGUCUCCAUCAAGCUCAAAUAUAUUAUGUGUGUUAUAUCUUCAACUUCAAAUAAUCCUGCACACACUUAGGGGGAGCCUUUCUUGCAUACUGAGUUUUUAUUGGGAUUUAUCUAUCUUUUGGACAGAACUUCAAAUCAAGAUAAGUCCUAUGAAACUCAUCUCCAAAAUCUAUCAUAUACCUUUGGUAUGAGAGAGAUUUGGAGAAACUAAACUUCUCUUUAAUAUACUAUGUGGUGUUGUCAUCAAUUACCAAAAAGGGGGAGAUUGUGAAUCAUCUAGGCCCCUUUGAUAAUGUUUUGGUAAUUAAUGACAACUACUUGUGGACUAACGAUUCUUGGAGAAAUAAGAAUGCAGGGUUGGACCACAUAGAAAUGAAAUGUUGAAGAGUCAUACGCAUUGGUUGUGGAUCAGAUGAAGGCAAAGGUAUAAUAUAGGUUUUACUUUUGCCGGUCUUGAGGAGUUUAGAGAAGAUACCUGACCGGAUUAGUAGGCUAGAUAGCCGUACUAUUAAGAGGGGUCAAUGACUUAGAUCUGUGUAAAACUUAGUGCCUCAUAAAGCAUCAAGUAGUUGCAUUUGCAUAAGGACUAACAGCGCUUCUCAUUUAGUGAGUUAUAAGUUCAUUCAAAAGGAUGUUUGAGAUUUGAGAAGUCUUGGUCACGCGGACUGUCCGGCCCUUGGGGGCGGACCGUCCGCGAUCCUCCAGAGGGUCCGAGGUUUGACCAUUUGUGUUGGCUCUGUGUUCUUUUUGCACUGCGGACCGUCCGGGCCUUAGGGCCGGACCGUCCGCAGUCCUGACCAGAGGAAGGUGGCUUCGGGUCAGUCCCUGAAUUAUAGCCGGACGGUCCGCCUGUGAGGCGCGGACGGUCCGCAUGUGUCUAACUCAUUUUUGGACAGGGACUGUGCGUUUUUAUAGAUUUGUACUACGGACGGUCCGGGGGACCAGUCCGGACAGUACUGUCUCAGGUCGCGGACGGUCCGGGAUUUAUAGCCGGACGGUCCGCGUGUGUUAACUCCGUUUGAUCCGAGGCUCGGGUGUUUGAAAUUGCCAGGUCGCGGACGGUCCGGCCUUGAUGGGCGGACUGUCCGGACCCACCUUUUUGAGUCUGCUCUGACAUGUUUCAACGGUCAUUAUAGCCGUUAUGGUGUACGGCGGACCGUCCGGCCCUAGGGCGCGGACGGUCCGCGUGUGCGCAGAACUGCCCUCUUUUGCUCAUAACGGUUGGUUUUUGAUGGGGGACUAUAAAUAGAAGGGUAGCUCGUGUGUGAGACCUCUCUUGGCCAUUCCUUGCAUAUAUUGAGCUCAUUUGUGAUCCUCCAACUCACUCUCUCACACUCUUUGCUUGAGAUUGCAUUCUAGUGAGAGAUUGAGGGUUCCUAGUGCAUUUGCAUCAUUUGGUGAUUCUUGAGGCACUAGGUGGUACACCGAGCAAGCGUCGUUGGCUUGUUACUCUUGGAGGUUGCCGCCUCCUAGACGGCUCGGGUGAUUGUCUCCGUCGAGCUCUCCAAGAAGAUUGUGGUGAAGCCGCGGUGUUGAUUGUGAGGGGUUCGCGCCUACCUCGCCGGAGCGGCAAAGGUGACAUUAGUGGAAUCGAGGUAUUGAGUGAUUUCUUGUCCACUUGGCUCAAAGAUCAAGUCGUGUCUUGAUAGAGGAGCAAGUGAGAGCUUGAAGUCCACCUCAACGUGGAUUAGGGGUGAUCGGCAAAUCACCGAUACCACGGGAUAAAUUUCGGUGUCUAUUCCUUCUAGCAUUACUUAUUGCCUUGCAAUUGAUUAGUGUUUUGCUUAUUGUUCUUCAAGUAUUCAAUCUCCGUAGUUGUCUUUCAUACAUUGUUUACUUAUUGACACUAGUAAAUUUAUUCCUCUUGUUGUAUUGAUUAAAUUUACUUAGUAUUAUUGUUUUUAGUCAAAACCGUCUAUUCACCCCCCCUCUAGCCGGUGUCCUAGAUCCUACAAACACCAAGAAUUGAACACGAAGCAAACCUUCAGCAGUUACAUGAUGAAUGAAAGUAUGUCGAAGCACAAAGAAAACCUUCGCCAAUUACAAUCUUACUAGGGAAAUUGUUGUCGACAACAAUAUCAUACAACAACUUUACUAUAGAAGGGCUUUUUUCUUUACGAAGCAUGAAAAGAAGGGAAGGUGUUUUUUCGCCGAAGGCUCAAAAAUGGUAUGUACGCAAAUUUCAUGCAUCGCAAAGAAAUAUAUUACAUAAUGUACACAUAGUUAUACAAUGUUCAACUCGUAGACAUAUUAUAUCACACAAAUGUUGAGUUUUCUAGCUACACAAAAGUCUAGUCUUCCUUCAAAAUCUUCUCAGCAGCUUUGUUUAGAAGUUUGUUGACAGCUUCGUCAACAGCUUCUUCGGUAAUUCUUAUCGUUUCCAGUGCCGCCUUCAUUGCUGGAUCAACUUCGGGAUCAUAGGGCUCAAGUGGCGGAGAAAGUUCAGCUACAAUAAAAGUAAUAAGUUGUUAAUCUGAAACCAGAAAAAAUACUAAAACUUUGAAACAGUUAAAAUACCUAAGCGCCUUGCACGCUCGGCAGCUUCUUCGGCUCGCCUGGUUUCUUCUCGAGCCUCAUAAGUUUCUUUCUCAUUCUUCUUUAUUGCCUCAUCAGCUAGUUCUCGGCCGCCUUUCAUCCAAACGUUGGAGUAAAAUUUUGCUCCCAUCAGAGUCGCUUCGACCGAAGGAUCCUUUGUGUUCUCCACGGUAAAGACAGCCUCCGUCUGGGUUGCAGUUUUAAUGUGUUUGCAGCAAGAUUUUUCCAAAAUUGCUGCAACCCCUCUAGCAUCGGCAAAGGCGCAGAAAUCACCAUGAUCACUAAGGAUCUCUUCAAAAGCUUUGGCUUCUUCACCGAUCCAUUCGACGAUUCCUUCAGGAUCGCCUCUAAUAAAUUUUUGCUCGGAUGAGUAAGCACCCACCUUUGCAAAACUAUCUUUUAGCUUCUUGGCACAAUCCAAGGAUUUUUCGUAAUAUCUUUCCUUUGAUUCCCGAAGCUCAUCUACGUUCUUUUGCAACCUUGCGCUAGUCCACUCGCUUAUUUCCUGCUUCGCCUUAGCCACUUCGAAAUCUUCGCUCUUCUUGGCAAGCUUUUUCUUUAAAUUUUCAAUUUCGGCUCUAUGAGUUUCAGACUGCGCGGCAAGAUUGGCUUCACUAGCCUUGACUUUGUCUACUAAGGAAAGCAAAAUUUUGUCCUUCUCUGCAGCUUCAUUCCUCAGUUUGAUAACCUCAGACCGAAGGUUACCAAGAGCUAUCUGGCAACUUUCAUCUUCGGCAUUUUUCUGUGCUCUUAAGGCGUUGCUCAGAAUUAAACCCUACAAAAACAAGGGAUCAGCACAACAAUAAAAGACACAAAAUAUAAUAUGCUUAUAAGUCCAUAACUCCCGUACCUUCAAACUAUUAUACGCUAGGCUGUCGGCGAGGUCAUCCUUCGACAUAGCAGAAAGGCCAACUUCAAGCUUCGGGAAACCUAUAUUUUUUGCAAUAUCCCGGGAAACAGAUAUUUCCUUGUUGUUCGGGAGGCAGUACAAAAAGUCAUCUUCGUCGGUACCAUUAUACACCAAGGCCCCCUUCGGAUACUUUAGUUCCCGGGCGUAGUGUUUGGCUUCCGCAAUUUCCGUUUGAGACAACCUUUUACCCAAAGCAUGUCGAAUAAUAUAGUCAAGUUCUUCAGAAGGUGCUUCGGGAGUAGGAGAUUCAAUCUUUUUACGUGUGUCUUCUUUUUCCAGAACAAGACCGACGUUUGAAGGUCCUUGUUCAACACUCCGCCUAGUCCCAGCAGGCUCUGAUUCAAUGGGCACUGAGGGCCCAACUUCGGGUUCAGCACGAGCUGUAGCAGCUUCAGCAGUCUCCUUUGCAGGAGCAAGAGUUGAUGCCCUUGUUGACUCCAGGACGGCGUCCAGCACGCUAGCCAUCCUUCUCCUCUUAGGAGUUAUUGCAGGAGCCUUCGAUACUUUCGGCAAUUCUGUGUCACACCCGGUUUUGGAAGGUAAACCGAAUGCGAACUAUGUACGUGCCAGGAUCAGAAACUCACGUACACAGCGAUUACAUAAUUGCACAUCAUCACACAAUGCUCGAAAUAAAUACCAGAAAGGUACUUUAUUACAUCAAGAUGUCCAAGACAUCCACAGAUUCUAAUACAUAACCAUUGUUCAACAUAAUUAUCAAAGUGCGGAAAUACGAAACGUAGAUGCUAAGCCUACACAGGCAGCUGACAGGGGGUUUGCCACUAAGAAAGAACUAGAACUCAUCAUAUUCCUGGAACUCCUCGAAGUCAUCCAUGUUGCUAGCAUCACCUCCUAAGCAUUGGGCACACUGGGGACAACCUAGGGUGAGGUGGUGUGUAAAGCAAGGGUGAGUACACAUCAACGUACUCAGCAAAUGUCCCGUUUGGCUAAAGUGGACUAGCUGUAUAUGGAGUUUGAGGUUAAGCAGUUGCUUUUAGUUGGUCAAGUUUUUUUUAUUAUUAGUAGAGCCAAGUUUUAGUAAUAAACCCAUUUAUUACCCAUAAGUACCUCCUCAAACGAGGAAAUACCUGAGAUCUGAUUUUAUAACAUCAUUAUUAGUCAUCAUCAUAAAAGUAUCCAAAGUUCUUCUAAUCAAAGAGGAUCCCAAGGCUGCUCUUAACCGUGAGCUCGGCUGAUAUACCAGUUUUUAACACUCCGCAGAGGUUGUACACUUUACCCACAAGUCAUGAUCCCUUUCCAACCUGGGUUGUACAGACCCGAUCUUCACUACCAAGGUGAAUGGCCAGGGAUACACUACGUAGCCUUUACAAAGACUCCCUUGAUGCAUAACUGCUCAUUAGGUUUCGCCAGUCGUACAAACGCAGUACACCUCCCCAAGGUGGGUGACUAACAAAACCAAAUCGAAAGAACCUCUGCACCCCAACCUUGGCAGAGCGAGCACUACGCCCCGACCACCAUUGACGGCCAUCCGGCAAAGCCAACUACACCCCCAGGUUCAUCUAAUUAAUCAACUAAGGGCAUCCCAUUCCACCCUCAUGAUUGUACUGUUAUCCCGGGUGGUCACUCCACGAACAGGUACUCAGGAAAAAGGCCUGAGCCCCCUAAGGUAUCACAAGAUCAUCCACGAUAUCAGGAUAACAAUAUCGUAUCAUAAAUGUUCACAUCAUGUUCAUUGAUUAAGUUAAGGCAAUAGCAACAUGCUAACCAUGAUAACCCAAAAGGUAAACAAGGAUAAGUAAAUACAGACUAGUCAAUUCUUAGGUUUCAUAAAGUAAUGCGGGACGGUGAAUCAUAAAGUAUGUAGGACAUAAUAGGUCAGAGGACACUUGCCUUCACCAGGUGAUUGCUCAGGGAGGUCUCCAACAACACACUCAAGAACCUCGGACUGCUCGUUGUCUAAAUAAAGCGAGCAUGCAUUCAAUACAUUUGGAAAGUACAAAUGAACAUCACACCAAACAUGUACUGUAACACCCCUGAUGUUUAUAUUCUGCUCGACAACGAGUAUGGAUUUAAGCAUGUAAUAUGAGUAGAUAAAACAGAUAUUAAAUUUUAAACAUCUUCGUCUAGCGCGAUUUUAAUAUCGCAUCUAUUUUGUCCGUCGCGAGUUCGACAUCGUUUUUAUUUUUAUCUAUCCGGGCUCUUCCUAAAUUUUCGUGAUGUUCGAAACAUCGUUGUUCCGAUAAUCGGUGCAUCCGAUGAUUAUUUGAAAUUCAUCGCUCGCGUGAAUACGAAUUCGGAAGCUCGAUCUAUUCUUACGAUUUUAUCCCGAGCAAAUUAAUUUGAAUUCGACGACUAAGGUUUUCGGGCAAAUAAUUUUGUUCCCACCCAUCAACCGAGACAGCGCGUUCGAGAAUUUAUAAUUGAGCUUCGAUUCUCUGGUAAAUUAUCGUGACCAUGGAAUUAUGUGUUCUGACCGCAGAUCAAAUAUAUCAAGUUUCGAAUUAAACCAAACCGUGUCACAGGUGUCGUCGACCCAUUUUAUAUAUAUCGCAAAAAUCUGGAUUCAUAAAUAUCUGCGAAAUUCUUUAAAGAAAUUUAAAAAAGAAAAGAAAAUAUCUCCCAAAUCUAUCUGCCGCCGCCCCUAACCUUAGAUUUUUUUUCUAGCGCGCCCUGAUUUUUUCCUCCGCCUGCGCGUCGUCUUUAUCCCGUCCGCGCGGUCAUCUUCUUCCUGUCGCGCUGGGUUCUCUGCGCGCAACUCUCUCUUUCCUCAAUCUCUCUCACGCCGCGCUCCCAUGCUCCAGCUCUGGAGCACCCCUGCGCGCGGGUCCUUUCAUGGCGUCCAGCCGCUGCUCCUCCGGUGCUGUGACUCCCUGCUCGCGUCGCGGUCCUUUCCUGCUCCCUCUGCUCCUUCCACUUCUUCUUCCCCAGCACGCCGCGCUUGUUCUAGCUCGCUAGCCGAAGUCCCCUGCGCGUGCCUGUGCCUAGCGUCGCGCCUAGCUCUUCGCCCUUUUCCCUAUGGCGCGCUCUUGGCCCCUGCUCGAGUUUCACUGGUCGCGCGCGGCUCGCCCCCUCGGCUCGCCCCCAUGGCGCUCGGCCGAGCUCCUCCCUCGCCAUGCCGCGUGGACCCUUCUCUCCCCUGCUUCCCAUGGUGCUCGCCCUCAAGCUCGUCGUGGAUCUUUGUUUCCCCAUGCCACGUCCCAGCCCCUGCUUCCACCCUGCUCCUAGCUCGACCGCUCCUCCUCUUCCCUAGCGCGUCUUCUUCUCUGCAGCUCGCUGCUCUAGCCCAUUUCCUUCCUGGCGCUCGUGCCCAGCUCCCUUUGCCGGCUAAAUCCCCUCACCAUGGAGCAUCUCCCUGCGCGCCGCGCUCCCUCGGCUCGGCCUCCAUCUCAAGCCGCGCCCUGGGAUCUGCCCAGAGCCCCCAUCCCCUCGACGUCGGUUCUCAGCUCCUCCACCUCCCUAUGCUUGGUCGCCGUCCUUAGCGCCGACUUCCCUGUGCGUGCCUCUGUUCCUCGUCGUGGUGGUGUCGUGGCGUGGCGACGUCGUGUGCAUAGCGGCAGCCGUCCUGACCGCAAAGCAGUCCGCGCAAUAAAGUUCACCCGACCGCGACCUUGCCUUGUUCCCUGCCGCGCUCGCCUCCGUGGCCGCUGCCUAGCCCAUCUCCUUAAUGUCGCACGGGCCCCUGUUGCCUGGUCCCGGUGCUCGUGCUUACCCUCGGCUUGCAUCGACGCUCGCGUGCCUACUCGUCGUCUCUACGGUGCACCCGCUCUCAUCCAUCGGGUUUCGCGCAUGCUCGCGUAUGCCGUCGAGCCGUUAAAUCCGUUCUCCCUUGCUCGACCUCGUCUCUACCCUUCUGGUGGCCGUCGUCAAUAUGGUGCUGGACUACGCUCCAUUAUCUAGUCGCACUGGCUGUCGACCUUGUUGGCCCUUUCCGUGUCAAACCAGCAAGCUCUGCCAUCGUCACUCAGCUGCUCGCCCCGCGUGUGCUCGUCAAUUUUAUUGGUCGUGUCUACCAAGCUGACCAACGCUCCAGCUCACCAUUAUUGCCAAGUCCCAUGCAGCCGUGCUGUUCUCUCAUCGUCGCCCAUUCCUAUUUUCCCCCAUAUGUCGCCUUGUCAUGACACGUGUCGUCGUCUUUAAUCCCAAUAGCUCUUCCGAUACGCGCCUCGCCGUGCUUCGCCUCCUCGUGAUUAGCCCCAUCCGGGUCAUGGGGGGCGGAAGAUCUCAACACCUAUCAGAUGUUCGACGACAAGCCCGAACCUGAAUUUAUCAACAUUCUCACAAGUAUUGAGUCACGUUUGAUGCUGGUAAGCUAGAUUUAUUUGCUUAGUAAUUUUAGUGCUUUGCCGGUAGGCGUUAUCGGCAUUUCAUGCGAGGAAUUGUAGUUGUGCAGUGAAGUCAGUGCUAUGCAUUCAUGUGCAUAAUGCAUUUCAUUCAGGUACGUGAAUUAACUACGUGAUGCGGAGAACCAGAACUAAGUUGACCUCAAGAUGGUGCAAGGAGUGGUCUUCUUCGUACAACGAUGUUGUCAGUCGGACCAACCUGAAGGGCAGAUGAAACAAGUGUCAGAACAAAGGCUGAUUGUCAAGUGAUUGUCGUCUAACAAACAGUAACCUAGUGUUUAUUCCAAGCAAGCCCCGGUGCAUGCAACCCCUUCCUUGUGUUUUUAAAUUAUUUUUACACACUUUAAGUCUAGUGAAUGUGCAUUAGGUUUAUAGGAGUUUCUUGAAAAUCCUUUGAUGCAUUGGCUACCUUGAAAUCCAUUCCUUUUAUAGAUACUUCUGGUGAAGUAUCAAAAUGUGAUUUACAAAAAAAAUGCUUAGCCCUGCUUAUAAGUAAAUAGAGUUUGUCCUUUGCACUUAUGCCUAGCUCAGGUUAAUCCUGAGGAAGGAUGACUUCUACCGGCAAGAAUAUUUUCAUUGGGAGCAUGGUGGGAUCUUACUGCAAAGUUCCCUAUAAUGCUCUUUUCAUCCUAAGGAACACAAACACCCCUAAGGAUGGAAGUACUUAACUCGAGACUUGGGCUAGGAACAGGUGAUGCUCCACCCAGGUUAAUUAAGGAUUGGAUGCGUAUGUAGGCCUGUAUGAUCAAGGACUAUCUUAACUGGCCACAUGCCCUGGAUAUGGGACAGGGUAAGCUUGAACCCGGCUAUUCCAUACGUGAAAAGACAACCACGCACUAGGCGUGGGAGAUGGUGGGAGUAGCGUGUACCCUCCUGGCUGGAGGCUGGAUGUAGGAGUACUGUGCUCCCGGGUAGCGCGGACCGGUUCACGUUGUGGAGGAUCUGGGGGAACGAUUGACAUAUGCAAGGGUUAAGUGCUACAUAUGUCGUGUGGUUAGAGAUCCUCAGCUGAGUAAAUCGAUUCGGAUUGCCGUUAUAUCCCCGGACAGUGGAGACUUGAUCGCUGCCCUGCAACCUAAGUCAGGAUGUAAACAUUAUGAAUAAAAAUGAUGUUGUACUGAUGAGAUGGUGAAAUUAGACUAGGUGCAACCAGAGUCUAUUAAUAUUUAAUCUGGCGUUAAAAUAUUGAAAGUAAGGACUCACUUUAGUAAGCUAUUUUUGCAAAAGUAUCUAAGUUGAUUCUUGCUAAGAGCCUCUCCUUGAUUCCUAAAUCUAGUAUAUCCUUGAGAGCCUUUUUCCUUAGUCGGGUAAGACUUGUAAAAGUACACUUCGUACUCAGGGCUUUGUCCCAUGUUGUUUUAGGUGAAGAGCCUACGGAGCUUUGCUACUUUUGUGCAAAGGUGGUUCCCAAGCAUUAGGAAGAACCGAAAAUAGAAGUGUGUUGCUGUGGAUGGUGCUAAGUGCCAGUGGGAUCAACCUUCUUAUAAGUCUAAGUACUUCUUCUAUACUUCUUAUUGAGGAUGGUCACUUAAGCUAGCAUAUAUUUCAUACUUAUAAGUAAUUUAUAACAUUUCAAAGUUUAUUUCUUUGAAUCACUUUGUAACCACUCCGAUAAACAUAAUGUAAAUUUGUUGUAACUUGUAACCUUUUGUAAUAAAGAAAUUCCGUUGCAAUAUGUUGGUGUGUGAUUUGUGUUUACUUAAUCUUGCGAUCUUGGUUGUAAGUGUUUUAUCCGGGGUCCUUGGGACACUCGGAUGGAUCCUGUUAAGUUAUCUGGUGCACAUGCAUAGCCGUCUGAGGUCUUUGAGACAAGGGCAGGUGCAUGUGGGCCAAAUAACUUGGGAGGUUCUGCCACAUGUACAAACAUUGGAACACAUCUUAAAAAGACACAAUACUACAUAAGCGAUAAUGAAUUCAGGGUAUAACAUAAACUAUGACAUAGAUUUACUUUAUUUGACAACAUAUUAUUAUUUCCCUAAGUGUAAUUUACAAGUACAUAAUCAUAGAUCAAUUUAUUUUAUUGUGACCUAUAAUUUAAAACAGAGAUGAACUCAUGCAAUACCUAUCAUUAAUAUCACAAGUUUAAACAUGAUUAAAUCUCUAAGGUUCUCCUUUUAUUAAAUAAAUAAAACUACAUCUAUAUUAGUUCAUAUUCAAUCAUAAAAAUUAGAAUGUGUAGAUAGUAAAUGAAACCAUUUUAUUUAAACAGAGAAUAAUUCUAUGAGCAUUUUGCAAUUUGAAGCACUAAAUUUGGAGUUCAUAUGCAAAAGUUAUGAAAUAAACAAGUUUGAGAAUUCAAAAUAUGAAAGUAGGGCUAAUUCUGUGAAUAUUUAAAAGUCCAGGGCUAAAUCUGCAAGAUUACAGGGGUCUGCGCGCGAAAACCAGGGACGACGGGUUGAUUUCCAAUAAACCGAGGGUCUCUUUAAAAAAAUUACCGCGCGAAGGGGUAUAGUGUGAAACUAACCGUCAGAUUAGAAAUCGACCGCCGAGAUUAGAUCUGCGGCUGAGGGCGCGCGCGCGGGCGGGCGAGCGCUGACAGGCGGGACAGGGAGUGUCAACGACAGAGAGGGAGAGCACGCUGACCGAGUGGGCCCAGCGCCAGAGGGGAAACAGACGGCUGCAGGGGUCCGAGGGGGUCUAAGCCGUUCGAUCAAGAUCGGACCGAGGGGGUCCGAGGGGGUCUGAGCCGUUCGAUCAAGAUCGGACGGGGGAAAUCAGACCGGGAAGGAUGAGCGGCUGAGGGCGGCGCUGACAGGCGAGCCAGGGCGUCAGGCGCGCGUGCGCGAAGCAGUACCCGCGGUCCGAGCCGUUCGAUCUGAAUCAGACGGAGAGGAUCAGACCGGGGAAACAAACGGCUGCGGGCGGCGCCGCUCUUCUCCGCGGUGGUGAAGUCGCUGGAGUUGAGGCUGGCGCGAGCUAGGGUGGCUCCGAGGUCGCCGGAGUUGGGUAGAGGGGAAGAGGGCUCCACAGUGAACUCAAUGGCGGGGAAGAGGCCAUGAAUCCACGGGGAGAGAGGGGAGAACGACAGUGAGAGAGUCUCGGGCGGGAUGGAGAAAUUCCGGUGAGUGAUUCUGACCACGGGGAGGGGACUUAAGGCGCGCUAAGGCCUUGGCUAACUUCAGUAGAGGCAGGGGCGACACAGGGACCUACUCCGGUGAACUAGACUGGGCUAAAUCGACCAGCCACUGCGUGAGCACGGCAGACCACUGCGGCCGAGCACCGGCGAAGGUGAAAUUGGCCGAACACAGGGCGCAAUAGAGGAAAUUGGGCACGGGGACGGGUGUCUCACCUCGGGGCAGAGCUUGGGGAGGCUUGGAGUGGUCUCCGGUGAGCUGGAUGGCCGGGAACGCGGGCGCGGGUCUCUGGCGGCGGCUGGCAGCGUGAGCAGAGCGCGAGAGAGGGUGAAGCUGAGCGAGAUGAGGCGAGGGGUGUGCGCGGGGCACGGGCGGGGCUCUAAGAAGGGAGCUGGGCGUGUGGGCGAGCGUCGUGACCGAGAAACCUGGCGACGUGCACGAGUGCGCACGCGCCGGUCCACGGCGGGCGCGGGGAAGACGGAACUUACAAGGUAGGCCCACGACGCAGAGAGAGAAAAGGGGACACACGGGGGCAACGACUCGGUGACUGGUGAACCGGGCCCGCGAGACAGAGAGAGAGAGCGAACGGGCGAAGGAAACUGGCGCCGACAGGUUGGCCCCACUGGGCAGCGAGCGAGAGAGGGAGGGCGCGCGCGAGGGAGAACUGCCGCUGACAGGCGGGGUCCGCCUGUCAGGCGGCGCGGGCGCACGGGCGCACGGCCUGGCUGGGCUUAGUGGGCCGGCUGGGCUGCUUUCUCCUUUUCUUUUUCUCUGGAUUUUCUAAUUCCUUUUCUAUAGGGUUUUCAAAUCCAAAUUCAAAUAAAUUCAAACUUGUGCAACACUUCAAAGAAUAUUUUAAGCUCAGCAUGAUGCAACAUGUCAUGACUCAUAAGGUUUUGACAAAAAUAAAUAAUUAAUCUCCACUAGUUUAAGCUAUUUCUAAUCAAAAAGGAAAAAGGGAGAGAGGAUCUAGAGAGAGAGAAAGCCUAGAGUGAGAAAAGGAAGAGUAACACAUGAUUUUUGGGUGAUAAUUAGAAAGAAUUUUUAUACCCCAAAAAUCAGGGUGUUACAGACCUAUCCCCCUUAAAAGAAUCUCGCCCUCGAGAUUCAGGGCUGGCUAGAAAAGAGCUCAUGGUACUUGGCUUUCAAAUCAUCUUCUCUUUCCGAGGUUGCUUCUUCUUCUGAGUGGUGACCCCAUUUGACUUUGCACAUCCUGAUGGUACUUCUCUGAGUGACCCGAUCUGCUGUCUCCAGAAUUUGAGUUGGCUUCUUAAUAUAAGUCAGAUCUUCUUGAACUUCAAGAUCCUCUGCUGGCAACUGCUCUUCUAGCACUCUCAAGCAUUUCUUCAACUGUGACACAUGGAACACAUCAUGCACAGUGGACAGAUUCUCCGGUAAGCUGAGUUGAUAAGCCACUUCUCCACGUCUUGCUUGAAUCUGAUAUGGCCCAAUAUAUCGGGGUGCUAGCUUGCCUUUGACUCCAAACCUUUUGGUUCCUCUGAUGGGUGACACCUUUAAGUAGACAUAGUCUCCCACUUCAAAACUGAGUUCUCUUCUUCGGGUGUCGGCAUAACUUCGCUGUCUGGACUGUGCUGCCUUUAAAUUCUCUCAGACCAUUCUGAUGUUCUCUUCGGCUUCAAGCAAAAUAUCUGGACCGAACACCUGUCUUUCACCAGGUUGAUCCCAAUGCAAUGGAGUUCUACAAUUCCUCCCAUAGAGCGCUUCAAAUGGUGACAUCUUCAGACUGGGUUGGUAGCUAUUGUUGUAAGAGAAUUCUGCAUAUGGUAAUCUCUUGUCCCAACCUAUCUUAUCUUGCAAAGCACAAGCCCUCAACAUAUCCUCCAGAAUCUGAUUGGUUCUCUCUGUUUGACCAUCUGUCUGUGGGUGGUAAGCUGAGCUGAACUUCAAGUGUGUUCCCAAAGCUUCAUGCAACUGCUGCAAAAAAUGAGAGGUGAAUUGGGUGCCUCUAUCUGAUACUAUCUUCUUCGAAACGCCAUGCAAGCACACAAUCCGAGCCAUGUAUAGUUCGGCUAACACCGCACUGUUGUAGGUGGUCUUGACUGGUAUGAAAUGGGCUGCCUUUGUCAAACGGUCCACUACUACCCAGAUGGAAUCAUAACCAGUACGAGUGCGGGGCAAACCGACUAUGAAAUCCAUUCCGAUAUCAUCCCAUUUCCAUUGAGGAAUCUGCAACGGUUGCAACAAACCUGCAGGUCUCUGAUGUUCUGCUUUAAUCCUCUGACAACUGUCACAUACAACCACAUACUCUGCUAUUUCUCUUUUCAUACCGUACCACCAGAAUCUUUUCUUUAGGUCUUAGUACAUCUUCUCACUACCAUGGUGUAUAGAGUAUGCUGUCUCAUGGGCUUCCUUGAGAGUUAGUUCCUGGAUCGAUUUGAUGUCGGGAACACACAAUCUAUCCUUGAACCAUACCACUCCUUCUGCAUCUUCAUGGAAAUCCUUGCCUUUUCCAUCCAUGAUCAACUACCGGAUCUCGUUGAUCUUCUCAUCAUCCUUCUAACCUUUUCUGAUAUCUUGCUCUAGAGUGGGUUCCAACUCAAUUGCCACUACUUGGGUGUUGUUCAGAAAUCCGAGACUCAAUCUGUCGAACUCCUUCGCUAGCUCAUACGACAUCAGGUAUGCGGCCAACAUAUCGACUUGACUCUUUCUACUAAGAGCAUCUGCAACCAUAUUUGCUUUGUCGGGGUGAUAAUGAAUCUCCAGUUCAUAAUCUUUGAUCAAUUCUAGCCAUCUUCGUUGUCUCAUGUUUAGCUCUGACUGAGUGAAUAUAUAUUUGAGACUCUUGUGAUCCGUGUAGAUAUCACACUUCUGUCCAUAAAGAUUAUGCCUCCAAGUCUUCAAUGCAUGAACCACGACUGCUAAUUCCAGAUCAUGAGUAGGAUAAGUUUUCUCAUGAAUCUUCAAAUGUCGGGACGAGUAUGCCACUACUCUCCCUUCCUGCAUCAACACACAUCCCAGUCCGGUAUACGAAGCAUCGCAAUACACUGAGAACGGCUUGUGAACAUCUGGCAAAAUCAGUACUGAUGCCAUUGUCAACUUCUUCUUCAAUGUCUCAAAGGACUUCUGGCAUGCUGGGGUCCACUUGAACUCAACCUUCUUUGCCAACAAGGCUGUCAUUGGCCUGGCAAUCUUGGAGAAACCUUCAAUGAAACACCGAUAAUAACCGACUAUUCCGAUGAAGCUCUUGAUUCCUUGGACAUCUUUUGGUGCUUUCUAGUCCAAGAUAGUUGUUACCUUCUUCGGAUCUACAACCAAUCCUUCUCGGUUUAUAAUGUGACCCAAGAAUAGGACUUCACUAAUCCAGAACUCGCACUUGCUAAGCUUGGCAUACAGCUGACAAUCUCGUAACCUCUGAAGUACUUUCCUCAAAUGCUCCUCAUGCUCUUGCUCAUUCUGGGAAUAUAUAAGAAUAUCAUCAAUGAACACCACCACAAACUUGUCGAGGUAAUCCAUGAACACGCUGUUCAUCAAGUACAUGAAGUAGGCUGGCGCAUUCGUCAAACCGAAUGACAUAACCGUGAACUCAUAUAGUCCAUACUUAGUGAUGAAGGCUGUCUUCGGUAUGUCUGAGGGUCAGAUUCUAAGCUGAUGGUAGCCUGACCUCAGAUCUAUCUUUGAGAACACACUAGCUCCUCUCAACUGAUCGAAUAAAUCUUCAAUUCUAGGCAGGAGGUACUUGUUCUUGAUAGUAACCUCAUUCAAGGAUAUGUAGUCAAUGCACAUCCUCUUUGUUCCAUCCUUUUUCUCCACAAAUAGCACCGGGGCUGCCCAAGGCGAGGUACUCGGUCUGAUGUAACCUUUCUCCGACAACUCAUCAAUCUGCUUCUUGAGUUCCACCAACUCUGGUCUGGACACUCGAUAGGCUCUCUUAGAAAUAGGGGCGGUGCCUGGAAUAAGCUCUAUGGCAAAUUCAACCUUCCUUUCAGGUGGCAUACCUGGUAACUCCUCGGGAAACACAUCUGGGAAAUCUGAUACUAUAGUGAUAGCCUCUUAUGGUUUAAUCUCCUCAAUAUGAGCGGUGACUUGGUGACAACUCCCUUUCCUUGGUCCUGACAAGACCAAUUCCACUAACACUUCUUCUCCUGAUAGGGACACUAACUUCACUGUUCUCUUAUCACAACUAAGACUGGCUUGAUACUUGGUUAACCAAUUCAUCCCUAGGAUGACAUCUAUAGUUGUAUCCUGGUUACCCAUAACUAUCAAAUCGGCGGGGAACUCUAUCCCUCUUAUUUGAACCUUUGCACUAGGGCAAAAUCUAUCAGUUUGGGUCCUUCCACCAACUGAACUAACUCUCAUAGGUGGAUACAUGGGUGCUACUGGUAUAUUAUGUGAUUCUACCCAUGAUACAAUCACAAAAGAAUGCGUUGCUCCAGUAUCAAAUAAGACAUUUGCAGAAUGGUACUCGACUGAAAAUGUACCUAGUGCCACUCCUGGAGUCUCCUAGACUGUGUCGGCCUCCAAGUGGUUCACCUUUCCAUACUGGGCAUGAGGUUGCCCACAGUUGUUGCCUCCUGGCUGCAUUGCAUUCUGUCUGACUAGGGCAUUGGGAGCAGGCUGCUGCUGAGAUGCUUUCUUUGGGCAAUGAUUCGCCCAAUGGCCUUGUUCACCACAGUGGAAACAUGCACGACUUCCUCCUUGAGCUGGCACUGCUUGAUUGCUCUAGUUGGUUGCUGGGGCAGGAAGACGGGCUGCCUGGUUGCUCUGACGCUGGUAUUGAUUUCCUCCUUGCUGGUUGUUCUGACGGUACUGCUGCUGCUGGUUCUGACGCUGAUGCUGGUGCUGGUGACCUUGCUUGAAUGGCUGAGGUGGGUUUCCUGAGUAGCGAGGACGGCUGCUACUCCCAACCUGAGGUCCACCAAUCUUACGUUUCAUGUCCUCCAUCUCCCAAUGCUUCCUUUCUGUCAUGAUUGCUCUGUCUAUCAGAUGCUGGAAGGUAGGGAAGGUGUAGUUCAUCAGCUGAUAGUGGAGGGGAUCGAUCAAUCCUAUUAAGAAGCGAUACUGUCUCUUGGCAUCUGUGUUGACAUCCUCUGGGGCAUAACGCGACAGCUGCAGAAAGUUGUCCCUGUACUCACUGACAGACAGGGGACCUUGCUUCAGGGUGAGAAACUCCUUCCUCACUAUCAUCAGUCCCUCGGGCACAUGGUAGCGACGGAAGUUAUCCCUGAACUCCUCCCAAGUGAUGGCUUCAGGGUUGGCAUGGGUGGCGAGGUAGGACUCCCACCAAGACUGUGUUGCUCCCCUCAGAUGUCGGGGACCAUACAACACCUUCUCACGAUCGUUGCACUGGGCAGUGUGCAACUCACGCUCCACGGUACGCAGCCAAUCUUCAGCGUCCAUGGGAUCAGCAGAGUGGGCAAAGACAGGGGGAUGACCCCUCAUGAACUAUGCCCGCUUGUCUCUGGGCACUUGAGGCAUCUGGACUUGCACUGGAGGCUGAGGCGGUGGUGGCUGCUGCUGCACCUUCUGCAUGGCUGCUAAUGUCUGACCAAUGGCCUGGGCUGCUUGAGUUUGCAUCAAGAACAUCUGCUCGAUAGUCAUCGGUGGUGGCGGUGGCAACUGCUGCUGCGGAGCUGCCUCCUCUUGGGGUGCCUGCUGUUCAGGCUGAGCACGCCUCACACCGUUGCGCCUGUUCUUAGACAUUUGUAGAAAUCUCAUACAUAUAUCAAAUCUGACUCUGCAGUCUUUCAGCAUAAGAAAAGAUGUAUAGAAGAUCUUCAUAGAACUGAAGAAUUGACCAUCUUCACUGACAACUUCUCAGAUAAAGAGGAAAGUGGAAAUAAAUGGAUUACCCAACUAAAUAACCGACUUUAUUAAUAACUACACCAAGUUGCAGGGGAUACCCACAACUUGGUGAUAAUCAUUACAAAGAUCCAACUUCAGUACAUGUCCAUCAUAACAAGCAUCCAACAUAAAAUAAGCAAACUAACACUAACUACUACUGACUAGACAAAGACACUGAACUAAGCAUUAUUACAGACUCCGACUUUGUCGAUCUAGGGAUCCAAAUCUAUUCGGGUCCUGCAGUCUGGGGUACCAUAGUCGAAGCGACCAUGGGGCGGCGAACGGUAAGGGUGCUGAAUCCCGACAAAGGCGAGAGAACCACCAUCCAGAUAGUGGCGUGCUAUGCACUCAGCACGCAAUUCCGCAACCUCCGCCCGAACCUUACCCAACUCGUCAAGGGCGUGGUCCAAUUCUGUGUUGAGCAUGGCGACCAAGUUGACCAUGUUGUUUAGCCUGGGAUUGCUCUCACCAACUGGCGAGACAAUCACACCUCCAGCACUGUCGGUCGAACGGCGUGGGUAGUACUUGAGAGCACCUAGAGGGGGGGGGGGGUGAAUAGGUGAUCCUGUAAACUUCAACACUAAUAGCCACAAAACUUGAUUAUGAAAGUUAGAACGGCUAAAUGCUUGAAGCGAGUUCUUAAACACAGGUAAUCAAAGGUAAAGCACACAAGAGACACGUGAUUUUUAUCCCGUGGUUCGGCCAAGUAAUACUUGCCUACUUCCAUGUUGUGGCGUCCCAAUGGACGAGGGUUGCACUCAACCCCUUUCAAGUGAUCCAAUGAUCAACUUGAAUACCACAAUUUUUCCUUUCUUUGACUUUCUCCCGUUUGCGAGAAAUCUCCACAACUUGGAGCCUCUCGCCCUUACAAUGAUGAUCACAAAAGAAGCACGGAAGUAAGGGAGGGAAGAGCAACACACACAAGACUCAAAUCACAGCACAAUCACGCACACAAGUCACAACUUGAGCUCAAAACACAACCCAUGGAGUUCACAACUCAAAUGGAGCUCAAGUCACUAUCUCAAAGAAUCAAAUGCGCAAAGUUGAAGUCUUGGAGGCUUAGAAUGUUUCUUGAAUGCUUGGAUAACUCCUCCAUGCGCCUAGGGGUCCCUUUUAUAGCCCCAAGGCAGCUAGGAGCCGUUGGAGGCCAACAAGGAAGGCCAAAGUUGCCUUCUGUCGGGUGGCGCACCGGACAGUCCGAUGCACCACCGGACAACCACUGUUCAUGUCCGGUGCGUGAUCUCCUUCCUAUUUUGGCACAGACGAUCGUUGUAGAUUCGCGACAGUUGGCGCACCGGACAUUGUCCGGUGCUCCCUGCCGACCGUUGGCACGGAUUGCGUGACCGACCGUUGCACUGGCGGCCGUUGGCUCACCGGACAGUCUGGUGAAUUAUAGUCGUACGCCGCUGAUUUUUCUCGAGAGUGGCCUGUUCACCGGAGGCUGGCCUGGUGCACCGGACACUGUUCGGUGCACCACCGGACAGUCCGGUGAGCCAAGCCGAGCUGGACUUUGGCUGUACCAAGCCAAGUCUUUUGCAUCUCUUUUCUUUUCUUCUUUUCUCUGUUUCUAGCACUUAGACAAAAUAUGUUAGUACUCAAAACAAUGUACUAAGUCUAGAAACGUACCUACAUGAUUUGCACUUUUUGCUUGUUUGGCACAUAAUGUCUUACUCACUUAUGUGUUGUACAUUUAAUCACCAAAACAUUAUAGAAAUGGCCCAAGGGCACAUUUCCCUUUCAAUCUCCCCCUUUUUGGUGAUUUAUGCCAACACAUCAAAAAGCAAUGCAAAACAUGCAACAUCGAUUCAAAUUGAAGACCGAAUUGUUUUUUAUUCUAAUUUGGCAUAUUUGGAUCAUUCUUUGCCACCACUUGGUUUGUUUUUGCAAAUUAAAUUCAUUUUCCUAUCUCUAAGUCAAACACACUUGUUUAGACACACAGAGAGAUAUUCCAAUGGAAAAAUUGAUCAAGUGCCAAAAACUCCCCCUUUAUCCCAUAAUCAUAAAUUCUCCCCCACAAGAGACCAAAUUUUGCAAUAAGAGUAUUUUGGACAAAUCAAAAAUUCUAACUCUACUAUUUUCAAAAUUCUCAAGUGGUAGCUGAUCCAUUUGCUUUGGCCUUAAUUUCUCCCCCUUUGGCAUCAAGCACCAAAACGGGAUCAUUUUUGUCCCUUUAACCCCAUUGCCUCACCAAAAUUGUCAAUUAAGAGCAAAAAGGCAAUAAGAUCAUAAGAAUGAACUUGGAGGUGAGUACACUAAUACCGGAGUGCAGUGGAAGUCUUUGCAUGCUCCAAGUUCACCUUUUCCCUUUCAAUGCACCUUUGAGACUACAUCAGGUAACUCAAACACAAGGGUUAGUCUCAAAGGGUCAAGUUGUAGCACUUCUCCCCCUAAAUAUGUGGAUCAUUCACACAUGGACUUGUGAGGUCCGGGGAUCCCUUGCACAACUUGGGCACCAUAAAUAAGCAACAAAUUUCAUAAAUGCAUAAAGUAACAUGAUCAAAGGCAUAAAACACAUGUAUGCUAUAGAUCAAUCCAAGUUACGCGAAUCUAAGACAUUUAGCUCACUACGCAACCUGCAAAAGGUUUUCUCAUCUAAAGGCUUGGUAAAGAUAUCGGCUAGCUAGUUCUCGGUGCUAAUAUGGAACACCUCGAUAUCUCCCUUUUGCUGGUGGUCUCUCAGAAAGUGAUGCCAGAUGUCUAUGUGCUUAGUGCGGCUGUGUUCAACAGGAUUAUCCGCCAUGCGGAUUGCACUCUCAUUGUCACAUAGGAGUGGGACUUUGCUCAGAUUGUAGCUAAAGUCCCGGAGGGUUUGCCUCAUCCAAAGUAGUUGCGCGCAACAUUGUCCUGCGGCAACAUACUCGGCCUCAGCGGUGGAUAGGGCAAUAGAGGUUUGUUUCUUUGAACUCCAAGACACCAGGGACCUUCCUAGGAAUUGGCACGUCCCUGAUGUACUCUUCCUAUCAACCUUGCAUCCAGCAUAAUCGGAGUCUGAGUAUCCAAUCAACUCAAAGGUAGACCCCUUUGGAUACCAGAUCCUGAAGCAAGGCGUAGCAACUAAAUAUCUAAGAAUUCGCUUAACGACCACAAGGUGACAUUCCCUUGGGUCGGAUUGAAAUCUAGCACACAUGCAUACGCUAAGCAUAAUAUCCGGUCUACUAGCACAUAAAUAAAGCAAUGACCCUAUCAUAGACCGGUAUGCCUUUUGAUCAACGGACUUACCUCCUUUUUUGAGGCCGACAUGUCCGUCGGUUCCCAUAGGUGUCUUCGCGGGCUUGGCGUCCUUCAUCCCAAACCGCUUGAGAAGAUCUUGAGUGUACUUCGUUUGGGAGAUGAAGGUGACGUCCUUGAGUUGCUUCACUUGGAACCCAAGGAAGUAGUUCAACUCGCCCAUCAUCGACAUCUCAAACUUUUGAGUCAUCACCCUGCUAAACUCCUCACAAGACUUUUGGUUAGUAGAACCAAAUAUUAUGUCAUCGACAUAAAUUUGGCACACAAAAAGAUCACCGUCACAAGUCUUAGUGAAAAGAGUGGGAUCGGCUUUCCCAACCUUGAAAGAAUUAGCAAUUAACAAAUCUCUAAGGCAUUCAUACCAUGCUCUUGGGGCUUGCUUAAGUCCAUAGAGCGCCUUAGAGAGCUUACACACAUGGUCGGGGUACCUGUCAUCCUCAAAGCCAGGGGGUUGUUCCACGUACACCUCCUCCUUUAUUGGCCCGUUGAGGAAAGCGCUCUUCACAUCCAUUUGAAACAGCCUAAAAGAGUGGUGAGCGGCAUAGGCUAAUAAUAUUCUAAUAGACUCUAGCCUAGCCACAGGAGCAAAAGUCUCCUCGAAAUCCAAACCUGCGACUUAACCUUUUGCCACAAGUUGAGCCUUGUUUCUUGUCACCACCCCGUGCUCGUCUUGUUUGUUGCGGAACACCCACUUGGUUCCCACUACAUUUUGCUUUGGACGUGGCACUAGGCUCCACACUUCAUUUCUCUUGAAGUUGUUGAGCUCUUCCUGCAUGGCCAACACCCAGUCCGGAUCUUGCAAGGCCUCUUCUACCCUGAAAGGCUCAAUAGAAGAGACAAACGAGUAAUGCUCACAAAAGUUAGCUAAUCUUGAGCGAGUAGUUACUCCCUUGCUUAUGUCACCCAUAAUUUGGUCAACGGGGUGAUUCCUUUGGAUCGUCGCUCGGACUUGAGUUAGAGGGGCCAGUGGUGCUUCUUCCUCCAUAACUUGUUCUUCUUGUGCUCCCCCUUGAUCACACGCCUCUUCUUGAGGAACCUGUCCAUCAUCUUGAGUAGGGGGAUGCACCAUUGUUGAGGAAGAAGGUUGAUCUUGCUCUUGUUGUUCCUGUGGUCGCACAUCUCUAAUCGCCAUGGUGCGUAUUGCGGCCGUUGGAACAUCAUCUUCAUCUACAUCAUCAAGAUCAACUUGCUCUCUUGGAGAGCCAUUAGUCUCAUCAAAUACAACGUCGCUAGAGACUUCAACCAAACCUGAUGAUUUGUUGAAGACUCUAUACGCCUUUGUAUUUGAGUCAUACCCUAGUAAAAACCCUUCUACAGCUUUCGGAGCAAAUUUGGAAUGUCUACCUUUCUUCACCAAAAUGUAGCAUUUGCUCCCAAAUACACGAAAGUAAGAAACAUUGGGUUUGUUAUCGGUAAGGAGUUCGUAGGAGGUCUUCUUGAGGAGAUAAUGUAGAUAGAGCCAGUUUAUGGCGUGGCACGCUGUGUUCACAGCUUUCGACCAAAACCGCUCGAGCGUCUUGAACUCUCCAAGCAUCGUCCUUGCCAUGUCGAUAAGUGUCCUAUUCUUCCUCUCUAGCACACCAUUUUGCUGUGGUGUGUAGGGAGCGGAGAACUCAUGCUUGACCCCUUCCUCCUCAAGAUACUCCUCAACUUGUAAGUUCUUGAACUCGGACCCGUUGUCGCUCCUUAUCUUUUUCACCUUGAGCUCAAAUUCAUUUUGAGCCCUCCUUAGAAAGCGCUUUAGGGUCCCUUGGGUUUCUGAUUUAUCCUGCAAAAAGAACACCCAAGUGAAGCGGGAAAAGUCAUCUACAAUUACAAGACCAUACUUACUUCCCCCGAUGUUGAGGUAGGCGACGGGUCCAAAGAGGUCCAUGUGUAGAAGCUCAAGUGGUCUUGAUGUAGUCAUCACAUUCUUGCUGUAAUGAGUGCUUCCCACCCGUUUCCCUGCCUGACAAGCUGCACAAGGUCUAUCUUUUUUGAAGCAGACAUUUGUUAGUCCUAACUAGGGGUGGGCACAUUUUUACCAUAAACCAAAAACCGAACCGAACCGUACCGAACCGAACCGAAAUUUCGGUUUUUUGGUAGUUCGGUUCGGUUUCGGUUUUUUGUAUCUAAGAAGUUCGGUUUUCGGUAUCGUAAUCGGUUUUCACCGUAUACCGAACCGAAAAAACCGAAUACCAAACUUUAUCAAUUCUUAAAUUUGACUAUUCAAUUAUGUGAACUAAAUGUAUGAUACAAUUAAAUUGUUAUUCACUUAUUUGUAUGUGAUGUAUGAUGUAUAUCUAAAUAUUUGUACUUAUAUAAUUUUUACUUUUAAAAAUUAUGUGUAAUCUAUCAUGUAAACUUGUUGUAUGUAUUGUCUUGAUUAUAAGUUUGGUAUUCGGUUUUUACCAAAAAACCGAAGUAAAAAACCGAAACCGAACUUCUCGGUUUUUCAUUUUCUAGAAAACCGAUCGGUUUCUAAUGUUUGAAAAACCGAAGAUUUUUAAAACUAAAAAACCGAACCAAAGUUUAGAAAAAACCGAAUGCCCAGCCCUAGUCCUAACACAUGUUCUCCCUUUAGAAGUUUAUAAAGAUUCUUCAUCCCAACAUGUGCUAGACGGCGAUGCCACAACCAGCCCAUACUAGUUUUAGCUAUUAAGCAUGCAUCUAGAUCGGCCUCCUCUUUUGAAAAAUCAACUAAGUAGAGUUUGCCGUCUAAUACACCCUUAAAAGCUAAUGAACCAUCACUCUUUCUAAAGACAGAAACAUCAACAUUUGUAAACAAACAAUUGUAGCCCAUGUGGCACAAUUGACUUCCAGACAGGAGAUUAUACCCUAAUGACUCUACUAAGAAUACAUUUGAAAUAGAGUUGUCGGGGACCAUAAUUAGGGGUACCCUCAAGGCUCCUAAUUCUCAGCUGGUAACCCCCAUCAGCAUAAAGCUGCAAAGGCCUGAUGGGUGCGACUAAGUCAGGGAUCAGUCCAUUCGAGCGACUCGAUCACGCCUCGCCCGAGCCUAGCCUCGGACAAGGGCAGCCGACCCCGGAGGAUUUCCGUCUCGCCCGAGGCCCCCCUCCAACGGCGAAUAUAUUUCCGGCUCGCCCGAGGCCCUGCCUUCGCUAAGAAGCAACCCUGACCAAAUCGCCGCACCAACCGACCAAAUCGCAGGAGCAUUUAAUGCAAAGGUGGCCUGACACCUUUAUCCUGACGCGCGCCCCCCAGCCGGCAGAGCCGAAGUGACCGCCGUCACUUUGCCGCUCCACUGACCGGCCUGACAGAAGGACAACACCGCCUGCGCCACUUCGACUGCGGUGCCACUUGACAGAGUGGGACUGACAAGCAGUCAGGCCCGGCCGAAGGCACCAUAGGAAGCUCCGCUCCGCCCGACCCAGGGCUCGGACUCGGGCUAAGUCCCGGAAGACGACGAACUCCGCUCCGCCCGACCCAGGGCUCAGACUCGGGCUAAGUCCCGGAAGACGACGAACUCCGCUCCGCCCGACCCAGGGCUCGGACUCGGGCUAAGUCCCGGAAGACGACGAACUCCGCUCCGCCUGACCCAGGGCUCGGACUCGGGCUAAGUCCCGGAAGACGACGAACUCCGCUCCGCCCGACCCAGGGCUCGGACUCGGGCUAAGUCUCGGAAGACGACGAACUCCGCUCCGCCCGACCUAGGGCUCGGACUCGGGCUAAGUCCCGGAAGACGGCGAACUUCGCUUCGCCCGACCCAGGGCUCGGACUCGGGCUCAGCCCCAGAAGACGACGAACUCCGCUUCGCCCGACCCCAGGGCUCGGACUCCGCUCUGGCCUCAGCCGACGGCCUCCGCCUCGCCCGACCUAGGGGCUCGGACUCGACCUCGGCCACGGUAGACAGACUCGACCUCGGCUUCGGAGGAGCUUCCACAUCGCCCAACCUAGGGCGCAGACCAGCCACGUCGACAGGAGGCGCCAUCAUCGCCCUACCCCGAGCUGACUCGGGCCGCAGGAAACAAGACCGGCGUCCCAUUUGGCUCGCUCCGCCAGAUAGGCAAUGAUGACGCCCCCCAUACUCUGUGACGACGGCGGCUCUCGGCCCCCUUACGGAAGCAGGAGGACGUCAGCAAGGACUCAACCGCUCCGACAGCUGUCCCUCCGCCAGGCUCCAUCGCUCCUCCGACGGCCAUGACAUCACACCAGCUGGGUGCCAAAAUCUCUCCGGCUGCCACAACGGCAUGUACUUAGGGCGCUAGCUCUCCUCCGCUAGACACGUAGCACUCUACUACACCCCCCAUUGUACACCUGGAUCCCCUCCUUACGCCUAUAAAAGGAAGGACCAGGGCCCUCUUAGAGAAGGUUGGCCGCGCGGGGACGAGGACGAGACAGGCGCUCGCCUGGGGCCGCUCGCUCCCUCUCCCGCGUGGACGCUUGUAACCCCCUACUGCAAGCGCACCCGACCUGGGCGCGGGACGAACACGAAGGCCGCGGGAUUCCCACCUCUCUCACGCCGGUCUCCGGCCGCCUCGCUCUCCCCCCUUCGCGCUCGCCCUCGCGCUCGACCCAUCUGGGCUGGGGCACGCGGCGACAUUCACUCGUCGGCCCAGGGACCCCCCGGUCUCGAAACGCCGACAGUUGGCGCGCCAGGUAGGGGCCUGCUGCAUAUUGACGAACAGCUUCCCGUCAAGCUCCAGAUGGACAGUCUCCAGCAACCUCUCCAACCCGGGACGGUGCUCCGUUUCGGGAGUCUUGAGUUCAUGUCCCUCGACGGCAGCUACGACAUGAUACUCCUUCCACCGCCGCGCGACAACGACAAUGGCGGCCGACAGCCCGCCCACCGGCGGCGGAAUCGACGACGUCUUCCCCGCGUGGUGGAAGAACAACCUUCGAGCUCAUCCUGCCCUUUCCCCCGCCGACGGAGGGGAAGGCAGGGCGACCAAGGCCAAGCAGGAGGCAGCGCCUCGUCGACUGUCGAGCGAGUCGACAGUCCCGGCACCCCAACGAGGGGUGCACCGGGUAUCGACUUCGCGCUUGAGACGAAGACGAGCGCCGUCUCCCCGCGACACGCCAAUCCCGAGCAAGCGGACGACGCCAGCGCGCUCGCGGAGAGCUUGCUGGAUGUCACCCUCGUACCUGAGACGACGGUGCAGUCAGCCCCCGACGUGACUUUAUCGCCGCUCGUCGACCAAGAGGUACCGACCGAUUCCCAUCCCACAUCAUUUGGAUUCAGCCUCAACCCGCCUAGCGACCAUGCUUUGGCGGGCGCUCUCGUAGAGGCAAGUCCAAACCCUCUAGGGUUUCGCAUGCGGUCGCCUUGGGACCGGCUGACGGACGUCUCGACCUACGGGCCCUCUGGGUCCGAGGAAGACGACGAGCCCAGCAUCUGUUGGGAUUUCUCUGGACUUGGCAACCCCAGUGCCAUGCGGGACUUCAUGACCGCAUGUGACUACUGCCUCUCCGACCGUUCCGACGGUAGCCGCAGCCUCGGCGACGAGGGUUGCGGCCCAAGCCGCGAAUGUUUCCACGUCGAUCUAGGGGGUCCCUCCGAAGGCAAUCAUCUCGGCAUGCUGGAGGACGAUGACCUCCCUAGGCCGGCGCCCCGCGUUGACAUCCCACGGGAGCUAGCUGUGGUCCCCGUUCAGGCGGGGGGCCAUGACCCACAGCUCGAGCAAAUCCGCGGGGUGCAGGCCAGGCUCGACGAGGGAGCAGGAGCGCUUGAGCCGAUCCGCCGGGACGUCAGGCAGGCAUGGGCGGGCCAACCCCCGGCCGGAGAAAUAUGUCAUCCGCCCCAGGGCUUCCAGCACCGCGUCGCCAACGACGUCAGGGACAGGCCGCCACCCGCAUCUAGUGGGGUCGGCCGGAACCUGGCUGCAGCAGCGAUGCUUCUCCGCGCGAUGCCGGAGCCAUCAACCACCGAGGGCCGGCGAAUCCAGGGGGAACUCAAGAAUCUCCUGGAAGGCGCCGCGGUCCGACGGGCCGAGAGCUCUGCCUCCCAAAGGCAGGGAUACCCCUCAGAACCUCAUGCCGCGACUUCCCGAUUCAUGCGGGAAGCCUCGGUCUACACCGGACGCACGCGCAACACCGCGACUGUGGCCCCGGGCCACCUCGGCAACGAGCACCAUCACCGCGACUGUCAGGCCCACCUCGACGAGAGGGUGCGCCGAGGCUACCACCCCAGACGUGGGGGACGCUACGACAGCGGGGAGGAUCGGAGUCCCUCGCCCGAACCGCCCGGUCCGCAGGCCUUCAGUCGGGCCAUCCGACGGGCACCGUUCCCGACCCGGUUCCGACCCCCGACUACUAUCACAAAGUACUCGGGGGAGACGAGACCGGAACUGUGGCUCGCGGACUACCGUUUGGCCUGCCAACUGGGUGGAACGGACGAUGACAACCACAUCAUCCGCAACCUCCCCCUGUUCCUCUCCGACACCGCUCGCGCCUGGUUGGAGCACCUGCCUCCGGGGCAGAUCUCCAACUGGGACAACCUAGUUCAAGCCUUCGCCGGAAAUUUCCAGGGCACGUACGUGCGCCCCGGGAAUUCCUGGGAUCUCCGAAGCUGCCAACAGCAGCCGAGAGAGUCCCUCCGGGAUUACAUCCGGCGAUUCUCGAAGCAGCGCACCGAGCUGCCCAACAUCACCGACUCGGAUGUCAUCGACGCGUUCCUCGCCGGCACCACCUGCCGCGACCUGGUGAGCAAGUUGGGUCGCAAGACCCCCACCAGGGCGAGCGAGCUGAUGGACAUCGCCACCAAGUUCGCCUCCGGCCAGGAGGCGGUCGAGGCCAUCUUCCGAAAGGACAAGAAGCCCCAGGGCCGCCCGUCGGAAGAUGCUCCCGAGGCGUCAACUCAGCGCGGCGCCAAGAAGAAAGGCAAGAAGAAGUCGCAAGCGAAACGCGACGCCGCCGACGCGGACCUUGUCGCCGCCACCGAGUACAAGAACCCUCGGAAACCCCCCGGAGGUGCCAACCUCUUCGACAAGAUGCUCAAGGAGCCGUGCCCCUAUCACCAGGGGCCCGUCAAGCACACCCUUGAGGAGUGCGUCAUGCUUCGGUGCCACUUCCACAGGGUCGGGCCACCCGCGGAGGGUGGCAGGGCCCGCGACGACGGCAAGAAGGAAGAUCACCAAGCAGGAGAGUUCCCCGAGGUCCGCGACUGCUUCAUGAUCUACGGUGGGCAAGCGGCGAAUGCCUCGGCUCGGCACCGCAAGCAAGAGCGCCGGGAGGUCUGCGCGGUGAAGGUGGCGGCGCCAGUCUACCUAGACUGGUCCGACAAGCCCAUCACCUUCGACCAAGCCGACCACCCCGACCAUGUGCCGAGCCCGGGGAAAUACCCGCUCGUCGUCGACCCCGUCAUCGGCGACGUCAGGCUCACCAAGGUCCUCAUGGACGGAGGCAGCAGCCUCAACAUCAUCUACGCCGAGACCCUUGGGCUCCUGCGUGUCGAUCUGUCCUCCGUCCGAGCAGGCGCUGCGCCCUUCCAUGGGAUCAUUCCUGGGAAGCGCGUCCAGCCCCUCGGACAACUCGACCUCCCCGUCUGCUUCGGAACGCCCUCCAACUUCCGAAGGGAAACCCUGACGUUCGAGGUGGUCGGGUUCCGAGGAACCUACCACGCGGUACUGGGAAGGCCAUGCUACGCGAAGUUCAUGGCCGUCCCCACUACACCUACCUGAAGCUCAAGAUGCCGGGCCCCAACGGGGUCAUCACCAUCGGUCCCACGUACAAGCACGCGUUCGAAUGCGACGUGGAGUGCGUGGAGUACGCCGAGGCCCUCGCCGAGUCCGAGGCCCUCAUCGCCGACCUGGAAAGCCUCUCCAAGGAGGUGCCAGACGUGAAACGUCAUGCCGGCAACUUCGAGCCAGUGGAGACGGUUAAGGCCAUCCCCCUCGACCCCAGCGGCGACGCCUCCAAGCAGAUCCAGAUCGGCUCCGGGCUCGAUCCCAAAUAGGAAGCAGUGCUCGUCGGCUUCCUCUGCGCGAACGCCGACGUCUUCGCGUGGAGUCCCUCAGACAUGCCCGGCAUACCGAGGGAUGUCGCCGAGCACUCGCUGGAUAUUCGGGCCGGAGCCCGACCCGUCAAGUAGCCUCUGCGCCGAUUCGACGAGGAGAAGCGCAGAGCGAUAGGCGAGGAGAUCCGCAAGCUAAUGGCGGUGAAGUCCAUCGAAGAGGCGAAAAGCGUCAAGCUCAACCCCGAAAGGUGGGUCUUCGGGGUGCCCCAGGGCAUGGUCUUGGGGUUCAUCGUCUCCAAGCGGGGCAUCGAAGCCAACCCGGAGAAGAUCGCGACCAUCACACAGCACCCCGAGCCCUUGUUGGGGGCACCCGGGGGCUACACGCACCUCCGGGAAAGGCCGCUUGUCAUCGCCAAAGUUCUGAAGCCCGGAACGUACAAGCCGGCCAGUAGUCAAUGCGAGGUCUACGGCAACGCUUGGAACAUCCGACAGCUACGUCGCUUCUACCCUUAAGAUGUUUUCAAGUUGUUCGUAUACCUCGCUCCCACACAAGUCUUAGUCGUCGAGGAAGGGCCAGCCUCGCCUCGGUAGAGCCCGACCCUCCCUCGGGGGCUAAAAAGGGGGGAACCCCUCUGCGUCAAGAUUGGGAAACCUCUCCUCAUCCAAAAUUUUCGAUCAAAAAGGCUUUUGCGUCCCCCCGGCUAUGUCAGAAGCAGGGCCCCAAGGAGCGAACGUGGGUGCAUGUAAGUGGCAAGGCCGACUGAGCCGAGGGACUCCUAUGCCUCCGGGUUAGGGACACCUCACUCGUCACCCGCCACGAAAAGUGACCCCUACUCGGGAAGCCACCCUGUUACUAACAGGCAAAGCCGGACACGCAAAAUAAAAGGAAGAGGAGUACGACUUCAUGCAACGGUAACAAAGUGUUCAGGCCUCAGCGGCCGCAGAAAGACACACGCGCAUCCAACAGAAACUGUUCCAACAGAGUUAGGCGUCGCCUUGGGAAGGAGCCGCGCCUUCAGCUCUGUCCCCGCCUUCGGCAAAGUCCAUCUCGACUUCCGGCGACAGCGCAGGUGGGAGGAUCUCCGCCUCAAAGGUGGUCGCUAACACUGCGCUCGGACCCGCGGCGACCGCAUCGAGCCGCUGGACUUCUGCCAGGGCAGCUUCAUCUUCGUCGGGAAGACAAUACCCCUCACUAACCCGCUCCAGGUCCACAACGUAGUGGGAAGCAAGCACGGUGAAGGCCCGCCUAACGCCGUGGUGUAGCGCCUCGCGGAGUCUGCCGCGCACAUGAUCGCCCAAGGCUUGAAGGCGACUUUGAGGGGAGCUUCCUGAGGGGACGUCGAUGGAGCCAAGGACCCGGUAAACGUCCGAGACGGCCUCGGACAUGGCCGCAUGGUCGGCCUCCCUCUGCUCGGCCGCCCCGGCAAGCGCCUCGGCAAGCGCCUUGGCGGACUCAUCAAGGGCGGACUCGAGCUCUGCGAACAUCCAGAAGAAAGAUCUCAAACACAAGCAGAGGAAACAAGCAGGAACGAAAACCAAGGAUGGCCAAGGCGCACCUCCGGCUCGGGCACGCUGCUCCGAGGCUGCAACCUAGGCUACGGCUAAGUCGGCCGCAAUGGUUUCGGCCCGGCCUUCGGCCUCGGCAGCCCGGCCCCGAGAUUGGUCCCGCUCCUUGACGACCUGGUCGAGCUCCGACUGCUGUCGUUGCGCCUCAGCGCGCGCCGUGGCUGCCUCCGCGCGCGCCGCUGCCGCCUCGGCUCUCAGAUCGGUGCAGAGCAACUGAAGGUCCGCUACCUCGGCACCCUGCUGAGAAAGGCACGCAGUAGCCCCGGCGAGCGAGGUCCUCAGGGAUCGCAGCGAGCCCCAGACGUCGACCUCGCGGCGGAUGAACGACGACUUGGCGGCGCUCCGAUCCGUCAGAUCCUGAGGGAAGGAGGCGGGGCGUCACGAAAGACGCCUUGGUCACAAAAGAAAAAAGGUAUGCUUGAAACCGUUACCUGGAGGAUUUUGGGGACGUCCCUGCAGAAAACCUCCAGCGACGACCGGAGCGACCCCACUGUUGCUUCGGCACACUCGCGGAGCUCAUCCCAGGACUGGUCCUCCCGUUCAUCGUCGAGAACGAAGACGGGAUUCGAAGCCUCACGGGUCUGGAACCGGAGCAGCUGGCGCCGGCCCUCGGAGCUCCGCCGCACAGCGACGAGGUUGCCGCCCGGCGGGACGGAUCGCGUCUCCACGCCCCCCUCUUCCGAGGCACCGAGCGCCGACGCCUCAGCCGUCUCAACGUCGGCGGCGACCGGUCGCCCCCCAACUGGGAUGGCGGUGACUUCAGUAGCGGCAGGCGCCGGCAUGGCCGGCACGUCCGGUGGGCCCGGGGCCACGUCCGCGUCAGCCGCCUCCCCGAUCACAAUGGCCACCUCAGCAGAAGAGCCAGCCUCGGGAACCCGCUCCACGGUGACUGGUGCCGCCUGGGCCCCUUGCGGCGGAGCACCUUGCGAGAAGGUCGGCUGAACGGCAAGGCCCGGAGCGGCGCUGGCCGCACAGGCCGACGUCGUCUUAAGGGCCUUCCGGGGUGCCAGGUCGGUCAGGCCAUGGCUUCGCUUGCUGAGGGAAAAAGAAAAAUCACGGCCGGGACAUAUGAAUGAAAAGCCAGGACGAAGACAUUCCGAGAUACUUACCCGCUCCGGGCCAUGAUCCACCGUGCCUGGGGGGAAGUCUCUUGGAUCUCGACCCCCGGAACCGCCGCCGAGGUCCGCUUCGCCGGCAACUUCGGCGCCACCCUUGCUUUGAACGCCCUGGACGCCCGGGGGGCGGAUUGCCCGGGCACUGUCACGGCGACCUGAGGGUCGCCCCCCUGCACUGCCGGCGCGAGCGGCGGCUCUCGGGGAGCAGACGCCCUGGCCUGGGCCCCCGGGGUCGCCUCAGCUCCUCCAGCCGAGGGGUCAGGUACCCUCUCGGGUUGCCCCCGCCCCUCGGGCCGGGACCCCGACGUCUCGACUUCGGGGACUGACGGCAUCAGCCCGCUCGGGGGCUGGAUUGACGGCUCCUGGCCAAACCCCAAGCCGGGGCUGAGGCCAAGGCGGGCGGCCAUGUCGUCCUCCUCGUCAUCAUCUUCAUCAUCGUCGUCGUCGUCGGGCGUUUCCGGCGACGGCUCCCUCGGGAGCCCCUCCCUCUCCUGCCGGCGACGGAGCUUUUCCAAGGCGUCUCGAGCUCGCCUCCGCUUGCGGGCCUGGGCCUUCUCCGCGUACUUCUUCUUCUUCUUCUCCUCCGCGGCGACCCGCCGCGCUGCUCGGUCCACCGCAUCCUGCGGGACCCGUGGCAGGGAAGGCUUGUGCCACCCCACCUCCUGAAGAAGGGGGAAAACCCCAAUCAUAAGAACUAGGAGCAACCCGACGUAAGAAGAAGGAAGGAGCGGACACUCACCAAAGUCACGCACCCUCGGUCGGGGCACAUCAAAAGCUGGGAGAAGGCGUGGGGGUCCGGCUUCCCCAAUGCGACGGACACCCGCCCGUGGAGGGCGUCGAAGGGAAGAGGAUCAGAGGACAUCCGCGAGCCCUCCAAGUCAGCCUCCGGGGUCAUCUCCCAAAGCGACAGCCGUCGCUCCACCAAGGGAAGCACCCUCCAACGGUGGAUGGCGGCAAUCACUCCCGCAGCGGUGAGUCCCCCCUUCCGCAACGCCUCAAGGCCUGGAGAAGGGGUUCGAGGUUCUUUUGUCUUUCGUGCGGGGUCCCGUGGCGCCAAGCAUCGGUGGCGGUGGUGACUACUCGUUGGGAGAAUGGCGGGAGCAACUCGCCGUCAUUCCGAAGGUAGAACCACCGGCGCUGCCACCCCUUGUUCGAGGACGCAAGGAUGGCGGGAAUAUACUGCGACGCCCGCGACUGCCUCAGCAGGAGGGUGCAGCCACCGGCCCGCACCGCUGCGCGGACCUUCCUCUCCCCCGUCGGCGAGGCAAAAAGCUCCGCGAAAAAGAGAUGGGUCCACAAAUCCCAAUGGGGGGCGAUCCCCAAGUACCCCUCGCACACCGCUACGAAGAUGGCGACCUGCGAGAUGGAGUUGGGGCUGAGGUUGUGCAACUCCACCCCGUAGUGGUACAGGAUCGCCCGCAUGAAGCGGCUCGCCGGCACACCAAAUCCCCACUCAUGGAAGGAGACGAAGCUCACGACGUACCCCGGCGGUGGGGACGGAGCGACUCCGCCCACAGGAGGGAUCCAUUCCGGUCGCUGCCUAUCGGUGAGAGGACGAAGUAAACCCUCGCCAACAAGAUCCUCCAGAUCACUCGCCGUCAUCGUGGAAAAAGGCCAUGGGUCGCGCGGCAAGAUGAUGGUCACCCGGUCAGCCAUCACCGAGCGGAAGAAGUGGCGGCGCAAGGGGCAGGGAGGGCGGUUUCCUCUUCUCUGGCCAAGUCUCUCGGGUUGCGAAAACCUAAGAGGGAGGCAGGAGGCGGAGCGAAGAACCGUCACCAGACCCUCCCCCGGGUAUAUAAAGGCCAAGGCGAGACCGGUUCAAACGUUCCGCCCGGACCGGACGCAGGAUUCAAAAACGCAAAGCGAAACAGCCGUUCCUCGAACGGCUCGCGCACGCGCAACGGCCGCCUCGCCAACCACUCGCCCCGUCGCAUUAACUCCGUGGCGGGACAGGCGGCGCCUCUGGCAGGAGAAGCAGGCAACGCUUCGCCUUCGCCGUAAUAACCGCGCCAAAAAAGGUACGCCGCGUCGUUCGAUUUCGUAUCCUUUUCCUUUUUUCCUCUUUCUCUCUCUUGCAACAGGGACCGGGAAAGGGGGAUACCCCGAAAAGGAUCCUUCCCUGUGAAGGAACCAGGCUCCGAGCCACCCUACUGAUCAGAGGUUCGAAGGCUGCCCCCCCCGAAAGGGUUCGACAGCCGCCUCAGAUCGCGUGGGCCCUACACCCACUACUGGUCAGAGGUUCGAAGGUCGGCCCCUCAGAAGGGUUCCAUGGCCGCCUCAGGCUACUCGGGCUCCGCGCCCAUUACUGAUCAGGGGUUCGAAGGCUGGCCCCCGAAGGGUUCACAGCCGCCUCAGACGCCGAGCGAGGGAUGACCAUGGGUACGUUCGAUACAUAACCAAGGCUCGGGCUGCGCUCCCGAGGUACCCUAGGACAUUUCUGAGACCAGCGGGAGCGAUCUUGUAACGGAAUCCCAUCAGAGGGAGGCAUCGAGCCCUCGGACCCCGUCGCCAGGGGACCGGGUCCGGCAGAUCACCCGCAGGUACUUUUGGGCGUGCCUCUGGGCCCCUAGCCGACCCCUAACGAACGGGGCACAGACGUCCACUCGGAUUACCCGCUUGCAGCUCACCGGAGACACCAUGUUCGGCGCCCAUCGAGGGCAACAUGGCGCUUUCCCCCCUCCUCCUUGCGGAAAGGCGACGCAGGGGCGUAUGAAAAAAGCCGAGUCUUCCCUGAUCGCCCUCUCGCCCUGUGCAGAGGCUCGGGGGCUGCUCUCGCAAACCCGGCUCCGGCCAAACCGUUAACAGCGUCAACAUACCAGCCCGAGAACUUGGGACCCGACCGUACACCCGGGCUACGGCCAGCUCGCAUGAGGGAACAACCAAACCAGCCAAAGCAUUACGCAAGGCAUUAAGACCUCGAAGGAGUAAAACCACUCCUCCGAGGCCUCGGGGGCUACACCCGGCGGGUGCGCUUGCGCGCACCCACCGGAAUAAAAUGCAACCGAGAAAGGCUGGUCCCCUUGCAAAAAAGUGCGACAAAAGCCUCCAAGCGAGUGCUAACACUCCCUUCGAGGCUCGGGGGCUACUGUCGGGGACCAUAAUUAGGGGUACCCUCAAGGCUCCUAAUUCUCAGCUGGUAACCCCCAUCAGCAUAAAGCUGCAAAGGCCUGAUGGGUGCGACUAAGUCAGGGAUCAGUCCAUUCGAGCGACUCGAUCACGCCUCGCCCGAGCCUAGCCUCAGACAAGGGCAGCCGACCCCGGAGGAUUUCCGUCUCGCCCGAGGCCCCCCUCCAACGGCGAAUAUAUUUCCGGCUCGCCCGAGGCCCUGCCUUCGCUAAGAAGCAACCCUGACCAAAUCGCCGCACCAACCGACCAAAUCGCAGGAGCAUUUAAUGCAAAGGUGGCCUGACACCAUUAUCCUGACGCGCGCCCCCCAGCCGGCAGAGCCGAAGUGACCGCCGUCACUUCGCCGCUCCACUGACCAGCCUGACAGAAGGACAGCACCGCCUGCGCCACUUCGACUGCGGUGCCACUUGACAGAGUGAGACUGACAGGCAGUCAGGCCCGGCCGAAGGCACCAUAGGAAGCUCCGCUCCGCCAGACCCAGGGCUCGGACUCGGGCUAAGUCCCGGAAGACGACGAACUCCGCUCCGCCUGACCCAGGGCUCGGACUCGGGCUAAGUCCCGGAAGACGACGAACUCCGCUCUGCCCGACCCAGGGCUCGGACUCGGGCUAAGUCCUGGAAGACGACGAACUCCGCUCCGCCCGACCCAGGGCUCGAAAUCGGGCUAAGUCCCGGAAGACGACGAACUCCGCUCCGCCCGACCCAGGGCUCGGACUCAGGCUAAGUCCCAGAAGACGACGAACUCCGCUCCGCCCGACCCAGGGCUCGGACUCGGGCUAAGUCCCGGAAGACGGCGAACUCCGCUCCGCCCGACCCAGGGCUCAGACUCGGGCUCAGCCCCAAAAGACGACGAACUCCGCUUCGCCCGACCCCAGGGCUCGGACUUCGCUCUGGCCUCAGCCGAUGGCCUCCGCCUCGCCCGACCCAGGGGCUCGGACUCGACCUCGGCCACAGAAGACAGACUCGACCUCGGCCUCGGAGGAGCUUCCACAUCGCCCAACCUAGGGCGCAGACCAGCCACGUCGACAGGAGGCGCCAUCAUCGCCCUACCCCGAGCUGACUCGGGCCGCAGGAAACAAGACCGGCGUCCCAUCUGGCUCGCUCCGCCAGAUAGGCAAUGAUGACGCCCCCCAUACUCUGUGACGACGGCGGCUCUCGGCCCCCUUACGGAAGCAGGAGGACGUCAGCAAGGACUCAACCGCUCCGACAGCUGUCCCUCCGCCAGGCUCCAUCGCUCCUCCGACGGCCACGACAUCACACCAGCUGGGUGCCAAAAUCUCUCCGGCUGCCACAACGGCAUGUACUUAGGGCGCUAGCUCUCCUCUGCUAGACACGUAGCACUCUGCUACACCCCCAUUGUACACCUGGAUCCCCUCCUUACGCCUAUAAAAGGAAGGACCAGGGCCCUCUUAGAGAAGGUUGGCCGCACGGGGACGAGGACGAGACAGGUGCUCGCCUGGGGCCGUUCGCUCCCUCUCCCGCGUGGAUGCUUGUAACCCCCUACUGCAAGCGCACCCGACCUGGGCGCGGGACGAACACGAAGGCCGCGGGAUUCCCACCUCUCUCACACCGGUCUCCGGCCGCCUCGCUCUCCCCCCUUCGCGCUCGCCCUCGCGCUCGACCCAUCUGGGCUGGGGCACGCGGCGACAUUCACUCGUCGGCCCAGGGACCCCCCGGUCUCGAAACGCCGACAAGAGUGCUCGCUUGUGAUGGCUAUCUUUCCCAAACCUUUAACCUUGCCUUGGUUCCCAUCUCCAAAAAUAAUCGUAUCCUAGGAAUCCUUGUUCUUGACAUAGGAGGUGAACAUCUUCUUCUCCCCCAUCAUGUGGUUUGUGCAUCCGCUGUCGAUAAUCCAGCUUGAGCCCCCGGAUGCAUAAACCUGCAAGGCAAUUUACACUUGGGUUUUAGGUACCCAACUCUUGUUGGGUCCUACAAGGUUACUCACAAUAGCCUUUGGAACCCAAAUGCAAGUCUUGUCUCCCUUGCAUUUGGAUCCCAAUUUCCUAGCCACUACUUUUGCAUUCUUACAUAAAAGCGCAAAUGAAGUAUUACAAGCAUGGUAAAUAAUGGUAGAUUCAUUACACACUUCCCUAGGCACAUGAUGCACAACAUUGCUUUUCCUAGGCCUACCAUGCACAAAAGUAGAGCUAGAGGCAAUCAUAGCAUGUGAAUUAAAGGCAUGAUCAUAAUUCCUAUUAUAAUGAGCAUUCCUAGAAAACUUUCUAUCAUUAUAAAUGAAAUCAUGAUUCCUUUGAGUGCUACUAGCCAUAGGGGCCUUCCCUUUCUCCUUGGCGAGAAUGGGAGCCUUUUGGCUUGUUAAGUUCUUGGUUUCCUUUCGAAAACCAAGUCCAUCCUUAAUAGAGAGGUGUCUACCCACGGUGUAGGCAUCCCUAGCAAAUUUUAAUUGAUCGAAAUUAAUUUUGCAAGUCUUAAGUUGAGCAUUAAGACUUGCCACCUCAUCAUUUAAUUUGGUAAUAGACAUAAGGUGUUCAUCACAAGCAUCAACAUCAAAAUCCUUACAUCUAUUACAAAUACUAACAUGCUCUACAUAUGAACUAGAUUUAUUUGCUUCUUCUAGUUUAGCAUUUAAAUCAUCAUUAACACUCUUUAAACUAGACACAGUUUCAUGGCAAGUAGAUAAUUCAGAAGAUAGCAUUUCAUUCCUUUUAAUUUCUAAAGCAAGAGAUUUUUGCACACUAACAAACUUAUCAUGCUCCUCAUAUAAAAUAUCUUCUUGCUUUUCCAACAAUCUAUCCUUUUCAUUUAGAGCAUCAAUUAACUCAUUGAUUUUAUCUACUUUAGUUCUAUCUAAACCCUUAAAUAAAUCAGUAUAAUCUACUUCAUCAUCACUAGAAUCAUCAUCACUAGGAGUAGUGUAUUUGGGGGUAUCACGAACACUUACCUUCUUUUCCUUGGCCAUGAGGCAAGUGUGUCGUUCGUUGGGGAAGAGUGAAGACUUGUUGAAGGCCGAGGCUGCCAGUCCUUCAUCGUCGGAGUCAGAUGAAGAGCAGUCUGAAUCCCACUCUUUGCCAAGGUGCGCCUCGCCCUUUGCCUUCUUGUAAACCUUCUUCUUUUCCAUCUUCCCAUGCUUUUCUUGUUCCUGGUCAUCAUUAUUAUCAGGGCAUUGUGCUAUGAAAUGACCAGUCUUACCGCAUUUGAAGCAGGAGUGCUUUCCCUUUGCUUUGUUUUUAUUGGGGUACUCCUUGCGUCCUUUCAAUGCGGUCUUUAGGGCUGGGCAAAAAACCCAUAAUCCGAAACCCGAACCCGAAAUAUCUGAACCCGAACCCGAAAUACCCGAAACCCGAAUUUUGUUUGGGAAUUUCGGGUAGCAACUUGCAAAACCCAAAUUUAGUUCGGGUAAUUCGGGUAUCACAAUCGGGUACCUGAAAUACCCGAAUUACCCGAACUUUCAUGUGUCAUGUACUCAAGUCAUGCUUAAUUAUUAAUUUGUACAUUUAUAAUUAUGUGUAUGUGUGCAUAACUUGUUAUUGUAGAUUGCUUGUGUUUUAUAUGUCCAUGUAUAUCAUUAUUCAAACUAUAUUUUUAAACUAAUUUGAUAGGGUGUAUGUGUUUUUAUGAAGCCGACCUAAUAGUUCGGGUAGUUUGGGAAUACCCGAACCCGAACCCAAAAUUUCGGGUACCCGAAUUUUCGGGUAUUGCAAAAACCCAUUAUAAUUUUGGGUAUCGAUUCUCAAAACCCGGAAUUUUAAAAACCCGAAUUACCCGACCCGAAAUUUUCGGGUAACCCGAACGCCCACCCCUAGCAGUCUUGACGCGCUUGAUGAUAAGCACCAUUUCAUCUUCGUUGAGGCCCAUGGCCUCCACUUGUGCCACCUUGCUUGGUAGCGUCUCCCUACUGCUAGUAGCCUUAAGAGCCACAGGUUGAGGCUCGUAGACGGGUAGUGGACCGUUUAGUGCAUCGUCCACAUAUCGAGCCUCCUUCACCAUCAUGCGCCCGCUCACAAACUUCCCAAGAAUCUCCUCGGGCGUCAUCUUGGUGUACCUGGGAUUCUCACGAAUAAGGUUGACAAGAUGGGGGUCAAUUACGGUAAAUGACCUUAGCAUUAGACGAACGAUGUCGUGGUCCGUCCAUCUUGUACUUCCAUAGCUUCUAAUUUUGUUGACCAGGGUCUUGAGCAUGUUGUAUGUUUGUGUUGGCUCCUCUCCCCUGAUCAUCGCGAACCUUCCCAGCUCGCCUUCCACCAACUCCAUCUUGGUGAUCAUGGUGGCAUCGUUUCCCUCAUGUGAUAUCUUGAGGGUAUCCUAGAUUUGCUUGGCGUUGUCCAAGCCGCUCACCUUAUUGUAUUCAUCCCUGCACAAAGAUGUUAGCAAAACAGUGGUAGCUUGUGCAUUCUUAUGAAUUUGCUCAUUAAUAAACACAGGGUUAUCGGUACUGUCGAAAUGCAUUCCAUUUUCAACUAUCUCCCAAAUACUAGGAUGGAGAGAAAAUAAGUGACUACGCAUUUUGUGACUCCAAAAAGAGUAGUCCUCUCCAUCAAAGUGUGGUGGUUUACCAAGUGGAAUUGAAAGCAAAUGAGCAUUGGAAUUGAACGGAAUACGAGAAUAAUCAAAUGAAUAAUUUUGAUUAACCGUUUUCUUCUUUGAAGAGGAGUCGUCGUCAUCGUGUGGUGAAGAAGACGAGGCAUCACUAUCGUAGUAGAUGAUCUUCUUGAUGCGCCUCUUCUUCUUUCCAUCUCUUUUCUUAUGACUCGAGCCUGAGUCGAUUGGCUUGUCAUCUCUAGGCUCGUUGAAGAGGGACUCCUCCUUGUCGUUGACCACCAUCCCCUUUCCCUUAGGAUCCAUCUCUUCGGGCGAUUAGUCCCUUAAAUGAAGAGAACGUCUCUGAUACCAAUUGAGAGCACCUAGAGGGGGGGGGGGUGAAUAGGUGAUCCUGUAAAAUUCAACACUAAUAGCCACAAAACAUGAUUAUGAAAGUUAGAACGGCUAAGUGCUUGAAGCGAGUUCUUGAACACAGAUAAUCAAAGGUAAAGCACACAAGAGACACGCGAUUUUUAUCCCGUGGUUCGGCCAAGUAAUACUUGCCUACUUCCACGUUGUGGCGUCCUAAUGGACGAGGGUUGCACUCAACCCCUUUCAAGUGAUCCAAUGAUCAACUUGAAUACCACGAUUUUUCCUUUCUUCAACUUUCUCCCGUUUGCGAGGAAUCUCCACAACUUGGAGCCUCUCGCCCUUACAAUGAUGAUCACAAAAGAAGCAUGGAAGUAAGAGAGAGAAGAGCAACACACACAAGACUCAAAUCACAGCACAAUCACGCACACAAGUCACAACUUGAGCUCAAAACACAACCCACGGAGUUCACAACUCAAAUGGAGCUCAAGUCACUAUCUCAAAGAAUCAAAUGCGCAAAGUUGAAGUCUUGGAGGCUUAGAAUGUUUCUUGAAUGCUUGGAUAACUCCUCCAUGCGCCUAGGGGUCCCUUUUAUAGCCCCAAGGCAGCUAGGAGCCAUUGGAGGCCAACAAGGAAGGCCAAAGUUGCCUUCUAUCGGGUGGCGCACUAGACAGUCCGGUGCACCACCGGACAGCCACUGUUCAAGUCCGGUGCACGAUCUCCUUCUUAUUUUGGCGCAGACGAUCGUUGCAGAUUCGCGGCAGUUGGCGCACCGGACAUUGUCCGGUGCACACCGGAUAGUCCGGUGCCCCCUGCCGAUCGUUGGCGCGGGCCACGCGUCGCCGGAGGAUUGCGCGGCCGACCGUUGCGCUGGCGGCCGUUGGCUCAUCGGGUAGUCCGGUGCACCACCGGACAGUCCGGUGAAUUAUAACCGUACACCGCCGAUUUUUCCCGAGAGUGGCCUGUUCACCGGAGGCUGGCCUGGCGCACCGGACAUUGUCCGGUGUACCACUGGACAGUCCGGUGAGCCAAGCCUGUGGUGGAACCGCCCGAAUUAUUCCAGCUUAAGUGCCUAAGUCACGCCUCAAGGGCCACAACACACUUAAAUCGGAAUAACCCGUCAGUCCCUCAGAUCUAGUCUGAUAGAGCCACUUAUCCGAGAUCCUGAUUAGCAAGCAACUACUCGACCUAGCAUACUAGUAUUCAUCUCAAAAAGGAAUCCUAAGUUCAUGCAACUAGAGGUUUCAAGCAACUCCUACACUUAAGUGCACAUUACAAUCCUACAAGCAUUAAGUGUAGUAAAGUAGUAUAUAAUAAUACAGUUAUGCAUAUAAACCAGGGCUUGCCUUCAAUAGCUGGAGCUGCGGGGAGAUCCUCGAUAGCAGCCUCGGGAGCUUGCUCUUGGUCCUCCUCUUGGACAGUUCCUUGCUCGGGGAUGAGCACGUACUCUCCGUCGGUGAGGUUACAAUCUAAUGAAUGCAAUGCGUAAGAUAUAUGCAUGAUAUGAUAUGUGCUUUAGUAAUUUAAACUUUUGAUGGUGUAUGAUCUACUCGAGUUAGAUAGAGCUAAGUCUUGCUUAUACAAGACUUUUGGUGGUAUACUUGGUAAAUUGGAUCAAAUUUAGCUAAGUUAAGUGGUAGGUUUAUUUUUGGGGUUCCACUGAAUUCUUUUUAAGGUCUUUAGUGAGAAUUGUCAAGAACUCAAGUUGGACUUAUUGGAGUGAGGGUUAUUUCUCCUUUCUCUUUCUUUAUUCUCUUUAAGUUUUUGGAGUGGGUUUGAACUACAAGUCACCUUAAUAAAUUUCCAAAAAUUCUGUAACAAUUACAGUGGCUUAUUACUAGUGUAUAAUUCUCUGUCUCAAAAUUUGGGGUUCAAAAAGUGAAUAGUUUUCUCUGGACAAAAUUGCCAAAUUUUAGGGCAGAAGGGGUGAUUUGAACUACAACUAUCAUUUAAUAGUAGGUAAUUCUCUAGGACUUAUUUUUGCAGGCAUUUAGAUGCUAUAACAUGAUUUGCUACAAAUUUCUAGCCAUUAAUACUUAUUAGUUAUUUUACUAGGAUUUUCUAAAGUUUCUAGCCAAAGGGGUGCUUUCUACUACCACUAUAUUUGAAAAAUAUCAAACAACAGAUUUCUGAAUUUUCCUAGCUUCUUCUUUGCGCAAGAGCAAUCAUUCUGAAGUUUGGCAUCUUUUUGCUUAAGGGAAGGGGUGGUAUGCAUUAAUUGGAUUAAAUGACCUUUCUUACAAAAUAUUGGCAAGGUAUUAUUUUGCAUCUUUCCAAUGGGUUUGUAUUUUUCUCUGGUGGCCUAUCUCAUUAUUGACCUAGCAAAAUUUUAUUUGCCCAUUAUUACAUUAUUGUGGGUUACUCAUAAUUUAAUUGAACUAUGGUUCAUUAUCAUGUUCUAUUUAUUUACCUUACUUCAAAUGAUGGGCUGGGGUGUUUAUUAUUUUUGCAGUGGGGUUUUGGUGGUUACAAGUCCACUGGAUUUUUAUUAUCAAUUUUGGGUCUGGUUUUGUAACUCUAAUAAUUGAUUUCUAGUUGGAAUAAUGUUAAUUAAAACAUUUCACUUUGAAUCUGAUCUGGACUAGAUGUUCCUGUAUUUUUCCUAAAUUCUUUACUACUUAAGCAAACUAAAAAAUAAUUUCAUCCACUGGUCAUUAAUUUCUAAGGUCUUUCUGAUUUUCCUAAGGUUUGGGCAGAAAUGGCUUUUAAUGGAUAUCUACACUAAAAUUUUCAAUACUGGGGUUCUCACUAUUUUUAAACAGUGUUUAAAUGAGGUUUGAAUAUCUACAAAUUUUCUUAGGUUCAGCACAGGAGCAUAACUAAUUUUCCUUAAUUAAACAAGGUUUGGUCAGUUUCUGUAUUUAAUUUUAAACUCUAAAAAUUAGAACAGAAAGCAUAGGGUUCAAUAUUUUUAAUUGAUAGUUCAUAAUAUUUAGAAUUUAGAAAAAUUGGUUUGACAACUUUUGGUUAAGUAUUCAUCAAGUUAUGAAUUUUCUAAGUUCUCUGUUCAUUAAAAAGAUUAAACAGAAAUGAUUAAAUGGAAAACUACUUUGCAACGGGUCCCUGGCGGGUGUUUUAAGUUUUCCUUACAGACUAGUCCCUGGGCUACUAUUCAAUUGAGUCACUGAUAUCUCAGAAAACCCCCUGGAUUCUUCUAAUCCUAACCCGAGGUCCUUCCCCCAAAUUAAACAAUACCCGCGGCGGAAGAAAGGGUGGAGGGGCUUACCGGCGGCGAGACUGCUCCGGUGAGGUUGCCGAGGGUGUAGGGGAGGUUCUGAGGGUCACGGCGAUGUGCGGGUCACCGUCGGGGAUGGUCGGAGUUGGCCGGUCCGCGUGCGCAGGCGGGGGAGCUCGUCGGCGGCGAGGAGUCCGGCCUAUCUAGAGCACAAUUGACCAAUCAAACGGGUCAGAGAGCUUCACCAGGGAUCAAGGAAGGUGUGUGCACGAGGAAUUGAAGAAUGGCUCACCGGAGUGCCUAGUCUACGCGCGCAGGCGGGUGGCCGAAGUCCGGUGAGGUCGAUCUUCGCCUUCCGGUGAAGUUCUGCCAGGUCCGAGGGCUUGGAAAGCUUCACAGGCCAAUGGCGGAGCUAACCGAAGCGCUAGCGCGACUUGGGGGUGACUGGAGUGGGCUGGCCACGGUGGCCGAAGCUCUGGCGGCAAUGGCGGGCGGAAAGGAGCUCGCCAGAGCUAAGGAGGGGUGUCUGGCCGGUGAUGGUGAGCGUGGGGCGAAGUGAGGCGCGCCCGAGGAGGCUUUAUAGGCGCGGGCGAGCACGGCCGAGGGCGGGGCUCUGACAAGCGCUCGAGGCGUGCACAGCGAAUGCCAGUGCGCGCUCUGGCGUCUGGCACAACGUCGAGCACGAGGCAGCGCAGAGAGAGGUCGAGUUCAAGCGCGGAUUGUCCCCAAAUCUUUGAGAUUAUAGCCAUGAUCCCGUUGAGAGAUCUCUUCCUCUCAGGUUCCUUUGUCGUUUGUGUGUGGAGGCUAGCAGGUUUGGCUGACUGGAUUAAGAGAUAGAGAGGGGAGAAAUCUGCUUUCUCCCACUGCCGCACACAGGUAGAAGAUCUCUAGUUUGACGUGUCCAAUGCACGCGUCCCGAUGCCAUCUUCUAGCACAAGACAGAGAGGUUAGUUAUGCACGUUUUUGUCAAUGGGGCCAUUAGGAUUUGAGUUAGGGAUCAAGGUGAACACGCUUGAUCUUUGGCUCAAGGUCUGAAAUUCAGAAUUCUGAAUUUCAGAAUUCCCUAAUGAAAUCCCACUUGAGAGGCUUGUUUAGGGUUUUAUUUAAAUUGUUUUGGCCAAGCUUCCAUAAUCUUUGUUGUUGCUUAUUUAGUAUACUUUAAUAUUUAUAAUUGGCCCAAGCCAUGAUUCUAUAUUCUUCAUACUCUUUUGCCCUUUCUCUUGAAUUUUGUUUAUAGGGCUCAAUUAGGGUUUUUAUUGGGGUUGCACAUUUUGCCUUUUUGAAAAAUCCAUUUGUUUUGAACAUGAUACUUUUAAGUAUAAGCUUAGUGGAUCCUUUGUUCUUAAGUCAAUUUGAUGUUCAUGCUCAAUUUUGGUUCACAUAAGAUGAUGGUUCUUAGGUUAGCACUUGAGAGAAACCCUAGGUGACUCUGGGGUGUCACAGCCUUCCCCCCUUAAAGGAAUCUCGUCCCGAGAUUCGGGUCAGAGUCCUCCCGGGGUGAAGCGAAGGGUGAGACUUAUAGGAAGUGGGUGCUUAUUGUUAUUAUUAGGGCAAACUGCUCUUCGAAUGUCAUUCUCUUUGCAACUUCAGAAGGAAGUCCUUUUUAAAUUUUGUUCCAUGAUUACUUCAUUCUGAUUUAAGAUCAUAUUUCUGAAUUUUAGAUUCGAAGGGCAGGAGGAGGGGUUGGGUGUGAUUACAUACCAGUUUCCUUAGGUAGGCAAUCGGGAAAGUUGGAUCUCAAGAAUUCCUCAGUCUCCCAAGUAGCUUCUUCCUCUGAGUGAUUAUUCCACUGGACCUUGUACAUUUUGAUCGAUUUAGCCCGAGUUGAUCUUUCUUUGCAAUCCAGAAUCUUGGAAGGGUACUCUUGGUACGAUAGAUCUAGCUCUAUCUCCAAUUCUGGCUCUGCUAUGAUCUCGGUCGGCAAUCGAACACACUUUUUCAGCUGAGAUACAUGGAACACACUGUGAAUGGCAGACAUUUUUGAAGGUAACUUCAGCUUAUAUGCCACGGGUCCAUAGGCUUCUAUGAUCUCGUAAGGUCCAAUGUAACGAGGGGCUAGCUUGCCUUUGAUUCCAAACCUCUGCACUCCCUUGGUGGGUGAUACCUUGAGAUACACGAAAUCUUCCACCUUGAACUAGAGAGGUUUCCUUCUUUUAUCAUGGUAACUCUUCUGCCUGGCCUGAGCAGCUUCUAGAUUUUUCCUGAUUAGUUUGACCUUCCUUUCGGCUUUAGUCACUAAGUCAGGUCCGAAAACUUCUCUUUCUCCAGGCUGAGACCAAUUGAGUGGUGUCCUGCACCUUCUUCCAUAGAGAGCUUCGAAAGGUGCCAUCAUUAGGCUGGAUUGAUAACUGUUGUUAUAAGCAAACUCUACCAAGGAGAGGUGCUUAUCCUAGUUCUUGCCACAAUCGAUUGCACAAGCUCUCAGCAUAUCCUCCAGAAUUUGGUUUACCCUUUCCGUCUGACCAUCAGUUUGUGGGUGGUAAGCUGAACUUCUGAUUAGCUUGGUUCCCUAAGACUCCUGCAACUGUUCCCAAAAUCUGGCAACAAAUUGGGCUCCUCGGUCAGAAACAAUGGUCCGAGGUAAUCCGUGCAAACACAUGAUCCGGUCAAUGUACAACUCUGCAUACUUUUGAGCCUUAUCAGUGGUGUGCACAGGGAGAAAAUGUGCCACUUUCAUCAGUCGGCCCACAAUAACCCAAAUCGAAUCAUGAUGACGAGAGGUGUUGGGCAGACCCACAAUGAAAUCCAUGCUGAUGUCAUCCCAUUUCCACGAAGGUAUAGAUAGGGGUUGCAAAGCUCCAGCUGAUUUCAAGUGGCUUGCCUUUAUCCUCUGACAGGUGUCACAUUCCGAUACAUACUGGGCUAUCUCCCUCUUCAUUCUGGUCCACCAAUACAAAGGCUUCAGAUCAUGGUACAUUUUGGUGCUUCCUGGAUGCAUAGAGAAUUUGGAGAGAUGAGCCUCGUCCAAGAUUUUCUUCUUGAGGUCCUUGUUUUUAGGAAUCACCAAUCUGCUUUUGAACCAUAAUACACCCUUUUCAUCAUGGCGGAAACACUUAUACUUCUCAACCUUCUGAUGGAGAUUCUCCUUGAUAAUCUGCACUCCCUUGUCACUGAGCUGGGCUAUGAUGAUCUGGUCUUGCAAAGCUGGCUCGACAGAAAUGUGAGACAAAGCACCAGAAGGAAUCACUUCUAUUUGCAUCUUGCUCAACUCAUCACACAAGGUGUUGAUGCGAGAAUCCAUCAGAAUACAAUUGCAUUGCAACUUCUGACUCAAGGCAUCUGCUACCACAUUGGCUUUCCCUGGGUGAUAAUGUACCUCCAGGUCAUAAUCCUUGAUCAGCUCUAGCCAUCUUCUCUGCCUCAUGUUGAGAUCAGCCUGAGUAAAUAUGUACUUAAGGCUCUUAUGAUCAGUGAAGAUGUUGCAGUGGGUUCCCAUUAAAUAGUGCCUCCACAUUUUUAAUGCAUGAACCACUGCUGCCAACUCGAGGUCAUGAGUGGGAUAAUUUUGCUCAUGAGGCCUGAGUGCUCUUGAGGCAUAAGCAAUGACUCGAUUGUCUUGCAUUAAGACACAACCUAGUCCAGUGCCAGAGGCAUCACAAUACACAUCAAAAGGCUUGCUGUUGUCGGGUUGCGCUAAUACUGGUGAUGUGGUCAGAUGCUUCCUUAAUGCAUGGAAGGCAUCUUCGCACUUCUGACUCCAAACAAACUUGGCUUCUUUCUUCAGCAGCUCAGUUAUAGGCUUCGCAAUUCGAGAGAAAUCCGGAAUAAAUCUUCAGUAAUAACCAGUUAAUCCUAGAAAACUCCGAAUCUGACGGACAGUCGUUGGUGGCUUCUAGUUCAUCACCUCUUGCACCUUAUCAGGAUUAACAGCUAUUCCUGCCUGAGAGAUAGUGUGACCCAAGAAUUUGAUUUCCUUUAGCCAAAAAUCACACUUUGACAACUUGGCAUAAAGGUGGUGCUCUCGCAGACGUUGAAGUACUACAUGCAAAUGCCCGACAUGUUCUUCUUCGUUCUUAGAGUACACCAAGAUAUCAUCGAUGAACACCACUACAAAUUUGUCCAAUUCAGGCAUGAAAAUAGAAUUCAUCAGAUACAUGAAAUAUGUUGGUGCAUUAGUCAGCCCGAAAGACAUCACCAAGAAUUCAUAUAACCCAUAUCUAGUUGAGAAUGCCGUCUUCGGAAUAUCGCUUGCUCGUAUCUUGAUCUGAUGGUAGCCGGAGCGAAGGUCUAUCUUGGAAAACACCUUGGCCCCGACCAACUGGUCAAAAAGAACAUCAAUACGAGGUAAAGGAUACUUGUUCUUGAUAGUUACUGCAUUAAGAGGGUGGUAAUCUAUACACAGCCUCAAGCUUUCAUCCUUCUUCUUCACAAACAGUGCUGGACAUCCCCAAGGCAAAGUACUUGGGCGAAUAAAUCCCUUAUCCAGCAACUCCUGCAAUUGCUUCUUCAAUUCUGCCAACUCAGCGGGUGGCAUUCGGUAGGGCCUCUUGGACAUUGGUGCCGUUCCCGGUUGCAACUUGAUGGCAUAUUCAAUAUCCCGGUCGGGUGGCAUUCCUGGCAAUUCAUCAGGAAAGACAUCUGCAUACUCACAGACCACUGGGAUUUUCUUCAGAGGUAACUCCGUCAUAGAGAAAGCACAUGACUGAGUAGAACCUUGACUGGGCAGAAUUAAGGUGAAGUUCCCACAGAAUGGAGAAUUGAUUUCCACGGUACGGCUGGCUACAUCAAGCACAACUUGGUGCAGGGUCAUCCAAUUAGCUCCCAGAAUAAUGUCCACAUUUUCCAACCCCAAAACAAGAAGGGUGGUUUUGACAAUGUGGCUUCCCAGUUGAAUAGGCACACUUUGGUUUAAUUGAUUAGUUGAAAUUUUACCCCCAGGUGUGACUAUUAUAAACGACCCUUUUGAAUGAGAGAAUGGCAGUUCACAUUUAGCACUGAACUUUUGGCUAAUGAAACUAUGAGAUGCACCAGAAUCAAACAGAAUUAAAGCAGGUUGAUUAUAAACUGAAAAGAUACCGGUCAUGAUAGGAGCUCCCUCAGGUACUUCCUCCAGAGUAGUGAAGUUGAGCUUCCCUUGCCUGACUUGUACCUUCUGCUUUCUUCCCUUGUCUUGACUUGGUGCUGACAUCUGCCUUUGCUGGUUCCUGGGACAAUUCUUGGCAUAGUGUCCCACAUUGCCACAAGUGAAACAUUUGUUCCCAUUGCCCUAGCGGAACUGCUGUUGCUGUGGAGGCUGAUUGUUCCUUGGAGCGGGAGCUGGAAAGCGGUUGGGUGCCGGCUGCUGCUGCUGAGGUGGCCUGAUCACCCAUCUGCCUGCCUGCUGCUGAAAACCCCUGCUCUGAUUGUGAGAAACAAUCCUGAACCUCUGGGCCUGAGCGGAUGGUGCUGCCAUUGGUGCCUUUCUCUUCUUCUCUGCCCGGUGAGCUACAAUGCAAUCAUCCUGGGAGAUGGCCAGGUUGACCAACUCAUUGAAGCUCUCAGCCCGGACAGUGUUGAGUCGUUCCCACAGCUUGGUGUUAAGACCCCUGCGAAAGCGGUCUCUCUUCUUCUCAUAAGAAUCAGCAUGGUAACCUGCAUACUAGCAUAGGUCGUUGAAGGCCUGCGCAUACUGCAGUACCGUGCGGGUUCCUUGAUUAAGCGCCAGAAACUCAUUCAGCUUGCGAUCAAGAAUGCUAGCUGGGAUGUGGUGCCCUCUGAAAGCAGUCUUGAAUUCCUCCCAAGACACUUCAUGAUCAGCGGGGAGCAUAGCACGGAAGUGGUCCCACCAAGUCCGAGCAGGGCCGCGAAGCUGCUGCGCGGCGAAGCGAGCCUUGGCUUCAUCAGGGCAGUCUCCCGUGAGGAGGGAAAACUUGGAAUCAACAACGCGGAGCCACACGUCGGCGUCCAACGGAUCCUCUGCCUUGGUGAACAAGGGUGGCUGCGUGCUCAGGAACUCCUAGUAGGUUGCCGCUGCCGGAGGUCGCUGAUGCUGGCCUCCACCAUGCUGCUGAGGGUGGGGCUGGCGCUGCAAGAGCUAUCGCAGAAUCUCAUUCUGCUGGGCCAUCAGCUCCUGCACUGUGGGAGCUAGAGGAGGUGGCGGGGGAACCUGCUCGUUAUGCCCGCGACGCUGCCUAGCCAUCUGAAAACAGAGAUUGUCGCCAUUGUUAUCCCAACUCACAAUUUCGAACGACAAGAUAUUAUCUCAUAUGGAAGGAAAAAUGCCAUAAUCAUAAUAUUAGGUUCGAAAUGAAGAUAACGUGGUUACAAACAUCCCACAGAUUUCAAAAGUUCACAGGGUUACAUCAAUCAGGGGAAAGUACCCGUAAGCCUAGUCCAAAAUCUGACAUUAACUAAGCUCGCAUAGGUUUCUAUCCGCCUAAAAGUGUCGAAGUGACUGAUCAACCCUGAGCGGUGGAAGCGACACUGGAUACGUGUGAGGGAGGCAUUGCGGAGGUAGUCCCAUUGGCACCAGGGGUUGGUCCUAGCUCCUCGGGAGCCUCUUCUCCCUCGCUUCCGGCUUCAUUGGCCUCCAUCUCCAAGUGGUGCAUGUCCAGGUGGUCAUUCGCUUCUUCGAGUUCCCUCUGCACAUCGUGGAGCUGGUUCUCCAAGACAUCAAUAGUGUUGUCUCGGAUCUCCACCUGCUGCUCCAAGGUGGUAAUGCGCUGGCUCAGCCUUUCCACCUGCAGAUCCUUCUCCACCAACUCGGAGGAUAAAUCGACCACAAAAUCUUCUCGGCUAUCGAGAGUGAGCUUGGUGGUUUGAGCGAUGUUAGCAAGGUGUGCCAUAGCGUCGCUCUGAAGGGCCUGAAGGCAGUACAACGCACUCAUGCACUGAACGGUGACCCUCCCAACCAAGUCAGGAUACAUUGCCCACACAUCCUUCACAUGGCUCACACGGUUACACCACAUGGGGUCAUCCUUCUUCUCAGCAGGGAAGAGUCCCAAGGGGUGCAUCACCAUCUCCAGGGGAUGGUAGCCACAGAAAGUCGUCAGAGUCUUCAUGGCUGCCGCUUCAGUGGUGUCGUCCGUCCUGAAUCCAACUGUCUCGGAAUAAAGAGAACGCCAACCUGGCUGAAGGGGAUGAGCCUCCAAAGUCAGCCAGACCCGACAACGAGGUACGCGAUGCUCCUCAUACAGUUGCACCGUGUACAAAGGGGGCGUAGGGUAACCGGCAGAGUUGAGUACUUCCCACAAGAUGGAAGGAAAGCCAUCGUGAGAAAGGAAGUCAUAACUGAAACGGGUGUCUCCUCCACUGGCGGGGGUGGGUGAAUUCAUCUGCGGAAGGGUAUCAAAGGUAAAGAUUGUGGUGGAAGGAAAAAAAGAGCCCGGAUGGUUUUUUUAAAGGAAGUGGGUUAGCUCAAGUUUUAAUUCCCUUUUGUGUUCAUAAUGCAUGCAUGCUGGAAGUAACGUCUCCUCUCCAAAUAAUAGGGUGCUCUUAGGGCAUCCUUAAAAGUCUAAGUACUGGCCCACGGGGCCUACUUAAUUAGCCACCUAUUUCUCCCUCUAUGCUUAAGGCCUUUCACCCUAGGUCUAGCGGUCUAGUCCUGACGAUCCGUAGCAGUUUCUAGGCAAGUUUUAAAUUUUGAAAAUGGGAUUCAUGGUUUAUUGUCCUUUUCUGUGGUGGAAUUUGCUCCGAUACCAGCUAUGGCGGAACCGCCCGAAUUAUUCCAGCUUAAGUGCCUAAGUCACGCCUCAGGGGCUGCAACACACUUAAAUCGGAAUAACCCGUCAGUCCCUCAGAUCUAGUCUAAUAGAGCCACUUAUCCAGGAUCAAAUUCCACAAUCUCACUCGAAGGUGAGUCAUAGAAGAAAUACAAUAAAACAGGAAACCUCAAAUUAAGUACUGAAUUAUUACAUAGAUCGGAGUUUUUUGAGUAGCAAAUAAGAGUUCACGAAAUAAAAUGCAUCGGAUAAUCGAUGUCGUCGGUAUCGAGGAAAUGGGCAAGGCCUAGCCCACUACUCCUCGUGCUCCUCUCCUGCCGAAGCAACAUCCCACUUGACCAUCCAACCCGGUGGCAGGGUGGUAGGCCAAGUCACACCAUCAACCAUAUCCUGAAUCGUACCUGCAAAAAUUAUGCCACAAGCAAGGCUGAGUAUACUAAUACUCAGCUAGACUUAACCGGUGUGAGGAAUCUACUCCUCUACCUCUAGACUAUGCAGCUGAUUGGCUGAGGGGUUUGGUUUGCCAAAAGCACUAGCUGUUUCUAAAAUCAAUUUUUAACUUUUCAAAUUCUAGCAUCAUUAUCUUAGCUAGGUUUGCUCCUUCUAAGCAUACAUGGUGACAAGCAUUUAGUUCAAUCAACAAAUUGUCUCAUGUAACCUCAUUUCACUUCUUACUCGAUGUAGUACAAGGGGUCAAGCAGUCUCAUUAGCUGCGAGAAGCAGAUGAUUCGAAUCGAGUUUUUAUCCUUGCAAGGUAAACCUAAACACACGCCAUGUCAGGGUACUCCGUCCCCACACAUGCCAACCGUCCCCAUCGAUCUGUUCACGUCCAGGCCUCACCGCCUUGGCAUACAAUGCUCCACUGACCCCGGCUACCGCCGGGCAGUGACCACACUUGUACCCACCAUAGCUAGCAUGGGAGACCCAGUCUCAGGUCGCAUGAGGGAUAAAGUCCGCGCCCGGCUUCACUCAGGUACUAGGUUUACCGGUUACCAUAUUUCCCGACAUGUGCUUAGUACGUUCAAAAGCUUGACUCAGGUAUGCACACAUUAAUCCUUAAUUCCUUUUUCUCGUCUCAUGGACAAGGCAUCCUCCCUGGAUCCAAGUCCAUAGACUAACAUAGAUCCCGUUAUCAAGAUGAAUACAAUCAAUUCCUGACCUCGCGCGAGUGCUAGAAAAGUCACUCGACUUCUACCGAGAUCCUGAUUAGCAAGCAGCUACUCGACCUAGCAUACUAGUAUUCAUCUCAAAAAGGAAUCCUAAGUUCAUGCAACUAGAGGUUUCAAGCAACUCCUACACUUAAGUGCACAUUACAAUCCUACAAGCAUUAAGUGUAGUAAAGUAGCAUAUAAUAAUACGGUUAAGCAUAUAAAUCGGGGCUUGCCUUCAAUAGCUGGGGCUGCGGGGAGAUCCUCGAUAGCAGCCUCGGGAGCUUGCUCCUGGUCCUCCUCUUAGACAGUUCCUUGCUCGGGGAUGAGCACGUACUCUCCGUCGGUGAGAUUACAAUCUAAUGAAUGCAAUGCAUAAGAUAUAUGCAUGAUAUGAUAUGUGCUUUAGUAAUUUAAACUUUUGAUGGUGUAUGAUCUACUCGAGUUAGAUAGAGCUAAGUCUUGCUUAUACGAGACUUUUGGUGGUAUACUUGGUAAAUUGGAUCAAACUUAGCUAAGUUAAGUGGUAGGUUUAUUUUUGGGGUUCCACUGAAUUCUUUUUAAGGUCUUUAGUGAGAAUUGUCAAGAACUCAAGUUGGACUUAUUGGAGUGAGGUUUAUUUCUCCUUUCUCUUUCUUUAUUCUCUUUAAGUUUUUGGAGUGGGUUUGAACUACAAGUCACCUUAAUAAAUUUCCAAAACUUCUGUAAAAAUUAUAGUGGCUUAUUACUGGUGUAUAAUUCUCUGUCUCAAAAUUUGGGGUUCAAAAAGUGAAUAGUUUUCUCUGGACAAAAUUGCCAAAUUUUAGGGCAGAAGGGGUGAUUUGAACUACAACUAUCAUUUAAUAGUAGGUAAUUCUCUAGGACUUAUUUUUGCUGGCAUUUAGAUGCUAUAACAUGACUUGAUACAAAUUUCUAGCCAUUAAUACUUAUUAGUUAUUUUACUAGGAUUUUCUAAAGUUUCUAGCCAAAGGGGUGCUUUCUACUACCACUAUAUUUGAAAAAUAUCAAACAACAGAUUUCUGAUUUUUCCUAGCUUCUUCUUUGCGCAAGAGAAAUCAUUCUGAAGUUUGGCAUCUUUUUGCUUAAGGGAAAGGGUGGUAUGCAUUAAUUGGAUUAAAUGGCCUUUCUUACAAAAUAUUGGCAAUAGGUAUUAUUUUGCAUCUUUCCAAUGGGUUUGUAUUUUUCUCUGGUGGCCUAUCUCAUUAUUGACCUAGCAAAAUUUUAUUUGCCCAUUACUGCAUUAUUGUGGGUUACUCAUAAUUAAAUUGAACUAUGGCUCAUUAUCAUGUUCUAUUUAUUUACCUUACUUAAAAUGAUGGGCUGGGGUGUUUAUUAUUUUUGCAGUGGGGUUUUGGUGGUUACAAGUCCACUGGAUUUUUAUUAUCAAUUUUGGGUCUGGUUUUGUAAUUCUAAUUAAUGAUUUCUAGUUGGAAUAAUGCUAAUUAAAACAUUUCACUUUGAAUCUGAUCUGGACUAGAGGUUCCUGUAUUUUUCCUAGGUUCUUUGUUACUUAAGCAAACUAGGAAAAAAUAAUUUCAUCCACUGGUCAUUAAUUUUUAAGGCCUCUCUGAUUUUCCUAAGGUUUGGGCAGAAAUGGCUUUUAAUGGAUAUCUACACUAAAUUUUUCAAUACUGGGGUUCUCACUAUUUUUAAACAGUGUUUAAAUGGGGUUUGAACAUCUACAAAUUUUCUUAGGUUCAGCACAGGAGCAUAACUAAUUUUCCUUAAUUAAACAAGGUUUGGUCAGUUUCUGUAUUUAAUUUUAAACUCUAAAAAUUAGAACAAAAAGCAUAGAGUUCAGUAUUUUUAAUUGAUAGUUCAUAAUAUUUAGAAUUUAGCAUAAUUGGUUUGACAACUUUUGGUUAAGUAUUCAUCAAGUUAUGAAUUUUCUAAGUUCUCUGUUCAUUAAAAAGAUUAAACAGAAAUGAUUAAAUGGAAAACUACUUUGCAACGAGGUCCCUGGCUGGUGUUUUAAGUUUUCCUUACAGACUAGUCCCUGGGCUACUAUUCAAUUGAGUCACUGACAUCUUAGAAAACCCCCUGGAUUCUUCUAAUCCUAACCCGAGGUCCUUCCCCCAAAUUAAACAGUAUCCGCGGCGGAAGAAAGGGCGGAGGGGCUUACCGGCGACGAGACUGCUCUGGUGAGGUGGCCGAGGGUGUAGGGGAGGUUCUGAGGGUCACGGCGAUGUGCGGGUCACCGUCGGGGAUGGUCGGAGUUGGCCGGUCCGCGUGCGCAGGUGGGGGAUCUCGUCGGCGGCGAGGUGUCCGGCCUAUCCAGGGCACAAUUGACCAAUCAAACGGGUCAGAGAGCUUCACCAGGGAUCAAGGAAGGUGUGUGCGCGAGGAAUUGAGGAAUGGCUCACCGGAGUGCCCAGUCUACGCGCGUAGGCGGGCGGCCGAAGUCCGGUGAGGUCGAUCUUCGCCUUCCGGUGAAGUUCUGUCAGGUCCGAGGGCUCGGAAAGCUUCACAGGCCAAUGGCGGAGCUAACCGAAGCGUUGGCACGACUUGGGGGUGACUAGAGUGGGCUAGCCACGGUGGCCGAAGCUCUGGUGGCAAUGGCGGGCGGAAAGGAGCUCGCCGGAGCUAAGGAGGGGUGUCUGGCCGGCGAUGGUGAGCGCGGGGCGAAGUGAGGCGCGCCCGACGAGGCUUUAUAGGUGCGGGCAAGCACGGCCGAGGGCGGGGCUCUGACAAGCGCUCGGGGCAUGCGCGGCGAACGCCAGUGCGCGCUCUGGCGUCUGGCACAGCGUCGAGCACGAGGCAGCGCAGAGAGAGGUCGAGUUCAAGCGCGGAUUGGCCCCAAAUCUUUGAGAUUAUGGCCAUGAUCCCGUUGAGAGAUCUCUUCCUCUCAGGUUCCUUUGUCGUUUGUGUGUGGAGGCUAGUAGGUUUGGCUGACUGGAUUAAGAGAUAGAGAGGGGAGAAAUCUGGUUUGUCUCACCGUCGCACACAGUGAGAAGAUCUCUGGUUUGACGUGUCCAAGGCACACAUCCCGAUGCCAUCUUCUGGCACAAGACAGAGAGGUUAGUUAUGCAUGUUUUUGUCAAUGGGGCCAUUAGGAUUUGAGUUAGGGAUCAAGGUGAACACGCUUGAUCUUUGGCUAAAGGUCUGAAAUUCAGAAUUCUGAAUUUCAGAAUUCCCUAAUGAAAUCCCACUUGAGAGGCUUGUUUAGGGUUUUAUUUAAAAUGUUUUGGCCAAGCUUCCAUAAUCUUUGUUGUUGCUUAUUUAGUAUACUUUAAUGUUUAUAAUUGGCCCAAGCCAUGAUUCUAUAUUCUUCAUACUCUUUUGCCCUUUCUCUUGAAUUUUGUUUAUAGGGCUCAAUUAGGGUUUUUAUUGGGGUCGCACAUUUUGCCUUUUUGAAAAACCCAUUUGUUUUGAACAUGAUACUUUUAAGUAUAAGCUUAUUGGAUCCUUUAUUCUUAAGUCAAUUUGAUGUUCAUGCUCAAUUUUGGUUCCAUAAGAUGAUGGUUCUUGGGUUAGCACUUGAGAGAAACCCUAGGUGACUCUGGGGUGUCACAAAGUCGAGCUGGACUUUGGUUGUACCAAGCCAAGUCUUUUGCAUCUCUUUUCUUUUCUUCUUUUCUCUAUUUCUAGCACUUAGACAAAAUAUGUUAGUACUCAAAACAAUGUACUAAGUCUAGAAACGUACCUUGUUACAUGAUUUGCACCUUUUGCUUGUUUGGCACAUAAUGUCUUACUCACUUAUGUGUUGGACAUUUAAUCACCAAAACAUUAUAGAAAUGGCCCAAGGGCACAUUUCCAUUUCAGUACUUCAGGUCAAGGUCAUCAGCUACCCCGCUGAACAACGAGCAAUACUGAGAAAGUGCCCGUCGUGCUGCAUCUUGCAUGGCUGCCUCGACAAUGUCCCUCUCAGUAAUAGAAUAGUGAUCUGAGAAGGCCUCUGCACCCCGGAGAUCAUCGUCCGGACGGCGCACCAAGCAAGUAGCCUCCCACUGGUCCGGGUAUAGCCCGUGACGAUGCUGGUAGACUACACAACGAUACUCGAUAGACCAUGUGUGUCAGUCGAAGGCCCGACGCAGCAGGGUAUCGAGAGUGUCGUGGAAGUGACACCCGCGAGCGACGUCACGAGUGAUGGGUCUAGCGAUCCAUCCCUCCGGCUCUGGCUCCUCCGAAAGCUCCGUGUCGUGGCUCGAACCGCCAUCGGCGUCGUCGUCGUCUUCAUCUCCGUCUCCAUCAGGGUCUCCUACAGCAGACGUGAUGCCCUGAGGUGGUGCAGGGGGCAUCUCUAGCUGAGGUGCAGGGGAAGGAGGCCUCUCAGACUCCACCUCCUGCUGAGGCAAGGGGGAAGAGUCCUGCUGCUCCUGCUCCUGCUCCUGGCGUCCGCGCUCCUGCUCCUUGUGCAGGCGACGAUGCAGUCUCUCCAGGUGACUGGACUGACCUGGCACCGUGCGACGCAGGGGACGCUUCGCCAGGCGAGAAGGCAAAAAGGGUAUCAAAGACUUAUGUGCAGUGCACCUGAUACGAGCCAUCUAUAGAAGACAUCGUAAGCACAAGAGUAAGAGUAGAACUAUAAGACCAGAAAGUAAACAGAAAGAAAAGUGAGACAAAACUUUUUGAGGUAAGUAGAUAACAUAGAGUUGGUCAAGAUGACCAACUUUUGAAAAGACUCUAAGAUCAAGGUAAGAGUAAGGGUCUAUAGUCCUUAGGGUGACCAUUCUAGUCUAGGUUAGCGGUCCUACAGUCAGCAAGAGCUUUGAUACCACUUAUGUCACACUCAGUUUUGGAAGGUAAACUGAAUGCGAACUAUGUACGUGCCAGGAUCAGAAACUCACGUACACAACAAUUACAUAAUUGGACAUCAUCACAUAAUGCUCGAAAUAAAUAGCGGAAAGGUACUUUAUUACAUCAAGAUGUCCAAGACAUCCACAAAUUCUAAUACAGAACCAUUGUUCAACAUAAUUAUCAAAGUGCGGAAAUACGAAACGUAGAUGCUAAGCCUACACAGGCAGCUGACUGGGGGUUUGCCACUAAGAAAGAACUAGAACUCGUCAUAUUCCUAGAACUCCUCGAAGUCAUCCAUGUUGCCAGCAUCACCUCCUGAGCAUUGGGCACACUGGGGACAACCUGGGGUGAAGUGGUGUGUAAAGCAAGGGUGAGUACACAUCAACGUACUCAGCAAAUGUCCCAUUUGGCUAAAGUGGACUAGCUGUAUAUGGAGUUUGAGGUUAAGUAGUUGCUUUUAGUUGGUCAAGUAUUUAUUAUUAUUAGUAUAGCCAAGUUUUAGUAAUAAACCCAUUUAUUACCCAGAAGUACCUCCUCAAACGAGGAAAUACCUAAGAUUAGAUUUUAUAACAUCAUUAUUAGUCAUCAUCAUAAAAGUAUCCAAAGUUCUUCUUAUCAAAGAGGAUCCCAAGGCUGCUCUUAACCGUGAGCUCGACUGAUAUACCAGUUUUUAACACUCUGCAGAGGUUGUACACUUUACCCACAAGUCAUGAUCCCUUUCCAGCCUAGGUUGUACAGACCCGAUCUUCACUACCAAGGUGAAUGGCCAGGGAUACACUACGUAGCCUUUACAAAGACUCCCCUGGUGCAUAACUGCUCAUUAGGUUUCGCCAGUCGUACAAACGCAGUACACCUCCCCAAGGUGGGUGACUAACAAAACCAAAUCGAAAGAACCUCUGCACCCCAACCUUGGCAGAGCGAGCACUACGCCCCGGCCCCCAUUGACGGCCAUCCGGCAAAGCCAACUACACCCCCAGGUUCAUCUAAUUAAUCAAGUAAGGGCAUCCCAUUCCACCCUCAUGGUUGUACUGUUAUCCCGGGUGGUCACUCCAUGAACAGGUCCUUACGGAGAGGUACUCAGGAAAAAGGCCUGAGCCCCCUAAGGUAUCACAAGAUCAUCCACGAUAUCAGGAUAACAUUAUCGUAUCAUAAAUGUUCACAUCAUGUUCAUUGAUUAAGUUAGGGCAGUAGCAACAUGCAAACCAUGAUAACCCAAAAGGUAAACAAGGAUAAGUGAAUACAGACUAGUCAAUCCUUAGGUUUCAUAAAAUAAUGUGGGACAAUGAAUCAUAUAGUAUGUAGGACAUAAUGGGUCAGAGGACACUUGCCUUCACCAGGUGAUUGCUCAGGGAGGUCUCCAACAACACACUCAGGAACCUCGGACUGCUCGUUGUCUAAAUAAAGCGAGCAUGCAUUCAAUACAUUUGGAAAGUACAAAUGAACAUCACACCAAACAUGUACAAACAUUGGAACACAUCUUAAAAAGACACAAUACUACAUAAGGGAUAAUGAAUUCAGGGUAUAACAUAAACUAUGGCAUAGAUUAACUUUAUUUGACAAUAGAUUAUUAUUUCCCUAAGUGUUAUUUACAAGUACAUAAUCAUAGAUCAAUUUAUUUUAUUGUGACCUAUAAUUUAAAACAGAGAUGAACUCAUGCAAUACCUAUCAUUAAUCUCACAAGUUUAAACAUGAUUAAAUCUCUAAGGUUCUCCUUUUAUUAAAUAAAUAAAACUACAUCUAUAUUAGUUCAUAUUCAAUCAUAAAAAUAGAAUGUACAGACAGUAAAUGAAACCAUUUUGUUUAAACAGAGAAUAAUUCUAUGAGCAUUUUGCAAUUUGAAUCACUAAAUUUGGAGCACAUAUGCAAAAGUUAUGAAAUAAACAAAUUUGGGAAUUCAAAAUAUGAAAUUAGGGCUAAUUCUGUGAAUAUUUAAAAGUCCAGGGCUAAAUCUGCAAGAUUACAGGGGUCUGCGCGCGAAAACCAGGGACGGCGGGUUGAUUUCCAAUAAACCGUGGGUCUCUUUAAGAAAAUUACCGCACGAAGGGGUAUCGGGUGAAUCUAACCGUCAGAUCAGAAAUCGACGGCCGAGAUUAGAUCUGCGGCCGAGGGCGCACGCGCGGGUGGGCGAGCGCUGACAGGCGGGACAGGGAGUGUUAGCGACAGAGGGGGAGAGCGCGCUGACCAAGCGGGCCCAGUGCCAGAGGGGAAACAGACGGCUGCAGGGGUCCGAGGGGGUCCGAGCCGUUUGAUCAAGAUCGGACGGGGGGGGGUCCGAGGGGCUCCGAGCCGUUCGAUCAAGAUCGGACGGGGGAAAUCAGACCGGGAAGGAUGAGCGGCUGCAAGCAGCUUUGACAGGCGGGUCAGGGCAUCAGGCGAGCGUGCGCGAAGCGGUACCCGUGGUCCGAGCCUUUCGAUCUGAAUCGGACGGAGGGGAUCAGACCGAGGAAACAUACGGCUGAGGGCGGCGCCGCUCCUCUCCGCGAUAGUGAAGUCGCCGGAAUUGAGGCCGGCACGAGCUAGGGUGGCUUCGGGGUCGCCGGAGUUGGGUAGAGGGGAAGAGGGCGCCACAGCGAACUCAAUGGCAGGGAAGAGGCCAUGAAUCCACAGGCAGAGAGGGGAGAACGGCGGUGAGAGAGUCUCGAGCGGGCCGGAGAAACUCCGAUGAGCAAUUCCGGCAAUGGGGAGGGGACUUAAGGCGCGCUAAGGCCUUGGCUAACUUCAGAAGAGGCAGGGGUGACACAGGGACCUACUCCGGUGAACUAGACUGGGCUAAAUCGGCCGGCCACCACGCGAGCACGGCGGACCGCUGCGGCCGAGCACUGGCGAAGGUGAAAUUAGCCGAACACAGGGCAUAAUAGAGGAAAUUGGGCACGAGGACGAGUGUGUCACCUCGGGGCGGAGCUCGGGGAGGCUUGGAGCGAUCUUUGGCGAGCUGGAUGGCCGAGAACGUGGGCGCGGGUCUCCGACGGCGGCUGGCGGCGUGAGCAGAGCGCGAGAGAGGGUGAAGCUGAGCGAAAUGAGGCGAGGGGUGUGCGCGGGGCACGGGCGGGGCUCUAAGAAGGGAGUUGGGCGCGUGGGCGGGUGUCGGGGCCGAGAAACCCGGCGAUGUGCGCGAGUGCGCACGCGCCGGUCCACGGCGGGCGCGGGGAAGGCGGAACUGACAAGGUAGGCCCACGGCGCAGAGAGAGAAAAGGGGACGCACGGGGGCAACGGCUCAACGACUGGCGAACCGGGCCCACGAGACAGAGAGAGAGCGAACGGGUGAAGGAAAGUGGCACUGAUAGGUUGGCCCCACUGGGCAGCGAGCGAGAGAGGGAGGGUGCACGCGAGGGAGAACUGCCGCUGACAGGUGGGGUCCGCCUGUCAGGCAGAGCGGGCGCGCGGCCUGGCUGGGCUUAGUGGACCGACUGGGCUGCUUUCUUCUUUUCUUUUUCUCUGGAUUUUCUAAUUCCUUUUCUAUUUCUUUUUCUAUAGGGUUUUCAAAUCCAAAUUCAAACUAGGUUUCAAAUUCAAAUAAAUUCAAACUUGUGCAACACUUCAAAGAAUAUUUUAAGCUCAGCAUGAUGCAACAUGUCAUGACUCAUAAGGUUUUGACAAAAAUAAAUAAUUAAUCUCCACUAGUUUAAGCUAUUUCUAAUCAAAAAGGAAAAAGGGAGAGAGGUUCUAGAGAGAGAAAGCCUAGAGUGAGAAAAGGAAGAGUAACACAUGAUUUUUGGGUGAUAAUUAGAAAGAAAUUUUAUACCCCCAAAAUCAGGGUGUUACAUUCUGGCUCCAGUGGCGGACUCAAGAUUUUUGGUAGCCUAGUCGUUUGCUCUCGCUCUGGCCCCUGGGCUGCCUUUCCUUUGGCUUCGGCAGCAUGUUUCGGCGCUUCGGCUGACUCGGUAGCAGAAACCUUUGGCACUUUAGCCAAUUCUUUCUUGGAGCCAGCAUGAGCAGGCCGCCCUGGCUCAGCAGUGGAAGCUGUCCCUUCACCAAGUUUUGGCACCGUGGCCAUUUCAAUAUAUCUAGGCCAGUGCGUUAAAACCUUGAUCUUUUUGCCCUUCGGCGCAGCAGAAAUGGCCGAAGUAGCAGUCUUCCUUUUCUUUCCCUGCUUUUGCGAGGGAUAACUAUAGUCUAGGUACAUGAAGCCAAUAACAUCAAAAACUCUGUUUAACCUUUUCUUGCCUCUUCCUUCGAAGGCUAAGGUCAUGGCAUCAUCUUCGGCUCUCGUGUACGUCCCAAGCAACUCAUCACUAAUCGCCUCAACGCAGGUCAGCCAGUCAUCAUUCGGCUCGUCAAAUUGAUCUCUGUAUCUGAAGGUGUAUUUCAAAUAAACCAAACCACCUUGACUGGACCCGGCAGCAGUCUCCUUCGGCAUCUCCCAGUCGUUCACAAGAGGCCAUACUCUGUAGGCUAUGUGCUCCUGGACUAGGUCUCUUGUGCCAAUAAAGGCACAAACAUUGUUGAAAGCUUUCUGGCAUGCUUCGAUAUCGUUCCCAAGCGCAAUAGACGGCCUUCUGAUGCCGAAGCGAGACCAGAUAGGGCAUUGGAUAAUCCCCUUUAUGUCUUCCCUUUCAAUCAGAUUAUUCUUUACAUAAAACCAUUCCUCCAUCCAGGCCCCUGGCCACCUUUUCCGAAACAUUGGAACUGGAUAACUUACAUCAGAACAAGGAACGAAGCCAUAACAACCAAAAUUAUUGUGAUACUGCUCCUUACUAGUGGCCUUCGUCUCAUACAGCAGCUCGUGCAUGUUGCAGAAGCACUUUGCGCUUGGCUCUAGCCCUUGGCUUCUCACGGCCCAAACAAAAAUACCCAUCCUGAUUAUAGCUUCGGGAGUAAUCUGAUGAAGAAAGAUUUCAAAGGUCUUUAACACUUCAACCAGGAAUUUGCUCAAUGGAAAUCGUAGUCCUGCCUUCAUGAAGCUCCUGUAAACAACAACUUCAUCCUCCUCGGGUGCAGGGGCGGCGCUGCCCCUGUAGAUCUCACAAUAGACAUAUCACAAAAAUAUCUUCCCUUCAUAGCAUCAAUCUGACUCUGUUUGAUGGACGACUUUCCGAAGAUAGUAUGACUCGGCCGCCAGGGCCGAUCUUCGGCAUCUUCGUUCCCACUUUCCACAUCAAAGUUCUCGCUAUCAUCAGAAUCCUCAGAUAACCCAGCUAAUAUUUCAUUCGUAAUCUUUUCUAUGUUUGUCUUUUCAAUAGCCUCGUAAAACCCAGCUAGAGCAGGGUCCACAAUCUUCUUCUCCUCAGACAUCUUCUUCUCUUCAGACAUCUAACGAGCACUUGCGUAAAUGACGAAGCUCACAAAUCAAGCGAAAUCUGAAAGAGCAAGAAAUUUCAAGCUUGAAAAAUAGCACAAGCAAUUGAGAUGGUGCAACAAAUGAUGUCGCUGCGGGUUCCUAUUUAUAUGCCAGUGCGUUGCAACUUGGCGAGCCCUACAUGUCAUUGACUUUCGCUAUUCUAGCGAAGGGAAGGUGUUUUUUCGGACCUUCGGCUAAAGGCCUUCACUCACGUCGCAGUUUGAAUUUGUUAAAUGCAAAAACAAAUUAAUACUGCGAGGGGCUACUAUUGGGGGCCUUCCUCUUCUGAAGGUCCUCAAAAACUUAACUAACAUAUUUUUUAGUAUCAGACCAUUACAGGAGGCUUCGGCUUUGAGGUAAAGGUGCGCCUAGUAUGAAGGUGUGGUCUGAAGGAAGGACAAGCUAGCUCUGAAGCUGCGGCUGAAGGAGCUUCAGCUUGGCAAGACGACGAUGGUGAAAGGAGAAACCGACCUAAAGGAGAAAAGACUCCUUUGUCCUCAAUAGAUUGCCUUACGGUCAACAGUGAAUGUCAAUGGCAUGAAUGUAAUUUUGUCCAGGCUGCGUCCUGUGACUAUAAAUAGAUGAACAGUAACACCGUACAGUUCACGCUGACUUGUAAUCACCCUCGCGUCACUCCCUUUUUUUCACCUUCUGUCAAGCUGAAGGUACAAAUGCAACAUAAAUGUUAUUGAUGCUUAUUCAUGUUUAUAAAAUAAGAAUAUAAAUAGUUCAAUAAUUUGGGAAAUAAUUGUUCAUAUUUUCUGUGUUUCAUAUGUCUCUAUUUGCAUCCUUGCUUACUGAAAUGAUGAAGGUAUGCCCUUCAUGACCUUCGUCUGAAGAUCAUUAUAUCCUGCUUCGAAGGACGAAAGUCUCUAAUCGUUAACAAUUGUGUUGCUUUGUUCUUGGUGAGUAGCAUCCGAGAGCAAGGACCAACACAUCCCAAGAAAUCUGAUAAUUCAAAGAAGCGCAAACGCAACAAGCAUCCGGAUAAGCAAAAUACAAAGGCUCCGAGGAAAGACACCCCCGCUUCCAAGCAAGAGAAGUGUAAGAAGUGUGGAUGCUUCAACCAUCCUACUAAAAAGUGUCGCAUUCCUCGUCAUUUAGUGGCACUGUACCAGCAAUCUCUUAAGGGCUAAAAUGCUGAAGGACAGGGAUAUGAAGCUCACUUCACCACCCCACCUAACUUGAAGGAUGGAGCUAGUUGCUCAAGCAUGGCGACAAUGGAACCAAGCACGACCAAUCCUCCACUUCUGACCGACACCGAAUACAUGGACUUGGACAAUGCCAUCAUCGAAUAUGCUUCGAGUGAUGUGUUUGGAGACCUCAACUAGGAUCCUUAUGCUCCACCAGAUAUCAUCUAUCUGUAGUCUAUGAGUGUGUGCAACAAGUGUGUUGUAAUAAGUACCUAGACCUUGGUAUUUGUGUGUAUAUUCCAUACUCUACUGUAUAAUUAAGUAUGUACUUAUAUGUAUAAUUAAUUGAGUUCUCGCAAUUCUUGAUUAUAUAGAUUAUGCGGAAGUCAAUCCAAUGGAGGAAGAUUUAUGCAUUGUAGAUAGUGGUACCACCAACUCUAUUCUUCGGGAAACAAAAUAUUUCCAAACUCUCACAAGGAGGCCAGGAAAUGUUUUGACAAUCGCUGGGCACGAUGCGAAAAAAGUUGGCUCUGGACGAGCGACUAUUACGCUCCUUAUGGGUACACAAGUAACUAUCGAGAAUGCUUUAUUGUAUCCCGAUUCAACUCGUACCCUUCUGAGUUUUCGAGAUAUUCGGAAAAGUGGUUUACAUAUUUCUCCUCAUACAGAAAAUAAUGAAGAAUUUCUCUUCAUUUCCAAACCUUCUGAAUAUGGCGCUAACAUUCUGGAAAGAAUACCUUCACUUCCAUCCGGAUUGUACUACACAUACAUAAAACCAGUACCUCAUGUUAUGUACGAAGUGAUUUUUCAUAAUUUUGAUUCAUUCAAGACCUGGCAUGCACGUCUUGGUCACCCUGGAAUAGGGAUGAUGCAGAAAAUCACAAGUAAUUGCAUUGGUCAUGAUUUAAAGUCUGCUAAAUUCCCUAAACCAUCUGAUUUUAUAUGUACAUCAUGUGCAACGGGAAAGCUAAUCUUAAGACCAUCUCCUCUUAAGAUUCAUGCUGAACCACUCAAGUUCCUUGAACGAAUUCAAGGUGACAUUUGUGGGCCCAUACAACCAUUAUCUAGAUCGUUCAGAUACUUCAUGGUAUUAAUAGACGCAUCUACACGAUGGUCACACGUGUGCCUUCUGUCUACACGUAACCAUGCUUUUGCUAAAAUCAUGACGCAAGUCAUUCGAUUGAAAGCACAUUAUCCUGAACAUCAAAUCCAAAAAAUCCGCCUAGAUAAUGCAGCUGAAUUCUCUUCUAGAGCAUUCAAUGAUUAUUGUAUGGCCCAAGGCAUACACAUUGAACAUUUUGUGCCUUAUGUACAUACUCAAAAUGGUUUAGCUGAAUCUCUUAUUAAGAGGAUCAAACUUAUCGCAAGAACUUUACUUCAUGAAUGCAAUUUACCUACUUAUUGUUGGGGUCAUGCCGUUUUACACGCUGCUGAUCUUAUUCAACUUCACCCAACUGCAUAUCGUACCACAUCUCCGUUACACCUAGUACGACAAAAUCCUCCAAAUAUAUCCCAUAUGCGGAAAUUUGGAUGUGCGGUCUACACCCCUGUACCACCGCCUGAGCGAACAACUAUGGGACCUUAUAGGAAAUUGGGUAUCUAUGUGGGAUAUCAAUCCCCAUCGAUCAUCAAAUACCUAGAGCCCCUUACAGAGGAUUUGUACACAACUCGUUUCGUUGAUUGCAUCUUUAAUGAGAACCAUUUCUCGGCAUUAGGGGGAGAAUUCAAGUUUCCUAACGAAUGCCAGGAAAUCAAUUGGGAUGACAAAUCCAUCCUGUCCUCAGAUCCUCGAACCCAGGAAUCUAAACUUCAAGUUCAGAAAAUUAUAGAAUUGCAACAUUUUGCUAAUAAUCUGCCUGAUGCGUUUACUGACUAUAAUGGUGUCACAAAAUCCUUGAAUCCUGUUGUUGGUCACUUGUUCUCAAAAGCUAUAGAUCAAGAACAAGGCAACACAAAUGUUAAUGAUUAAAGACCUUCGUCCUUCAGAACAUUAUUUCCUUUUGGAUAUAAUAAUCUUCAGACGAAGGUCAUGAAGGACGUACCUUCAUCAUUUCAAUAUGCUAAGAUACAAACAUGGACAUAUGAAACGCAGAAAGGGCAUGAAUAAUCAUCUUUAAUCAUCAUAUUAUUCACAUUGUCAUUAUAUAAUCAUGAACAAACAUCAAUGAUAUUUAAGUUACAUUUGUACCUUCGGCUUGACAGAAGGUAGAAAUCCGAGAGUGACGUGCGAGUGAUCACAAGUCAGCGUGAAUAGUACGGUGUUACUGUUUAUCUAUUUAUAGGCACAGGAUGCAGCCUGAGCAAAAUUACAUUCAUGUCUCUGACAUUUACUGUUAUGCAAAAGGUAAGUUGUCAAGGACUAGGUAAUCUUUUCUCUUUUAGGUCGGUUUCAUUCUCCACCACCGUCCUUGUGCUAAGACGAAGCUUCUCUAGCCAUAGCUUUGGAGCUGAUUCAUCCUUAUUCCCGAUCACGCUUUGCAUACCAUGUACACCUUCAUCUUAAGGUCGAAGCUUCCUGUGACAGUAUACUAUACUGGAAAACAUGUUAGUCGUGUUUUUUAGGACCUUCGAAAGACGAAGGCCCCCAACAGUAGCCCCUCACAGUAUUAAUUUGUUCUCGUAUCUAACAAAUUCAGACUGCGACGUGAACGAAGGCCUUUAGCCGAAGGUCCGAAAAACACCUUCCCUUCGCUAGAAUAGCGAAAGUCAUUGACAAAUGGGGCCCGCCAAGUUGCAAUGCACUAGGCAUAUAAAUAGAAACCCACAGCGACAACAUCUGUUGUGUCAUUUCAAUUGCUUGUGCUGUUUUCUCAAGUUUUAAUUUUCUUGCUGUCAGAUUUCAAUUGUUUUGUGAGCUUCGGCAUUUGUUCAAUUUCCCACCAAAUGGCUGACGAGAAGAAGGUUGCUGAUCCUGCCUUGGCUGGUUUUUAUGAGGUCAUGGAAAAACAAACACAGAGAAGAUUACCAACGAGAUACUAGCUGAUUUGUCUGAAGAUUCUGACGAUAGUGGGAGCUUUGAUAUGGAAAGUGAAGACGAAGAUGCGGAAAAUUGGCCCUGGCGACCAAGUCACACUAUCUUCGGAAAAUCAUCCAUUAAGCAGAGUCAAAUUGACACUAUGAAAGGGAGAUAUUUCCGAGAUAUUUCAAUUGUGAGAGCUGAUGGAGAUAGCGUUGCACCUGCUCCCGAAGAGGAUGAGGUGGUUGUUUACAGGAGUUUUAUGAAGGCAGGGCUUCAGUUCCCAUUAAGCAAAUUCCUGGUUGAAGUGCUGAAGACCUUCAAAUUUUUCCUGCAUCAAAUUACCCCCGAAGCCAUUAUUAGGAUGGGGGUUUUUAUUUGGGCCGUGAGAAGCCAGGGGCUGGAGCCAAGCGCAAAAUGCUUCUGCAACAUGCACGAGCUGUUGUACGAGACGAAGGCUACUGGCAAGGAGCAGUAUCACAACAACUUUGGUUGUUAUGGCUUUGUGCCCCAUCCCGAUGUAAGUUACCCGGUUCCAACAUUCCGAAAAAGGUGGCCCAGGGUCUGGAUGGAGGAGUGGUUCUAUGUUAAGAAUAAUUUAAUUGAGAGGGAAGAUAUAAAAGGAAUUAUUCAACGCCCCAUCUGGGCCCGCUUCGGCAUCAAAGGCCAGCCACCGCUCUUGGGAACGAUAUAGAGGCAUGCUAGAGAAGCUUCAACACUGUGUGUACUUUUAUUGGCACAAGAGACCUGGUUCAAGAACACAUCGCCUACAGAGUAUGGUCGCUUGUGAAUGAAUGGGAGAUGCCAAAGGAGGCUGUUGUUGGGUCUAGUCAGGGCGGCUUGGUCUAUUUAAAAUAUACUUUCAGAUAUAUAGGCGAGUUUGAUGAGCCAAACGAUGAAUGGUUAAGCAGUAUUGAGGCUACCACUAAUUGCUUGGGGCCUACACAAGGGCCAAAGAUGAUGCAAUGACAUUGGCCUUCGAAGGCCGAGCCAGAAAAGAUUGAAUAAAGUUUUUGACGUCAUCGGUUUCCUAUACCCUGAUUAUUGCUAUCCCUCACAAAAGCAGGGAAAGAAGAGGAAAACUGCCGCUUCGGUCAUCUCUGUUAUGCCGAAGGGCAAAAAGAUUAAGGUCUUAACACACCGACCGAGAUACAUUGAGACAACCACAGUGCCGAAGCUUGGUGAAGGGACAUCUUUCGCUGCCAAAGUAGAGCAACCUGCUCCCACCAUCCUUGGGGAAGACCUAACUAAAUUGUCAAAGGUUCAUGAAGUCGGUUCAGCCGAAACGCCAGAACACGAUGCCGAAACCAAAGAGAAAGCGGCCAAAGAGACAGAGCCAGAGCUACCAAAAAUCUUGAGCCCACCAGCAGAGGCAGAAUUGCCGAAGUUUGCAAAGGCUCCCGCAACAACCCCCAAGAGGAGAAGAAUGGCUAGCGUGCUAGACACUGUCAUGGAGAUAACAAGGGCAUUGACUCCUGCUCCUGCGAAAAAGGUUGCCGAAAUUGCUACGACUCGUGUUGAAACCGAAGUCGGGCCCUCAGUGCCCGUCGAGGCAGAGCCUGGUGCAACUGAGCAGAGGGCUGAGCAAGAAUCUCCAGAUACUAGCAUGGCUCUAGAGAAGAAGGAUGCUCCUGAAAAAGCUAGAUCUCCUAUUCCCGAAGCACCGUCUGAAGAUCUUGAUUUUAUUAUUCAACAUGCUUCGGGAAAAAAGUUAUCUGAAGAAGAAAUCAUGGAAGCCAAACAAUACACCCGGGAAUUGAAAUACCUGAAGGGGGCCUUGGUGUACAAUGGUACGGACGAAGAUGAUUUCCUAUACUGUCUCCUAGACAACAAGGAAAUAUCCGUCUGCCGAGAGAUGGCCAAAAAUAUGGGAUUUCCGAAGCUUGAAGCUGGCCUCUCCACCAUGCCAAAAGAUGAUCUCGCUGACAGCCUUGCGUACAACAGUCUGAAGGUACGAAAGUGAUGAACUUAAAAAUAGAUUAUCUUGUCUUGUAUUCUCGUGCUGGUUCUAUCUUUUUGUAGGGCUUAAUUCUUAGCAACGCUUUGAGGGCGCAGAAGAAUACUGAAGAUGAAAGCUGUCAGAUAGCCCUCGGUAACCUUCGGUCAGAAGUUAUCAAGCUGAGAAAUGAAGCCAUCGAAAAAGAUAAAAUUCUGCUUUCAUUGGUGGACAAAGUGAAGCAAGACGAAGGAAAAUUUAACGCUCAAUCCGAAGCUCAGAAAGCCGAAGUUGACGACCUUCGGAGAAAACUUGCCGAAGCUAAUGAAAAUUUUGAACUGGCAAAAGCGAAACAGGAAAUAAGUGAAUGGUCGAACACUAGGCUAGAGAAAAAUGUUGUGGAGCUUCACGAAUCCAAGGAGAGAUGUUUUGAAAAAUCCUUGGAUUGCGUAAGGAAAUUGAAAACUAUCUUUGCCAAGGUGGGUGCAUAUUCUUCCGAAGAGAAUUUCAUUCAAGGUGACCCCGAGGGUGUUAUUGAUUGGAUAAGCGGAGAAGUCGAAGCUUUUGAAGAGAUCCUCAAUGAUCGCGGGGACAUUUGUGCCUUCACUGACGCUUGGGGGUUGCAGCAAUUCUAGAGAAGGCUGGUUGUGACCAUGUUAAGGCUGCAGCCCAGACCGAAGCUGCCUUCUCCACAGACGACACGAAAGACCCUUCGACCGAAGCUAAUUAGUGGGCGGAAAGUUUUACUCUAAUGUUUGGGUAAACGGUGGCCGAGAAUUGGCCAAUGAAAUCAUAAAGAAAAAUGAAAAAGAAACCCACGAUGCUCGAGAAGAAGCUAAACGAGCCGAAGAAGCUGCCGAGCGCGCAAGGCGUAUAGGUAUUAUUUUUGAAUUUUAGCUUCGGUGUUUAUUUUCUGGCUUCGAACUAACAGUUUUCCUGCUACAGCUGAACUCUCACCGCUGCCCGAGUCGUACGACCCCUGGUCGAUCCUAUCAUGAAAGAAGCGCUGGAUGUAAUGAGUGUCGCUAACUCCAUCGUCGACGAAGUCGUCGAUAGACUGCUGAAUGAAGCCACCGAGAAAAUUCUUAAAAAAGAUUAGGCUUUUAUUGUAAUGAUACGAUGUAACAUUUGGUGUAUGAAACAAUUAAUCAGACAUGUAAAUUAAUGUAAUAUAUUUCUUUGCGAUGCAUGAAAUUUACGCACAUACUGUUUUUGAGCCUUCGCCGAAAAACACCUUCUCUUCUUUUCAUGCUUCGUAAAGAAAGAAGCCCCUUUUUAUGGCGAAUCUAUUGUGUGAUAAAAUUGUAUUGGCCGAAGGUUUGCUUCGUGCCUCAGCACAUUUUCAUGCAACAAAUUAUUGCCGAAGACCUGCUUCGUACCCAAUCUUUGCUGUUGAUGCGAUUUGAUGUAUGAUGUAAUGUUAUGCGGAAUGGUGCGAUGAUAUGAUGCAAUAUGAUGGUUAUGCCGAACACACACACACGCCCACACUGGAAUACCCAAGACUCUGCAUCCCCUUAGGGAUGUCUUUGGAGUCUUUAAGCUCUGCAUCCCCUUAGGAACGACUUUGAAGCUUCUUCACCUUCUAUUUCGGUGGUAUUUAAGCUCUACAUCCCCUUAGGAACGACUUUUGAGCUUCUUCACCUUAUAUUUCGGUGGUAUUUAAGCUCUGCAUCCCCUUAGGAACGACUUUGGAGCUUCUUCACCUUUUAUUUCGGUGGUAUUUGGCUCUGCAUUCCCUUAGGAACGACUUUGGAGCCUCGGAACUUACUCUGCGCUCCCUUAGAAACGACUUUUUGUAGCUUCAGAACUUACUCUACGCUCCCUUAGGAACAACUUUUGUAGCUUCGGAAGUUACUCUGCUCCCUUAUGAACGACCUUUGUAGCUUCGGAAGUCUAUUAGGAAGAAACAUUUUAAUUAAUGAUACGAGCACAAUUAUUACAUGAGACCAAAAUUAAGUCCUUCAUGACUUGUUUUUCAUACAAGAAAAAUAAGAUGACAGAAAAGAUAAAGAUACAUCAAGGGUAGGAUAUUCUUUAGUAGAUGUGCUUGGAUUCAGGCACAGUGCUGUUGACUGUGCGAGCUUCGGACUCCUCCCGAAAAUCGUGCUGCUGUUGUGCGUGCUAGUGCCCUUCUGGCUGCUGGCUUCGGGUCAGAGUAGGUGGUAGUGGCGGUCGUAGUGGGAGCUGGGCCUAGGAAGCCUAAGAGUGACUUGCCGAAGCGAUAGAGGCUGUAGGCUGUUGAUUACCUACGUACUCUAGGACAUAGGGAGAGUAGCAUGAAGCAGUAUGUAGGACCUGCUUCGGCUGAUUUUGCCGCGCCUCAGCUUCGGCAAUCUCCUUUUGCUUCUGAAUCGUGACUUGGCAUUUUCUUGUGGUGCGGCCCUUGUCUUCACCACAGAAUAAGCAAUAUAGCCUUAUGGGCUGAUCUCCGUAUCUUCCUCCGAAGCCUCUACCGCCUCUGCCCCUUGGAGCUGGUGGCCUGAAGGAGCUUUGUUGUGGCCCUGAAGACUGAGAGCUGUGUUGUUGCCUUUGAGGUUGACUUCCUCUAUCAUCACUUGGGCUGGAAUUAUGGAUCGAUCUGAAGUGCCUAGGGUGAAUUCUUCCUCUGAAGCCCAUGGUCAUUUCAGAAAACCUGUAUGCUUCUUCCCUUCUUUGGCGGAAAUCAUUAUCAGCCCGGAUAUACUCAUCCAUCUUCUGAAGAAGCUUCUCCAGAGUUUGUGGGGGUUUCCUAGCAAAAUACUGAGCCAUAGGUCCUGGCCGAAGCCCCUUGACCAUGGCCUCAAUGAAAAUUUCAUUGGGCACUGUAGGCGCUUGUGCUCUUAGACGCAGGAACCUUCAGACAUACGCCUGAAGGUACUCCUCAUGGUCUUGCGUGCACUGAAACAAAGCCUAAGCAGUGACUGGCUUCGUUUGAAAGCCUUGGAAACUAGUGAUUAACAUAUCCUUAAGGUUCUGCCAUGAUGUGAUUGUCCCUGGCCGGAGAGAAGAGUACCAGGUUUGUGCAACACUUUUGACUGCCAUGACGAAGGAUUUCGCAAUGACUGUCGUAUUGCUCCCAUAUGAAGAUAUGGUUGCCUCGUAGCUCAUUAGGAACUGCUUCGGGUCUGAGUGCCCGUCAUACGUAGGAAGCUGAGGUGGCUUGUAUGAUGGUGUGACACCCCAGUGUCACCUAGGGUUUCACUUAAAAUGCCAAACCAAGAACCAUCAUUUUAUGAGAACCAAAGUAAGCAUGAGCAUCAAAUUAACUUAAGAAUAAAGAAUUCACCAAGCAUAUAUUUAAAAGUAUCAUGAUCAAAACAAAUGGGUCUUUCAAAAGGUAAGAAUGUUAUAACCCUAAUAAAAACCCUAAGUGAGCCCCAUGAGCAAAAUUCAAGAAAAUAAGGAAAAGGGUAUGAAAAAUUUAAAAUUAUGACUUGAGCCAAUUAUAAAAAUUGAAGUAUAUUUAAUAAGCAACAAGAAAGGUUGAGAAAGCUUAGCCAAAAUAACUCAAAUAAAACCCCAAAUCAAGCUUCUCAUGUGGGGACUUAAUGGGAAUUCUGAAUUUCAGAAUUCUGAAAUUCAGACCUUAAGCCAAAGAUCAAGGAUGUUCACCUUAAUCCCUAACUCGAAUCCUAAUGGCCCCAUUGACAAAAAUGUGCCUAAUUAACCCCUCUGUCAUGUGCCAGGAGAUGUCAUUGGGACGCGUGCCUCGGACACGUCAAACCAGAGAUUUUCUCCCUGUGUGUGGCAGUGAGACAAACAGGAUUUCUCCCCUCUCUAUCUCUUAAUCUAGUCAGCGAAACUUGCUAGCCUCCACACACAAACGACAAAGGGACCUGAGAGGAAGAGAUCUCUCAACGGGAUCGUGGCCUUAAUCUCAAAGAUUUGGGCCCAAUCCGCGUUUGAACUUGACCUCUCUCUGCGCUGCCUCGUGCUCGACGCUGUGCCAGGCGCCAGAGCGCGCACUGGCGUUCGCCGCGCAUGCCCCGAGCGCAUGUCAGAGCCCCGCCCUCGGUCGUGCUCGCUCGCGCCUAUAAAGCCUCCCCGGGCGCGCCUCACUUCACCCCGCGCUCACCUUCACCGGCCAGCCACCUCUCCUUAGCUCCGGCGAGCUCAAUUCCGCUCGCCAUUGCCGCCAGAGCUUCGGCCAUUGUGGCCAGCCCACUCCAGCCACCCCCAAGUCAAGCCAGUGCUUCGGCUAGCUCCGCCAGUGGCCCGUGAAGCUUUCCAAGCCUUCGGACCAGGCCAGACUUCACCGGAAGCCCAAGAUCGACCUCACCGGACUUCGGUCCUUCGCCGCCGCGCGUGGACAGAGCUAACCAGUGAGUCUCCGUCCAAUUCCUUGCACCCAUAUCUUCUCUGGCAUCCCGUGAACCUCUCUGACCCGUCCAAUUGAACUAUCUCGCCGUGAGCAGGCCGGACUCCUCACCGCCGACGAGCAUCCCCGCCUGCGCACGUGGACCAGCCAACUCCGACCAUCCCCGACGGCGACCCGCACACCGUUUUGAUCCCCGAGACCUCCCCUACGUCCUCGAGCACUCACCGGAGCAAUCUCGACGCCGGUAAGCCCCUCCGCCCUUUCUUCCGCCGCGGUUACUGUUUAAGUUAGGAGAAGGACCUCGGGUAAGGAUUUGAAGAACCCGAGGGGUUUUCCGUAACGUCAGUGACCCAUGUGAAUAGUAGCCUAGGGACUGAUCCGCGAAGAAAACUUAAAAUACCCGCCAUGGACCCCAGUGCAAAGUGGUUUUCCAUUAAAUCAAUUAUGUUAAUCUUUUUAAAUAACCAGAGAACUUAGAAAACCCAUAACUUGAUGAAUUCUUAAUAAAAAGUUGUCAAACUAAUUUUGCUAGCUCCUGAAUAUUUUGAACUAUCAUUUAAAAAUGAUAAACCUUAUGCUUUCUGUUCUGAAUUUUUGAGUUUAAAAUUAAAAACAGAAACUUACCAAACCUUCUUUAAUUAAGGAAAAUUAGUUUUUCUUCUGUACUGAACCUAAGAAAAUUUGUAGGUAUUUAAACCUCAUUUAGACACUGUUUAAAAAUAGUAGGAACCCCAGCAUUGAAAAAUAUGAUGUAGAUAUUCAUUUAAAGCUAUUUUGCCCAAAACUUAGAAAAAAUCAGAAAGGCAUUAGAAAUUAAUGAACAGUGAUUAAAAUUAUUUUUCCUAGUUUGCUUAUGUAACAGAGAACCUGGGAAAAAUAGAGAGACCAUUAGUUCAGAUCAGUUUUAAAUUAGAAUGCUUUAUUUAGCCUUAUUUGAACUGGAAAUCAAUUAUUAGAGUUACAAAACUAUACCCAAAAUGGACAAUAAAAAUCCAGUGGACUUACAACCACCAGAGCCCCACUACAAAAAUAAAGAACACCUCAGCACAACAUUUUAAGUAAGGAAAAUAAAUAUAAAGUGAUAAUGAGGCAUUUUCUAAAUAAAUCAUGAACAACCCCUAAUGAUGCAAUAAUGGGCAACCAAAAAUUUGCUAAGUCCAUAAUGAGAUAAACCACCAGAGAAAAAUGCAAACCCAUGAAAAAGGAGCAAACUCAUACCUAUUGCUAAGGAUUUAUGAGAAAGGCCACUUAAUUCAAAUAAUGCAUACCACCCCUUCCCUUAAGCAAAAAGAUGCCAAACUUCAGAAUGAUUGCUCUUGCGCAAAACAAUAACUAAGAAAAAUAAGAACUCUGUUGUUUGAUAUUUUUCAAAUAUAGUGGUAGUAGAAAGCACCUAUUUGGCUAGAAACUUGAGAAAACCCUAGUAAAAUAACUAAAAGGUAUUAAUGGCUAGAAAUUUGGAUCAAGUCAUGUUAUAACACCUAAAAGCCAGCAAAAAUAAGUUUUAGAAAAUUACCCACUGUUAAAUAAUAGUUGUAGUUCAAAGCAUCCCUUCUGCCCUAGAAUUUAAUAAUUUUUGUCCAGAGAAAACUAUUCACUUUCUGAUCCCCAAAUUUUGAGACAGAGAAACAUACACCAGUGCCAAGCCACUAUAGUUUUUGCAGAAUUUUUAGAAUUUUAUAAAAGCAACUUGUAGUUCAAACCCACUCCAAAACAUUUAAGAGAAUAAAAGAAAAGGAAAGAAGAAAUAAACCUCACCCCAAUAAGUCUAACUUGAGUACUUAUCAAUGCUUACUAAGGUUUAAAACGAAUUCAGUGGAACCCCAAAAAAAUAAACCACCACUUACCUUAGAUAAAGUUAACCCAAUUUACCAAGUAUACCACCCAAGGGUCUUACAUAAGUAAGGUUAACUUUGUUUAACUCAAGAAGAUCAUACACCUCCCAAGUUGUAAUUUCUAAAAACACAUAUCAUAUCAUGCAUAUAUCUUACGCAUUGCAUUCAUUAGAUUGUAAUCUUGCCGACGGAGAGUACGUGCUCAUCCCCGAGCAAGGACCUGUCCAAGAGGAGGACCAGGAGCAGGCUUCCGAGGCUGCUAUUGAGGAUCUUCCCGCAGCCCCAGCAAUUGAAGGCAAGCCCCGGUUUUAUGCAUAACCGUACUAUUAUAUGCUAUUUUACUACACUUAAUGCUUGUAGGAUUGUAAUGUGCACUUAAGUGUAGGAGUUGCUUGAAACCUCUAGUUGCAUGAACUUAGGAUUCCUUUUUGAGAUGAAUACUAGUAUGCUAGGUCGAGUAGCUGCUUGCUAAUCAGGAUCUCGGCAGAAGUCGAGUGAUUUUUCUAGCACUCGCGCGAGGUCAGAAAUUGAUUGUAUUCAUCUUGAUAACGGGAUAAAUGUUAGUCUAUGGACUUGGAUCCAGGGAGGAUGCCUUGUCCAUGAGACGGGAAAAGGAAUUAAGGAUUAAUGUGUGGAUACCUGAGUCAAGCUUUUAAACGUACUAAGCACAUGCCGGGAAAAAUGGUAACCGGUAAACCUAGUACCUGAUUGAAGUCGGGCGCGGACUUUAUCCCUCAUGCGACCUGAGACUGGGUCUCCCAUGCUAGCUAUGGUGGGUACAAGUGCGGUCACUGCACGGCGGCAGCCGGGGUCAGUGGAGCAUUGUAUGCCAAGGCGGUGAGGCCUGGACGCGAACGGGGAAUCAAUGGGGACAGUUGUCAUGUGUGGGGUCGGAGUACCCUGACAUGCCGUGUGUUUAGGUUUACCUUGCAAGGUUAAAACUCGAUUCAAAUCGUCUGCUUCUCGCAGCUAAUGAGACUGCUUGACCCCUUGUACUGCAUCGAGUAAGAAGUGAAAUGAGGUUACAUGAGAUAACUUGUUGAUUGAACUAAAUGCUUGUCACCAUGUAUGCUUAGAAGGAGCAAAUCUAGCUAAGUUAAUGAUGAUAGAAAUUGAAAAGCUAAAAAAAUUGAUUUUAGAAACAGCUAGUGCUUUUGGCAAACCAAACCCCUCAGCCAAACAGCUGCAUAGUCUAGAGGUAGAGGAGUAGACUCCUCACACCGGUUAAGUCUAGCUGAGUAUUAGUAUACUCAGCCUUGCUUGUGGCAUAAUUUUUGCAGGUACCAUUCAGGAAAUGGUUGAUGGUGUGACUUGGCCUACUACCCUGCCACCGGGUUGGACGGUCGAGUGGGAUGUUGCUCCGGCAGGAGAGGAGCACGAGGAGUAGUGGGCUAGGCCUUGCCCAAUUCCUCGAUACCGACGACAUCGAUUAUCCGCUGCACUUUAUUUUGUGAACUCUUAUUUGCUACUCAAAACUCCGAUCUAUGUAAUAAUUCAGCACUUAAUUUGAGGUUUCCUGUUUUAUUAUAUUUCUUCUGUGACUCACCUUCGAGUGAGAUUGUGGAAUUUGAUCCUGGUUAAGUGGCUCUAUCAGACUAGAUCUGAGGGACUGACGGGUUAUUCUGAUUUAAGUGUGUUACGGCCCCUGAGGCAUGACUUAGGCAAUUAAGCUGGAAUAAUUCGGGCGGUUCCGCCACAGCUGGUAUCGGAGCAAAUUCCACCACAGAGAAGGACAAUAAACCAUGAAUACCAAUUUUCAAAACUUACCUAGAAACUGCUAUGGGUCGUCAGGACUAGACCGCUAGACCUAGGACGAAAGGCCUUAGGCAUAGAGGGAGAAAUAGGUGGCUAACUAAUUAGGCCCUGUGGGCUAGUACUUAUAUUUUUAAGGAUGCCCUAAAAAGCACCCUAUUUUCUUUUGAGAGGCAACGUUACUUCCGGCAUGCAUGCAUUAUAAAACACAAAGAGGAAUUAAAAAUUUUGAGCUAACCCACUUUCUUUAAAACCGUCCGAGCUCUCUUUUUCUUUUUCCUUCCACCAUAAUCUUUACCUUUGAUUCCCUUCCGCAGAUGAAUUCACCCACCCCCGCCAGUGGAGGAGACUCUCGUUUCAGUUCUGAUUUCUUUUCUCGCAAUGGUUUUCCUUCCAUCUUGUGGGAAGUGCUUAACUCCGCUGGUUACCCUACGCCCCCUUUGUACACAGUGUAGUUGUAUGAGGAGCAUCGGGUACCUCGUUGUCGGGUCUGGCUGACCUUGGAGGCUCAUCCCCUUCAGCCGGGUUGGCAUUCUCUUGAUUCUGAGAUGACUGGACUCAGGACGGACGACACCGUUGAAGCAGCAGCCAUGAAGACUCUGACGACUUUCUGUGGCUACCAUCCCCUGGAGAUGGUGAUGCACCCUUUGGGACUCUUCCCUGCUGAGAAGAAGGAUGAUCCCAUGUGGUGUAACCGCGUGAGCCAUGUGAAGGAUGUGUGGGCGAUGUAUCCUGACUUGGUUGGGAGGAUCACCGUUCAGUGCAUGAGUGCGCUGUACCGCCUUCAGGCCCUUCAGAGCAAUGCUAUGGCACUCCUUGCUAACACCGCUCAAACUGCCAAGCUCACUCUCGACAGUCGAGAAGAUUUUGUGGUCGAUCUAUCCACCGAGUUGGUAGAGAAGGAUCUGCAGGUGGAGAGGCUGAGCCAGCGCAUUACCACCUUGGAGCAGCAGGUGGAGAUCCGAGACAACACUAUUGAUGUCUUGGAGAACCAGCUUCAUGAUGUGCAGAGGGAACUCGAAGAAGCGAAUGACCACUUGGACAUGCACCACCUGGAGAUGGAGGCCAAUGAAGCCGGAAGCGAGGGAGAACAGGCUCCCGAGGAGCUAGGACCAGCCCCUGGUGCCAAUGGGACUACCUCCGCGAUGCCUCCUUCACCCGUAUCUAGUGUCGCUUCCACCGCUCAGGGUUAAGCAGUCACUUCGACACUUUUAGGCGGAUAGAAACCUAUGCGAGCUUAGUUAAUGUCAGAUUUUGGACUAGGCUUAUGGGUACUUUCCCCUGAUUGAUGUAACCCUGUGAACUUUUGAAAUCUGUGGGAUAUUUGUCACCAUGUUAUCUUCAUUUCGAACCUAAUAUUAUGAUUAUGGCAUUUUUCCUUCCAUAUGAGAUGAUAUCUUGUCGUUCGAAACUGUGAGUUGGGAUAACAAUGGCGGCAAUCUCUGUUUUCAGAUGGCAGCUAGGCAGCGUCGCGGGCAUAACGAGCAGGUUCCCCCGCCACCUCCUCCAGCUCCCACAGUGCAGGAGCUGAUGGCCCAGCAGAAUGAGAUUCUGCGAUAGCUCUUGCAGCGCCAGCCCCACCCUCAGCAGCAUGGUGGAGGCCAGCAUCAGCGACCUCCGGCUAUGGCAACUUACCAGGAGUUUCUGAGCACACAACCACCCUUGUUCACCAAGGCAGAGGAUCCGUUGGACGCCAAUGUAUGGCUUCGCGUCUUUGAAUCCAAGUUUCCCAUCCUCACGGGAGAAAGCCCUGAUGAGGCCAAGGCUCGCUUCGCCGCACAGCAGCUUCGCGGCCCUGCUCGGACUUGGUGGGAUCACUUCCGUGCUAUGCUCCCAGCUGAUCGUGAAGUAUCUUGGGAGGAAUUCAAGACUUCCUUCAGAGGACACCACAUCCCAGCUGGCAUUCUUGAUCGGAAGUUGAAUGAAUUUCUGGCCCUUAAUCAAGGAACCCGCACGGUACUGCAGUAUGCGCAAGCCUUCAAUGACUUAUGCCAGUAUGCAGGGUAUCAUGCUGAUUCUGAUGAAAAGAAGAGGGAUCGCUUCCGCAGGGGUCUCAAUACCAAGCUGCGGGAACGACUCAACACUAUCUGGGCUGAUAGCUUCAAUGAGUUGGUCAACAUGGCCAUCUCCCAGGAGGAUUGCAUUGUUGCUCACCGGGCAGAGAAGAAGAGAAAGGCACCAAUGGCAGCACCAUUCGCUCAGGCUCAGAGGUUCCGGAUUGUUUCUCACAAUCAGAGCAGGGGUUUUCAACAGCAGGCAGGCAGAUGGGUGAUCAGGCCACCUCAGCAGCAGCAGCAGCCGGCACCCAACCGCUUUCCAGCUCCCGCCCCAAGGAACAAUCAGCCUCCGCAGCAGCAGCAGUUCCGCCAGGGCAAUGGGAACAAGUGUUUCACUUGUGGCAAUGUGGGCCACUAUGCCAAGAAUUGUCCCAGGAACCAGCAGAGGCAGAUGCCAGCACCAAAUCAAGACAAGGGAAGAAAGCAGAAGGUGCAAGUCAGGCAAGGGAAGCUCAACUUCACUACUCUGAAGGAAGUACCUGAAGGAGCUCCUAUCAUGACCGGUAUCUUUUCAAUUUAUAAUCAACCUGCUUUAAUUCUGUUUGAUUCUGGUGCAUCUCAUAGUUUCAUUAGCCAAAAGUUCAGUGCUAAAUGUGAACUGCCAUUCUCUCACUCUAAAGGGUCAUUCAUGAUAGUCACACCUGGGGGUAAAAUUGCAACUAAUAAAUUAAACCAAAGUGUGCCUAUUCAACUGGGAAGCCACAUUAUCAAAACCACUCUUCUUGUGUUGGGAUUGGAAAAUGUGGACAUUAUUCUAGGAGCAAAUUGGAUGACCUUACACCAAGUUGUGCUUGAUGUAGCCAGCCGUACCGUGGAAGUUAAUUCUCCGUUCUGCGGGAACUUCACCUUAAUUCUGCCUAGUCAAGGUUCUACUCAGUCAUGUGCUUUCUCUAUGAUAGAGUUACCUCUGAAGAAGAUCUCCGUGGUCUGUGAGUAUGCAGAUGUCUUUCCUGAUGAAUUGCCAGGAAUGCCACCAGACCGGGAUAUUGAAUUCGCCAUCGAGUUGCAACCGAGAAUGGCCCCAAUUUCCAAGAGGCCCUACUGAAUGCCACCCACUGAGUUGGCAGAAUUGAAGAAGCAAUUGCAAGAGUUGCUGGAUAAGGGAUUUAUUCGCCCAAGUACUUCGCCUUGGGGAUGUCCAGCACUGUUUGUGAAGAAGGAUGAAAGCUUGAGGCUGUGUAUAGAUUACCGCCCUCUUAAUGCGGUAACUAUCAAGAACAAGUAUCCUUUGCCUCGUAUUGAUGUUCUUUCUGACCAGUUGGUCGGAGCCAAGGUGUUUUCCAAGAUAGACCUUCGCUCUGGCUACCAUCAGAUCAAGAUACGAGCAAGUGAUAUUCCGAAGACGACAUUCUCAACCAGAUAUGGGCUAUAUGAAUUCUUGGUGAUGUCAUUCGGGCUGACAAAUGCACCAGCAUAUUUCAUGUAUCUGAUGAAUUCUGUUUUCAUGCCGGAAUUGGACAAGUUCGUGGUGGUUUUCAUCGAUGACAUUUUGGUGUACUCAAAGAACAAAGAAGAACAUGUCGGGCAUUUGCAUGUAGUGCUUCAACGUCUGCGAGAGCACCACCUUUAUGCCAAGUUAUCCAAGUGUGAUUUUUGGCUAAAGGAAAUCAAAUUCUUGGGUCACACUAUCUCUUAGGCUGGAAUAGCUGUUGAUCCUGAUAAAGUGCAAGAGGUGAUGAACUGGAAGCCACCAACAACUGUCCGUCAGAUUCGGAGUUUUCUGGGAUUAGCUGGUUAUUACCGAAGAUUUAUUACGGACUUCUCUCGAAUUGCGAAGCCUAUAACUGAGUUGCUGAAGAAAGAAGUCAAAUUUGUUUGGAGUCAGAAGUGCGAAGAUGCCUUCCAUGCAUUAAGGCAGCAUCUGACCACAACACCAGUAUUGGCACAACCUGACAACAGCAAGCCUUUUGAUGUAUAUUGCGAUGCCUCUGGCACCGGGCUAGGUUGUGUCUUGAUGCAAGACAACCGAGUCAUUGCUUAUGCCUCAAGAGCACUCAGGCCUCAUGAGCAAAACUAUCCCACUCAUGACCUCGAGUUGGCAGCAGUGGUUCAUGCAUUAAAGAUGUGGAGGCAUUAUUUAAUGGGAACCCACUGCAACAUCUUCACUGAUCAUAAGAGCCUUAAGUACAUUUUUACUCAGGCUAAUCUCAACAUGAGGCAGAGAAGAUGGCUAGAGCUGAUCAAGGAUUAUGACCUGGAGGUACAUUAUCACCCAGGAAAAGCUAAUGUGGUAGCAGAUGCCUUGAGUUGGAAGAUGCAAUGCAAUUGUAUUCUGAUGGAUUCUCGCAUUAACACCUUGUGUGAUGAGUUGAGCAAGAUGCAAAUUGAAGUGAUUCCUUCUGGUUCCUUGUCUCACAUUUCUGUUGAGCCAGCUUUACAAGACCAGAUUAUCAUGGCCCAGCUCAAUGACAAGGGAGUGCAAAUUAUCAAGAAGAAUCUCCAUCAGAAGGUUGAGAAGUAUAAUUGUUUCUGCCAGGAUGAAAAGGGUGUGUUAUGGUUCAAAAGCAGAUUGGUGAUUCCUAAGGACCAGGACCUCAAGAGGAAAAUCUUGGAUGAGGCUCAUCUCUCCAAAUUCUCUGUGCAUCCGGGAAGCACCAAGAUGUACCAUGAUCUGAAGCCUUUGUACUGGUGGACCAGAAUGAAGAGGGAGAUAGCCCAGUAUGUAUCAGAAUGUGACACCUGUCAGAGGAUAAAGGCAAGCCGCUUGAAGUCAGCUGGAGCUUUGCAACCCCUGUCCAUACCUUCGUGGAAGUGGGAUGACAUCAGCAUGGAUUUCAUUGUGGGUCUGCCCAACACCUCUCGUCAUCAUGAUUCAAUUUGGGUUAUUGUGGACCGAUUGACGAAAGUGGCACAUUUUCUUCCUGUGCACACCACUGAUAAGGCUCAGAAGUAUGCAGAAUUGUAUAUUGAUCGGAUCGUGUGUUUGCACGGAUUACCUCGGACCAUUGUUUCUGACCGAGGAGCCCAAUUUGUUGCCAAAUUUUGGGAACAAUUGCAAGAGUCUUUGGGAACCAAGCUAAUCAGGAGUUCAGCUUACCACCCACAGACUGAUGGUCAGACGGAAAGGGUAAACCAAAUCCUGGAGGAUAUGCUGAGAGCUUGUGCAAUCGAUUGUGGCAAGAACUGGGAUAAGCACCUCUCCUUGGCAGAGUUUGCUUAUAACAGUAGUUAUCAAUCCAGCCUAAAGAUGGCACCUUUUGAAGCUCUCUAUGGAAGAAGGUGCAGGACACCACUCAAUUGGUCUCAACCUAGAGAAAGAGAAGUUUUUGGACCUGACUUAGUGACUGAAGCCGAAAGGAAGGUCAAACUAAUCAGGAAGAAUCUAGAAGCUGCUCAGGCUAGGCAGAAGAGUUACCAUGAUAGAAGAAGGAAACCUCUCCAGUUCGAAGUGGGAAGUUUUGUAUACCUUAAGGUAUCACCCACCAAGGGAGUGCAGAGGUUUGGGAUCAAAGGCAAGCUAGCCCCUCGUUACAUUGGACCUUAUGAGAUCAUAGAAGCAUGUGGACCCGUGGCAUACAAGCUGAAGUUACCUUUAAAAAUGUCUGCCAUUCACAGUGUAUUCCAUGUAUCUCAGCUGAAGAAGUGUGUUCGAUUGCCGACCGAGAUCGUAGCAGAGCCAGAAUUGGAGAUAGAGCCAGAUCUAUCGUACCAAGAGUACCCCUCCAAGAUUCUGGAUUGCAAAGAAAGAUCAACUCGGGCUAAAUCGAUCAAGAUGUACAAGGUCCAGUGGAGUAAUCACUCGAAGGAGGAAGCUACUUGGGAAACCGAGGAAUUCCUGAGAUCCAACUUCCCCGAUUGCCUACCUAAGGAAGCUGGUACAUAAUCACACCCAACCCCUCCUCCUGCCCUUCGAAUCUAAUUUUCAAAAAUAUGAUCUUAAUUCAGAAUGAAGUAACUAUGAAGUAAAACUUAAAAAGGGCUUCCUUCUAAAGUUGCAAAGAGAAUAACAUUCGAAGAGCAGUUUUUCCCUAAUAAUAACAAUAAUCACCCAUUUCCUAUAAGUCUCACCCUUCGCUUCACCCCGGAAGGACUCUGGCCCGAAUCUCGGGACGGGAUUCCUUUAAGGGGGGAAGGCUGUGACACCCCAGUGUCACCUAGGGUUUCUCUUAAAAUGCCAAACCAAGAACCAUCAUUUUAUGAGAACCAAAGUAAGCAUGAGCAUCAAAUUAACUUAAGAAUAAAGAAUUCACCAAGCAUAUACUUAAAAGUAUCAUGAUCAAAACAAAUGGAUCUUUCAAAAGGUAAGAAUGUUGUAACCCUAAUAAAAACCCUAAGUGAGCCCCAUGAGCAAAAUUCAAGAAAAUAAGGAAAAGGGUAUGAAAAAAUUAAAAUUAUGACUUGAGCCAAUUAUAAAAAUUGAAGUAUAUUUAAUAAGCAACAAGUAAGGUUGAGAAAGCUUAGCCAAAAUAACUCAAAUAAAACCCCAAAUCAAGCUUCUCAUGUGGGGACUUAAUGGGAAUUCUGAAUUUCAGAAUUCUGAAAUUCAGACCUUGAGCCAAAGAUCAAGGAUGUUCACCUUGAUCCCUAACUCGAAUCCUAAUGGCCCCAUUGACAAAAAUGUGCCUAAUUAACCCCUCUGUCAUGUGCCAGGAGAUGGCAUUGGGGCGCGUGCCUCGGACACGUCAAACCAGAGAUUUUCUCCCUGUGUGUGGCAGUGAGACAAACAGGAUUUCUCCCCUCUCUAUCUCUUAAUCCAGUCAGCGAAACUUGCUAGCCUCCACACACAAACGACAAAGGGACCUGAGAGGAAGAGAUCUCUCAACGGGAUCGUGGCCUUAAUCUCAAAGAUUUGGGCCCAAUCCGCGUUUGAACUUGACCUCUCUUUGCGCUGUCUCGUGCUCGACGCUGUGCCAGGCGCCAGAGCGCGCACUGGCGUUCGCCGCGCACGCCCCGAGCGCAUGUCAGAGCCCCGCCCUCGGCCGUGCUCGCCUGCGCCUAUAAAACCUCCCCGGGUGCACCUCACUUCACCCCGCGCUCACUUUCACCGGCCAGCCACCUCUCCUUAGCUCCGGCAAGCUCAAUUCCGCCCGCCAUUGCCGCUAGAGCUUCGGCCAUCGUGGCCAGCCCACUCUAGCCACCCCCAAGUCGAGCCAGUGCUUCGGCUAGCUCCGCCAGUGGCCCGUGAAGCUUUCCAAGCCCUCGGACCAGGCCGGACUUCACCGGAGGCCCGAGAUCGACCUCACCGGACUUCGGUCCUUCGCCGCCGCGCGUGGACAGAGCUAACCAGUGAGUCUCCGUCCAAUUCCUUGCACCCAUAUCUUCUCUGGCAUCCCGUGAACCUCUCUGACCCGUCCAAUUGAACUAUCUCGCCGUGAGCAGGCCGGACUCCUCGCCGCCGACGAGCAUCCCCGCCUGCGCACGUGGACCGGCCAACUCCGACCAUCCCCGAUGGCGACCCGCACACCGUUGUGAUCCUCGAGACCUCCCCUACGUCCUCGACCACUUCACCGGAGCAAUCUCGCCGCCGGUAAGCCCCUCCGCCCUUUCUUCCGCCGCGGUUACUGUUUAAGUUAGGAGAAGGACCUCGGGUUAGGAUUUGAAGAACCCGAGGGGUUUUCCGUAACGUCAGUGACCCAUGUGAAUAGUAGCCUAGGGACUGAUCCGCGAAGAAAACUUAAAAUACCCGCCAGGGACCCCAGUGCAAAGUGGUUUUCCAUUAAAUCAAUUUUGUUAAUCUUUUUAAAUAACCAGAGAACUUAGAAAACCCAUAACUUGAUGAAUUCUUAAUAAAAAGUUGUCAAACUAAUUUUGCUAGCUCCUGAAUAUUAUGAACUAUCAUUUAAAAAUGAUAAACCCUAUGCUUUCUGUUCUGAAUUUUUGAGUUUAAAAUUAAAAACAGAAACUUACCAAACCUUGUUUAAUUAAGGAAAAUUAGUUUUUCUUCUGUACUGAACCUAAGAAAAUUUGUAGGUAUUCAAACCUCAUUUAGACACUGUUUAAAAAUAGUAGGAACCCCAGCAUUGAAAAAUAUGAUGUAGAUAUUCAUUUAAAGCUAUUUUGCCCAAAACUUAGAAAAAAUCAGAAAGGCAUUAGAAAUUAAUGAACAGUGAUUAAAAUUAUUUUUCCUAAUUUGCUUAUGUAACAGAGAACCUGCGAAAAAUAGAGAGACCAUUAGUCCAGAUCAGUUUUAAAUUAGAAUGCUUUAUUUAGCCUUAUUUGAACUGAAAAUCAAUUAUUAGAGUUACAAAACUAUACCCAAAAUGGAUAAUAAAAAUCCAGUGGACUUACAACCACCAGAGCCCCACUACAAAAAUAAAGAACACCUCAGCACAACAUUUUAAGUAAGGAAAAUAAAUAUAAAGUGAUAAUGAGGCAUUUUCUAAAUAAAUCAUGAACAACCCCUAAUGAUGCAAUAAUGGGCAACCAAAAAUUUGCUAAGUCCAUAAUGAGAUAAACCACCAGAGAAAAAUGCAAACCCAUGAAAAAGGAGCAAACUCAUACCUAUUGCUAAGGAUUUAUGAGAAAGGCUACUUAAUUCAAAUAAUGCAUACCACCCCUUCCCUUAAGCAAAAAGAUGCCAAACUUCAGAAUGAUUGCUAUUGCGCAAAACAAUAACUAAGAAAAAUAAGAACUCUGUUGUUUGAUAUUUUUCAAAUAUAGUGGUAGUAGAAAGCACCUAUUUGGCUAGAAACUUGAGAAAACCCUAGUAAAAUAACUAAAAGGUAUUAAUGGCUAGAAAUUUGUAUCAAGUCAUGUUAUAACACCUAAAAGCCAGCAAAAAUAAGUUUUAGAAAAUUACUCACUGUUAAAUAAUAGUUAUAGUUCAAAGCACCCCUUCUGCCUUAGAAUUUAAUAAUUUUUGUCCAGAGAAAACUAUUCACUUUCUGAUCCCCAAAUUUUGAGACAGAGAAACAUACACCAGUGCCAAGCCACUAUAAUUUUUGCAGAAUUUUAUAAAAGCAACUUGUAGUUCAAACCCACUCCAAAACAUUUAAGAGAAUAAAAGAAAAGGAAAGAAGAAAUAAACCUCACCCCAAUAAGUCUAACUUGAGUACUUAUCAAUGCUCACUAAGGUUUAAAACGAAUUCAGUGGAACCCCAAAAAAUAAACCACCACUUACCUUAGAUAAAGUUAACCUAAUUUACCAAGUAUACCACCCAAGGGUCUUACAUAAGUAAGGUUAACUUUGUUUAACUCAAGAAGAUCAUACACCUCCCAAGUUGUAAUUUCUAAAAGCACAUAUCAUAUCAUGCAUAUAUCUUACGCAUUGCAUUCAUUAGAUUGUAAUCUUGCCGACGGAGAGUACGUGCUCAUCCCCGAGCAAGGACCUGUCCAAGAGGAGGACCAGGAGUAGGCUUCCGAGGCUGCUAUUGAGGAUCUUCCCGCAGCCCCAGCAAUUGAAGGCAAGCCCCGGUUUUAUGCAUAACCGUAUUAUUAUAUGCUAUUUUAUUACACUUAAUGCUUGUAGGAUUGUAAUGUGCACUUAAGUGUAGGAGUUGCUUGAAACCUCUAGUUGCAUGAACUUAGGAUUCCUUUUUGAGAUGAAUACUAGUAUGCUAGGUCGAGUAGCUGCUUGCUAAUCAGGAUCUCGGUAGAAGUCGAGUGAUUUUUCUAGCACUCGCGCGAGGUCAGGAAUUGAUUGUAUUCAUCUUGAUAACGGGAUAUAUGUUAGUCUAUGGACUUGGAUCCAGGGAGGAUGCCUUGUCCAUGAGACGGGAAAAAGGAAUUAAGGAUUAAUGUGUGGAUACCUGAGUCAAGCUUUUGAACGUACUAAGCACAUGCCGGGAAAAAUGGUAGCCGGUAAACCUAGUACCUGAUUGAAGCCGGGCGCGGACUUUAUCCCUCAUGCGACCUGAGACUGGGUCUCCCAUGCUAGCUAUGGUGGGUACAAGUGCGGUCACUGCACAGCGGCAGCCGGGGUCAGUGGAGCAUUGUAUGCCAAGGCGGUGAGGCCUGGACGUGAACGGGGAAUCGAUGGGGACGGUUGUCAUGUGUGGGGUCGGAGUACCCUGACAUGCCGUGUGUUUAGGUUUACCUUGCAAGGUUAAAACUCGAUUCGAAUCGUCUGCUUCUCGCAGCUAAUGAGACUGCUUGACCCCUUGUACUGCAUCGAGUAAGAAGUGAAAUGAGGUUACAUGAGAUAACUUGUUGAUUGAACUAAAUGCUUGUCACCAUGUAUGCUUAGAAGGAGCAAAUCUAGCUAAGUUAAUGAUGAUAGAAAUUGUAAAGCUAAAAAAUUGAUUUUAGAAACAGCUAGUGCUUUUGGCAAACCAAACCCCUCAGCCAAACAGCUGCAUAGUCUAGAGGUAGAGGAGUAGACUCCUCACACCGGUUAAGUCUAGCUGAGUAUUAGUAUACUCAGCCUUGCUUGUGGCAUAAUUUUUGCAGGUACCAUUCAGGAAAUGGUUGAUGGUGUAACUUGGCCUACCACCCUGCCACCGGGUUGGACGGUCGAGUGGGAUGUUGCUCCGGCAGGAGAGGAGCACGAGGAGUAGUGGGCUAGGCCUUGCCCAAUUCCUCGAUACCGACGACAUCGAUUAUCCGCUGCACUUUAUUUUGUGAACUCUUAUUUGCUACUCAAAACUCUGAUCUAUGUAAUAAUUCAGCACUUAAUUUGAGGUUUCCUGUUUUAUUGUAUUUCUUCUGUGACUCACCUUCGAGUGAGAUUGUGGAAUCUGAUCCUGGUUAAGUGGCUCUAUCAGACUAGAUCUGAGGGACUGAUGGGUUAUUCCGAUUUAAGUGUGUUACGGCCCCUGAGGCGUGACUUAGGCACUUAAGCUGGAAUAAUUCGGGUGGUUGCGCCACAGAUGGGAGCCAUGGGGUAGCCUGCAACUCUGCUGCCAGAGGAGAAGCAUCAUCAAAAGCAAAAUUGCCAUGAUGGAAGUCAUCAUACCAUUCAUCAUCAUUGUAUGAAUUGUCUUGACGAAGCUCUCUAUGUUACGGCCUUUGGUCUUGGUCAUCCUGGGUGAGAUGACGCAUUUCCUCAGCGGCCUCAUCAAUCUUCCUCUGAAGAUCGGCAAGACAAAUCAUCUUUUCUUUCUUCUUCUGAACCUGUUGAUGGAUGGCUUCAAGGUCCCUGAUUUCUUGGUCCAACUCCUCCUCCUGAGGUGUUGGGCUAGUAGCCUUCCUCUUCUGGCUCCUAGCUUCACGUAACGUUUCCUGAUUAAUGUCCAGUGGCUGUAGUGCAGCCCCUAGCCCUGCUGUCUUCUUCGACGGCAUGACGAAGGUCAAAGCUUGCCGAAGGUGGUCGAGUGAGUUCACCGGAGGUGGGCGCCAAUGUUGGUCACUUGUUCUCAAAAGCUAUAGAUCAAGAACAAGGCAACACAAAUGUUAAUGAUUAAAGACCUUCGUCCUUCGGAACAUUAUUUCCUUUCGGAUAUAAUGAUCUUCAGACGAAGGUCAUGAAGGACGUACCUUCAUCAUUUCAAUAUGCUAAGAUACAAACAUGGACAUAUGAAACGCAGAAAGGGCAUGAAUAAUCAUCUUUAAUCAUCAGAUUAUUCACAUUGUCAUUAUAUAAUCAUGAACAAACAUCAAUGAUAUUUAAGUUACAUUUGUACCUUCGGCUUGACAGAAGGUAGAAAUCCGAGAGUGAUUACAAGUCAUCUUUAAUCCGAGAGUGAUUACAAGUCAACGUGAACAGUACGGUGUUACUGUUCAUCUAUUUAUAGGCACAGGAUGUAGCCUGAGCAAAAUUACAUUCAUGUCCCUAACAUUUACUGUUAGGCAAAAGGUAAGUUGUCGAGGACUAGGUAGUCUUUUCUCUUUUAGGUCGGUUUCAUUCUCCACCACCGUCCUUGUGCUAAGACGAAGCUUCUCCAGCCACAGCUUCGGAGCUGAUUCAUCCUUAUUCCCGAUCAUGCUUUGCAUACCAUGUACACCUUCAUCUUAAGGUCAAAGCUUCCUUUGACAGUAUACUAUAUUGGAAAACAUGUUAGUCGUGUUUUUGAGGACCUUCGGAAGAGGAAGGCCCCCAACACCUGCUGUUAAUGCGCCCAGUCGAGUGGAGGUACCAAGAAAAACCAUUCAACCAUCUUCUCAACCGAAGAGGGGGAGGGCUGCUAAGCAGGAUAAUGCUUCUACUAAGCGUCAAAGGAAAGAGAGGAACAUUCGAUCCUCCAAAUCAGUAAACAAAAGUCAACCACCAGUUGAUGGACACCAACUGGAUACUGUACAUCCACAAACCAGCACUCAUGUGCACAAUUCAGAUGUUGCUGGUACAUCAGAACACCCUGUAUCUACUCUUCCUGUAAAUCAAGAAGACUUUCAUGGGGUAUAGGAGAUUUCCAUUAAUUAUACUAGUUCUGGAGGAUUGUGUGAUCGUAAAAAUACGGUCGUCAAUUCAUGUUUCUCAUCAAUCAUAGUUAGUAACCUUCUAUCUGACCUAGACCCUAAAUCUAUGGCAGAGUGUAAACAACGCUCGGACUGGACCAAAUGGAAGGAAGCAAUUAACUCUGAAUUAUCCUCACUAGCAAAAAGACAUGUAUUCACCUCUGUGAUACCUACACCUAGAAUCCAUCCUGUUGGAUUCAAAUGGGUUUUCACCCGAAAACGGAAUGAGAACAAUGAGGUUGUGAGAUAUAAAGCGAGAUUAAUUGCUCAAGGGUUUACCCAGAGACCAGGAAUUGACUACAAUGAGACAUAUUCUCCUGUUAUGAAUGGAAUAACCUUCCGGUAUUUAAUUUCAUUGGCAGUACAAAACGUCUAUUUCUGCAGUUGAUGGAUGUCGUGACCGCAUAUCUUUAUGGGUCACUAGAUUCAGACAUAUACAUGAAAGUUCCUGAUGGAAUACCUAUACCGAAGAAUGGCAAAAAUCGUAACAUGUUUUGUGUCAAACUCAGCAAAUCUCUAUAUGGCUUAAAACAGUCAGGGAGAAUGUGGUACAACCGACUGAAGGAAUUCCUUAUGAAUAAGGGUUAUUCUAACAGUGAUGAUUGUUCACGUGUCUUUAUAAAGAAAUCUUCUAUAGGUUUCUGCAUCAUAUCAGUAUAUGUGGAUGACUUGAACAUCAUCGACCUUAAAUGUGAUAUUGAUGACACAUGCAAUCUUUUAAAGACAGAAUUCGAGAUGAAGGAUUUGGGUAAAAACCAAAUUUUGCUUGGGUUUCCAACUUGAGCACCUUCCCACGGGCAUUCUCAUUCAUCAGUCUGCUUAUGUGCAGAAAGUAUUGAGUAAAUUCAAUAUGGAUAAAGCAUAUCCGUCUAAGACUGGUAUGAUCGUCCGUACCCUAGAAAGGGAUAAGGAUCCUUUUAGACCACGAGACGAAGGAGAAGAUAUUUUGGGUCCUGAGUACCCAUAUCUUAGUGCAAUUGGAGCACUUAUGUACCUAGCAAACAAUACAAGACCCGAUAUUGCAUUUGCUGUAAAUUUACUUGCUAGAUAUAGUGCAUCCCCUACCAAACGUCAUUGGACUGGAAUCAAAAAUAUUCUUCGAUACCUCCAUGGCACGGCAGAUUCGGUCUAUUCUACGGAAGAAAUCAAGAUCCUAGCCUUGUAGGGUACAUAGAUGCUAGUUAUCUUUCAGACCCCCACAAUGGAAGGUCUCAAACUGGGUUUAUAUUUCUGAAUGGUGGAACUGCUAUUUCUUGGAAGUCAUCCAAGCAAACUCUAGUAACAACAUCCACUAAUCACUCAGAGAUUAUUGCCUUGUAUGAAGCCUCACGUGAAUGUGUGUGGCUUCAAAGCGUGAUUAAUCACAUUCAAUCAUCAUAUGGGAUUCAUUCCACUGAAUCACCGACCAUUAUCUAUGAAGAUAAUGCAGCUUGUGUUGCUCUGAUGCAAGAAGGUUAUAUCAAGAGCAAUGUUACCAAACAUAUCUCCCCCAAGUUAUUCUAUCCUCAUCAACUUCAACAGAGUGGUGAGAUUAAGGUCAUGCAAACUAAGUCUUGUGACAAUCCUGCAAACUUAUUCACUAAGUCGCUACCUUAUUCCAUAUUUCGGAUAUGUUUUAAGGGUAUUGGUAUGCUUCGACUUAGAGAUUUGCUUGCAUCAGGGGGUAUCUCUUUGAUCAACCUAAUAUUAAUAUCACAUUGUACUCUUUUCCUAUAUGAGUUUUACUAUCAUGUUUUCUAAUUUUAGGUUUUUAAUGAGGCAAUGUCAACACAAGCAUAUGUCAGUCUCUUGAUUUUUCCCAUCAGGGUUUUUCGAUAGAGACACCAAAGACAUAUGAUAUACUGUUGAUUUUCUCCAAAUUUUUCCCACUGGAUUUUUUGGAGUGUUACACAGUAUAUUAUUGCAAACCACCUUUUUACUUAUAGGUUUCAAGGGAGGAUAUACAUAAUGGACAACUGCUUAAGGGGGAGUUUUAUGAAAGAUAAGCAGUUGUUGACUGCUUCUAACCGACGUUCUCCAAGGGACGUGCCCCUUGCAUGAUCUCCACGUAGAACAUGGCCAAAGGAUGUGCACCAGUUGUACAGACGUGACCCAUUGGCCUCAUCCUCUCAGUGUCUCCUUUACUUGUAUAAAUACCGUUGCAAUAAAGAAUGAAGAACACAUGGAUUUCGUUCACUGUUCAUUCUCGCACACUAGUUUUACUUUUCACCAAUCAUCAAAUCUAGCGGACAAGCUCUCCACCCCAUCCCCGCAGAAAAAAAUCUUACGGGGAUCCCACGAACGCUCGCGGGGGACAUUUAUUUCUCAUCCCCGUUUCUCGCGGGGAUAAAUCUCCGAAGAGGAUCCCUGUCCCCACUUAAAUUAUAACUAGUCAGUUGUCCGUGCUUUUGCUAUGGACCCUAAAUAUAUCAUAUAAAUAGGUAUUGAGAUAUUUAUUUAAAUAUAAUUAUUAUUUAUUUCUAAACACUAAGAUACGUAUAGGCUGGUGGUUAACCCAAAUUUCUAGAGUAGAGAGUGUGUGUUCAAAUGCUCGCUUUGCACUAUUUUUAUAUAAUUAUUUAUUGUUUAUUUCUAAACACUAAGUUACAUGUGGUCUGGUGUCACACCCGGUUUUGGAAGGCAAACCGAAUGCGAACCAUGUACGUGCCAGGAUCAGAAACUCAUGUACACAGCGAUUACAUAAUUGGACAUCAUCACACAAUGCUCGAAAUAAAUAGCGGAAAGAUACUUUAAUUACAUCAAGAUGUACAAGACAUCCAUAGAGUCUAUUACAUAACCAUUGUCUUUAGCAUAAAUAUCAAAGUGCGGAGAAACGAAACGUAGAUGAUAAGCCUACACAGGCAGCUGACUGGGGGUUUGCCACUAAGUAAACUAGAACUCGUCGUAAUCCUGGAACUCCUCGAAGUCCUCCAUGUUGCCAGCAUCACCUCUUGAGCACUGAGUACAAUGGGGACAACCUGGGGUGGGGUGGUGUGUAAAGCAAGGGUGAGUACACAUCAACGUACUCAACAAAUGUCCCGUUUGUCCAAAGAGGACUAGCUGUAUGUGGGGUUGAUGUUAAGCAGUUGCUUUUAAUUGGUCAAGUGUUUAUUAUUAUUAGUAGAGCCAAGUUUUAGUAAUAAACCCAGUUAUUACCCAAAAGUACUCCAUCAAAAGAGGAAAUACCAGAGAUCGGACUUAUAACACCAUUGUUAACCAUCAUCAUAAAAGUAUCCAAAGUUCUUCUAAUCAAAGAGGAUCCCAAGGCUGCUCUUAACCGUGAGCUCGGUUGAUAUACCAGUUUCUAACACUCUGCAGAGGUUGCACACUUUACCCACGAGUCGUGAUCCCUUUCCAGCCUGGGUUGUACAGACCCGAUCUUCACUACCAAGGUGAAUGGCCAGGGAUACACUACGUAGCCUUUACAAAGACUCCCCUGGUGCAUAGCUACUCGUUAGGUUUCGCCAGUCGUACAAACGCAGUACACCUCCCCAAGGUGGGUGACUAACAAAACCAAAUCGAAUGAACCUCUACACCCCACCUUAGCAGAGCGAGCACUAUGCCCCGACCCCCAUUGACGGCCCUCCGGCAAAGCUAACCACACCCCCAGGUUCAUCUAAUUAAUCAGCUAAGGGUGUCCCAUUCCACCCUCAUGGUUGCACUGUUAUCCCGGGUGGUCACUCCACGAACAGAUCCUUACGGAGAGGUACUCAGGAAAAAGGCAUGAGCCCCCUAGAGUAUCACAAGAUCAUCAACAUAAUCAAGAUAACAGUGUCGUAUCAUAAAUGUUCACAUCAUGUUCAUUGAUUAAAGUUAAGGCAAUAGCAAAAUGCUAACCAUGAUAACCCAAAAGGUAAACAAGGAUAAGGUACAUACAAAGCUAGUCAAUCCUUAGGUUUAGAUAAUGUAAUGCGAGACAGUGAAUCAUAAAGUAUGUAGGACAUAAUAGGUCAGAGGACACUUGCCUUCACCAGGUUGUUGCUCAGGGAGGUCUCCAACAACACACUCAGGAACCUCGGACUGCUCGUUGUCUAAAUAAAGCGAGCAUGCAUUCAAUACAUUUGGAAAGUACAAAUGAACAGCACACCAAACAUGUACAAACAUAGGAAUACAUCUCAAAGGCACCAUACUACAUAAGGGAUAAUGAGUUCAAAGUAUAACAUAAACUAUGACAUCAACUAACUUCAUUUGGAAAUAGAUUAUUAUUUCUCUAAGUGUUACUCACAAAUACAUAACAUAGUUCAAUUUAUUUUAUUGUGACCUAAAAAUUAGAACAGAGAUGAAUUCAUGUAAUACACAUUAUUAAUCUCAUAAAAUUAAGCAUGUUUUAAUCUCUAGGGUUUUCCCUUUUAAUUUUAUUAAGUACACCACAUCUAUACAUAUACUAGUUAAUAGUUCUCCAUAAAAUUAAGAACCAUAGAGUGUAAAUGGAACUAAUUUAUUUCUACAGAGAAUAAUACUAUGAACAUUUUGCAAUUUGAAUCACUAAAUUUGGAGUUCAUAUGCAAAAGAUAUGAAAUAAACAAGUUUGGGAAUUCAAAAUAUGAAAUUAGGUCUAAUUUUGUGAAUAUUUAAAAGUCUAGGGUUCAAUCUGCAAGAAUACAGGGGUCUGCGCGCGAAAACCAGGGACAGCGGGUUUAUUUCCAACAAACCAAGGGUUUCUUACGCAAAACAACCACGCGAAGGGGUAUCAGGCUCCCUCAACCGUUAGAUCUAAAAUAAACGGCUGAGAUUAGAUCUGUGGCCGAGGGCGUGCGCGCGCGAGCGGGCGAGUGCUGACAGGCGGGCCAGGGGAUGUCAGCGACAGGGGGGAGGGCGCACUGACCGAGCGGGCCCAGCGCCAGGGGACAUGGGCGCUGACAGGCGGGCCAAGGGCACAGGGCGCGCGUGCGCGAAGCGGUAUCCGUGAUCUAGGUCAUGCGAUUAAGAUCGGACGGGGGAGAUCAGACCAGGGAGGACGAACAGCUGCGGGCGAUGCUGCUCCUCUCCGCGGCGGUGAGGUAGCCGGAGUUGGGGCAGGCGCGUGCUAGAGUGGCUCCGGGGUUGCCGGGAUUGGGCAGAGAGGGAGAGAACACCACGACAAACUCAAUGGCGGGGAAGAGGCCAUGAAUCUGCGGACAAAGGGGGAAGAACGGUGGGGAGAAGGUCUCGGGCGGACCGGAGCAACUCCGCUGAGGCAUUCCGGCCACGGGGAGGGGGCUUAAGGCGCUCUAAGGCCUGGGCUAGCUUCAGCAGAGGCAGAGGUGACACGGAAACCUACACCGAGGAGCUAGGCCGGACUAAAUCGGCCGGCCACCGCGCGAGCAUGGCGGACCACCACGGCCGAGCACCAGCGAUGCCAAAAUUGGCCGAGCAUAGAGCAAAACUAGGGAAAUUAAGCACAGGCAAAGGUGUCUCACCUUGGGGCGGAGCUCGGGGAGGCUUGGCACGGUCUCCGGCGAGCUAGAUGGCCGGGGAAGCGGGACCGGGUCUCCGGCGGCGUCUGGCGGCGAGGGCAGAGCGCGAGAGAGGGCAAAGCUGUGCGAAAUGAGGCGGGGGAGCGAGUGCGGGCGCUGGCAAGGCUCUAAGAAGGGAGCUGGGCGCGUGGGUGGGUGUCGUGGCCGAGAAAUCCGGCGACAUGCGCGAGUGCGCACUCGCCGGUCCACGGCGGGUGCGAGGAGGGCGGAUCUGACUAGGAGGCUCCACGGCGCAAAGAGAGAGGAAAGGGGCGCUCAGGGCAACGACUCAGGAACUGGCGAACCGGGCCCACGAGGCAGAGAGAGGAGAAGCGUGCGGGUGAAGAAAUCGGCGCCAAUAGGUUGGCCCGAGUGGGCAGAGAGCGAGAGAGAGAGAGAGAGAGCGAGAGAGAGAGUUGUCGCUGACAGGUGGGGUCCGCCUGUCAGGCGGCACAGGCGCGCGGGCGCGCGGCCUGGCUGGGCCGAGCUGGGCCGGCUAGGCUGCUGGGCUACUUUCCCUUUUUCUUUUUCUCUGGAUUUUCUAAUUCCUUUUCUAUUUCUUUUCUCUAGAGUUUUCAAUUCCAAAUUCAAAUUAGGUUUAAAAAUUCAAAUAAAUUCAAACUUUUGCAACACUUCAAAGAAUAUUUUAACACAUGAAUUUGGGUGAUAAUUAGAAAGAAAUUUUAUACCCCAAAUUCAGGGUGUUACAUCUGGUGGUGACUGCGCCCGUCCAUAGGGCCAACAGGGCACGACGCCGAGGCGACGGGCACGUGAGGCGGGCCCAGUGUAUUAGCGUGGGUAAAGUCGUGGUAGCACCAGGUGCCCCACCUUUCAUUCUUAAUAGUAGUAGGGAUUAGAACAUAUGUCCUUUGUUAUUAAUAUAAAACAUUAUCACAUAUACAUAUUGUCAUAUAUAAAAAUCAUUAUGUGUACAUAAAAAUAAACACAUUUGUUAUAAUGAGUGAUCUUUUGACAAUAUAAUUAUUUAUUUUUAUCGUUAACUAGUACACAAAAACAACAUCAUGUCAAAGUCUAACAAGUCCCUGCGGGGAACGGGGAUGGGGAAUGCUUCCCCGUCCUCGUCUGUGUCCCCGUUUACCCAUCGAGGGAAGAAUUUUCUCCAUUUAAAUCCUCGUGGGGAAAGAAACUUACUCAUCCCCGUUCUCUAAUGAAGGAAUUCCCCGUGAGGAAUCGGGGUCGAGGCCCAUUGCCAUCUCUAUCGGUGUGCUUCCUAUCCAACAGCUUGACUUCGUCCCCAAGUCACUGUCGGUCGUGCUGGGUAGCAGGGUCGUAGCGGUAUUGCUUCGAUGGGGAAGGGAUUAGGCAGCCUCGCUAUUAAGGCAUUGUUCGGUUACAUGGGGUAAAAUCUCACCAUGGGUUUAAUCCGGGUAUGGAUUGGAUGAAUCCAUAUCUCACACCCAAUAUCAUGGUGGGAUUAAAUCCAUCAACUAAUCCAUGUGUCUCUCAAAGCUAGUUAUUCUUUUGAUCCAUAAAUUCUAAUGUAAACUUGUGCAAUAUCUUCAUGGAUUUGUUCCAUACCUAAUGAGAUAUGGAUAGAAUCUAUGUCUUCCAUAGUUUAAAAAAUUUUCAAACCCUUGGGUUAUAUUCCAUGAUGGAUUUAACCGAACAAAAAAAAUUAAGUAGUCUUGGAUUAUUUUGGGACAUGGAUUGUGACAUAGAUUUAAUUCCAAUCCAUAAUAAUUUAGAGCUGGAUUGGUGUAAAUGAACAAAGUCUAACACCUCGUCUACCGAGCAACGUCCAGCAACACCGCCUAGGGUUGGAUCUGUCUCCUGUGGUGGCGUUACCUCCUCCGGCUGGGGCCAGCAGGGGCCUUCUCCUACACUUCUCGCUUCGGCAACUUUCACACCUUCCGAUCCAUCACUCCCAAGGUCAGCGAGCCUCUCUCUGCUACUUGUACUUAAAUUAUGGCAUGUCUUGCUAGAAAACAAGUAGAGCAAGUUACCAAAUUGUAUUGUCAAGAGCAAGUGAAAUUAUCUAUCUAUAUGUAGAAGUGAUGGUGAUGAAUUGGUCAUGUAUGAGGCAUGUUUAUGUUUACAAAUGGUAAUGAUGAAACAAAUUUUGUAAACGAGUAAACAAUUUGUUUCUGUAAAUGAUUUUUUUAUUUUAGUAGAAAAAUAUUCUUGAAGAAAUUUCUGUUAAUACGGUUAGUGAAGCAUAGUUGGUAAGAUAUAGAUGAUGAAAUUUAGAGAACAUUGCUGGAUAAAGUGAGGAUAUGUGAUAUAGAGGACAUAAUCUUUUAGAGUGUACUGUAAAGAAAAAUGAAUAUUCUUUUAGAAGAUGAAAUUAUAGGACAAUGCUAGAUACAACCUUAGAUGUCAUUUGUUGUUAUAUUAACCCAUUUCUAAUCUCGGUGCAUGUCCCAAUGUUGACCCAACUCACUUCUAAUGUGUAUGUCCCAUAUAUUAACCGACUUCUAGUCUCGGUCUUUUGAUUGGAUUUGAAGAAAAAAUUCUCUUUAACAUAUUAACCCACUUCUAAGUCAUGCCAUACGGGCGACGGUCACAAUUACUGAUGGCAAAACGAGGGCAUGAAUUGAAAGAAGAUUGGAUACAAUAGUAUCCUUAUGGAGAUAAAUGGGCAUACGCCCCCUCUUUUUAUUUUGGGUAAUUGUGAAGGGGAAUUUCCAAAUAUUUGUCUAAAAGGAGGAUAAGGUGAUAAAUAAAACAUCACUAUGAAUUAAAAGAAAGAUUGGGUCAUGAUUGAAGGAAACAUGUGACGCCUAAGAGGGGGUGAAUUAGGACUUCUAAAACUUUCUCUAAACUAGGCUACAAAUAAAUCUCCAGAGCAAAACCUAUACAAAUAACCAAACUAGAAUGUGUAAACUAGGUUUUGUCUAAGUGUUGCUAUCUCUACCACAAUGACUAAGUUUCAAUCCUAAACAAUAUAGGUAUGAAUACAAGAUUGAAACUUAAAUGCUUAAUGUAGAUGCGAAAGCUAAAGAACAAGGUAGAGAUGCAAACUCUCGUGGAUGACACCGAUAUUUUUACCGAGGUAUCCGGAACCACGCAAGGUCCCGACUAAUCCUCGUUGGUGCCCCUACACAAAGGGAUGUCCGUGAUGGGGGAGUUGAAGUAUUUCCUUGGAUUUCAAAUCAAGCAACUCCAAGAGGGCACCUUCAUCUACAAAACUAAGUAUAUUCAAGAUAUACUCAAGAAGUUUGGAAUGAAGAAUGCCAAACCCAUCAAGACUCCCAUGGGAACAAAUGGGCACCUCGACCUCGACACAGGAGGUAAAUCCAUAGAUCAAAAGGUAUACUGGUCGAUGAUAGAAUUUUUACUCUAUUUAUGUGCUUCACGACCGGAUAUUAUGCUUUCCGUAUGCAUAUGUGCAAGGUUCCAGGCAAAUCCUAAGGAAGCUCACCUUAGGGUCGUGAAAAGAAUCAUGAGAUAUUUAGUUUACACUCCUAAGUCUGGGCUAUGGUACGCCAAGGGAUCUAUCUUUGAUCUAAUUGGGUAUUCUGAUGCCGAUUAUGCCGGAUGUAAAAUUGAUAGAAAGAGCACAUCAGGGACUUGUCAGUUUCGAGGAAGAUCCAUGGUAUCUUGGGCUUCAAAGAAACAAAACUCAGUAGCUCUAUCCACCACCGAAGCCGAGUAUAUUGAUGCAGGACACUGUUGUGCACAAUUACUUUGUAUUAGGCAAACCCUUAGGGACUAUGGCUAUAAGUUGAGCAAAGUCCCUCUCCAAUGUGAUAAUGAGAGUGCAAUCCGCAUGGCGGAUAAUCCCAUUGAACACAACCGCACUAAGCACAUAGACAUCCGAUACCACUUUUUGAGAGAUCUCCAACAAAAGGAGGAUAUCGAAAUUGCUUAUGUUAGCACCCACAACCAAUUAGCCGAUAUCUUCACUAAGCCUCUGGAUGAAAAGACUUUUACAAGCUUAGGAAUGAACUCAAUAUCCUCGAUUCUCGAAACUUUGAUUGAAAUCUUGCACACAUUGCUCAUUCUUAUACCUUUGAUCAUAUCUCUUUCACUUAGUACAAAUGCAUAUUUCUUAUUCUUCUUGUGCCAAAGCUAAGACUAAUGUGCUUUCCAAGUAUAUUUCUAUCCUUAGUCUUAGAUUGAAAGGGAAAUGGAGUAUUCGGCAAAGGCAAGGCUUCCACUAUGACUCUAUCAGUAUCAUUUAUCCUUUGCUCUCCUAUAAACUUUCAUUCAUAUCCUUUUACAAAAGGGGGAGAGAAUCACAGGCCUCUCAAGUUUCUUCGUUUUUGGCGAUUAAUGCCAAAGGGGGAGAAAUUAAUAGGCCCAAAGCAAAAGAACUGCACCACCACCAUGUUUUUCAAAAAUUGUUUCAAAAAAGGGGAGGAAUUAUUCAAAUUACAAAACCCUCUUGACAGCUAAGGGGAGAACUUCUUUAGGAGGAGCUUUUAUUUAGCCAAAGGAAAAGCAUUUGAAACAGGGAGAAAUUUUCAAAAUCUUGAAAAUGCGUUUUGAAAUCAUAUUCUUACCAUUGGCUAUUUGCAAAAUAAUUUGAAAAAGACGUUUACAAAAGAUUUGCAAAAACUAGCUGAGUGGUGCAAAUGUGGUCCGAAAUGUUAAAAAUAUCAAAUCAAACAUAUAUGCUUAGAAAUGCUUUCAUUUCAAAGUAACUUAUGCACAUCUAUCAAAAUGCAAACUGGUUACAUUUCUACACUUUGUAUUUACUUUGGUUUGUGUUGGCAUCAAACACCAAAAAGGGGGAGAUUGAAAGGGAAAUGGCCUCAACAUUUCCUAUAAUCGAUUUUGGUGUUUGAUGACCAUCACAAACCUUAUGGACUAACUAGUUUGGUCAGUUGAUCAUUUGUCAGGUGGAUAAGUUCAUCUACAACUACUCUAAGUCGACUGUCUGGAAUACACCUAUGUGUGGACCAUCCGGGCCCUUGCGGCAGACCGUCCAUGACACCAGGGUGAGCCUUGGACAGGAACACCGCAAAAACACCAAGUUAGCACUAAGGACCGUUCGAAGGAGAAGCGAGCACCGUCCGAGACCAAGCGCGAACCGUUCGGCCUCAAGCGCGGACCGUCCAGUCGUUGAAAAAACAGAUAAACCCGAAGGUGACGGGUUCAGUAAAAUGCAUUUCUAGCGUCCUCGCGGACCGUCCGGGGUGCACGGCCGGACCGUCCGUGACUGCUUUAUCUGACAUCUGAUGACGCAUUAAAUGCACUAUAGAUGUUGAUAUAGCCGUUACUGCUGACCGUUGCGAUUUCAGCCAUUGAUGUGAAGGGGCGGACCGUCCGGACUAGGGGCGCGGACCCUCCACGUUCGACAGAAAAGGAGCAACAGCUAGGAAGUGGUUGGAGGCUAUAAAUACAACCCCAACCACCUCCAUUCACCACAAGCAAGCACUCCACUCGUACACAUUCAAUACAACAGCUAGCAAACCAUUCCAAGACACUUUCAAAGCUUCUAAUCUCUCCAAGUUCCAUAAUUGAGACAAGUGGUCAUUAGUGAUUAGUGACUUGAGAGAGUGUGAUUCGUGUUUCAUUCGUUGAUCUUGUUGCUUGGUUUUCUUAAUCGUGCUUUCUUCAUCUCUCUCUAAACUAUCUAAGUGUUUUAUAAAGUUUGUAAGAGACACCUAAUUGUGUGGUGAUCCUUGCGGGGUGUUAGUGACCCGUGAGAUUGAGAAAAAGCACUCGACCGGUCUAAGUGACCGAUUGAGGGAGGGAAAGGGUUGAAAUAGACCCGGCCUUUGUGGCCUCCUCAACGGGGAGUAGGUUCUUUGAAACUGAACCUCGGGAAACAAAUUGUCGUGUCCACUUGUAUUAAUCUUCACCAUUCGAUUUGUUUCUCCCCUCCCCUCUCUCUAAAGUUCUCUUGCUCACAUCAUUUUGAGUUUGCUCCCAUAGUUAGUCGCUUCAAACUUGUUGAUGGAGCCCCGGCCCAUUAUGGUGUUGUAUGGGUAUACCAUGUCGAUGAUGUCGAAAGAGACUUGCUCACUUCGUGCAUUGGGUGCUACACCAAAUGAUAGGGGUAGCUCUAUCUUGCCGAUGGGGAAGGUGCCCUUGCUGCUGAAGCCAUAUAGGGGGUUGUCCGAAGGUUUGAGUAAGCUGUGGCUUAUGCCCAUGCGAUCGAAGGCGUGCAGGAAGAUGAUAUCAGCUUGACUGCCGUUGUCGACCAGGACUUUAUGUAGGUCCCAGCAUGCUACAGUGUAGUUGAUCACCAUGGCGUCGACGUGAGGGGCGCUGCGCAAAUCAACGUCUCUGGCGUCGAAGGUGAGUGGUACAUGAGACCACCUUGUUUGUACCACUGGGCAGUGAGGGCAAUGUGGUUCACACUUCGGUAGUGGUCCCUUUUCUGCCGCUUCGUUUUGAAGUCCACGCUGGACCCUCCGGUGAUCAUGUGGAUGACUCCGCGAUAUGGUUGUUUGGCGAAGUCUUCCUGCUUGGGUGCUUGGGGGUGGUUAUAGUGUUGUGGAUUUGGGUGAUGCGAAGGCGAUGGUGGUAGAACCUGCACUUCUUGACGGUGCUGGUACGCGUGGUUGGGUGGAUGCUGGACUUGCUCAUUGUUGUAGGGUUGUUGGUGGUGGUGGUAUGUGUGCGCGACGACCCUCUGGUUGUCGGUUGGCUGUGCUCUGGACAUUCUGUCCCUAGUGGCCUUUGUUUCUGGACAAUCCCUUGUUGGGUGCGCGCAGUCCUUGCCAUGAAACAGACAGUAGAAUCUGCGUGACUGUUGCGUCCGUCCUUGGCCUCUCCCUCUGGUGCCAUUGUCGCGGCCUUGGGGAGGGUAUUCCUGACGGCGAGUAGUUUCUCUGGCUGGGUGCUGAUUGGCUAUAUUGUGCACCUGUUAGUGACUGCGGCUAUCCCGUCUAGAGUCUGGCUGCGAAGGCCUAGUCCAGGUUCUGCUGGACUGCUGAGGGUCCUUAGGCUUCCUCUGAGAUUCAGCCUUUUGUUGACGCAGCUCUUUGGACCUGGCAUACUUCUCGAAUAGUUGAUAUAGCUCUUGUAGAUUUUUGGGUGGGUCCCUGAUGUAGUGACUGUAUAGGACGCCAGCCCGAAGGCCACUGAUGGCGUAAUGGAUCGCGAUGUGGUCGUCGACUAAUGGCAGUUGUGGCUUGAGCGUCAGGAAUUUUUUGUAGUACUCGCGAAGGGUUUCCUUCUCUUGCUGCUUGUAGAGGGAUAACUCGGCUAGGGCAUCGGUGUCAGGUCGGUACCCUUGAAAGUUGAGUAGGAACUUAUCGCGGAGUCCUUUCCAGGAGUCAAUGGACAGUGGCGGUAACCUGGUGUACCAAGUCAAGGUCGGGCCUUCGAGCGCGAUGAUGAAAGAUUUGGCCAUUGUGGCGUCGUCCCCUCCAAACGAUGCGACGGCAACCUGGUAGCUCAUGAUGUAUUGAGCCGGAUCAGUACUGCCGUUGUAUUUGGGGUAGGUGCCAGCCCUAAAGUUGGCGGGCCAAGGCGAUGCUUGGAGUUGCGGAGCCAAGGGGCUUCGCUCAUCGAGGUAGUUGAUCCCUUGGAAAGUUGUGGCGUGCGGAAUGAAGGGGCCACACUGUGGUAUGAAUAGAUCUCCGGCUUGGAUGCACUUCUGGAGGGGUAGUCCAUGCUGCAGAUUGUACUGGCCCUCGUCCUGCAUGAGCGCGAUUUCUUGCUCUAGCUCCCGAGCUCUCUGCUCCUCGUCUUGUAUCAUAUGGCGCACCUUGGCCUGCACGGUGACACGUUAGUGCUUGGCCUCGAGGAUUUCUUUCUACUUUUGGAGGUUGUGGUUCUUGAUGUGCAGGGCCCGUAGCUGUAGCUGUUCUUCGACUAAGAUGUCGAUAACUUCACCAUCUUCUAUUGCGUCUUUGCCCUCUGAUGGAGGGAAGCCUGGUGGUGGUGCUUGCAGUACGCCUCCGGAGCUGUAGGUGCGUAGGGUGCCUUCGGGGGUGGGAUGGUCUUGGCGCUGUCUUUUGCUGACAGCUUCAUCUUCGAAGGCCUCUUAGGGGGUGUUGUCCGCGAGGGCCUUGCCUUUUUUCUCCGCCAGUAGCGCUGCCUUCGCUGCUUCGUCGAUGGAUGGGGCUGCCUUCGAACUAGCUCGCUUGGAGGCUAUCACGGGUUAUUUUUCGUAGCACGAACGGUGGGCGCCAAAUGUUGGCACUUGCUCUCCUGGGCAAGUUGAUCCAACAUGAAAGUGGAAAGAGUAUUUGCAAAGUUUGUCGUGGGAUGGCAAAAGCUUUGUUAAUCUCCCCCUGUAAGGGCACUGUAUGUGGGUAUUUAUAGGCACUCGAGUGGCCACUCGUCCCUUGUCAAAGACGUUUAUGCCCUCGAUUACCCAGUUUAUCCCCAGAAUAUUCCCAUGAGGGGAGGUUACAGACAGUCAUUACAGUAAAGAUUAUUACAAACGUGGCCCGUAAUGCGCUUAUCCUUGCGGGGCCUGUUACCGUGGGCCGAAUCCCGCAUGGGCCUCCCGGGGCGGUGACGACGUGUGAGACUCGUAGACUUCGACAAAGCCUUCGUCUUGCAACGGAGAGGACGAAGGGGGUCCGCACCGGUCUUCAUCCAAUCGAUGCCUUCGGCUUGUUUCGGGCAUGUUCUGUGGAUGUAGUCUUCGUCGGAGUGAUGAGGCGACGAAGGCAUUGAGCGAAGGGUAGCGUGUUCGCCUUCGCCCCAACAUUCCCUUGCAUUGAUCUUCACUUGAUUUGUUUCCCCUCAUUCUUAUCUCUAAAGUUCCCUUGCUCAUAUUGAUUUGAGUUUGCUCCCAAACAUUAUCCGCAUUGAUUGAGCAACUCUAAGCAAGGAGAACUAUCUUCCGCACUCCAAUUUAAUUCUAACGCUAACCCCGGUCUUAGUGUGUGUUUAAAGUUUGUAAAUUUCAGGUUUCGCCUAUUCACACCCUCUAGGCGACUUUCAAUUGGUAUCAAAGUCAGUGCUUCAUUAAGAGUCUAACAAACUCGAAGUGAUGUCUAGAGAUCACGCCAAGAGGGAGAUUGUCACAAGCGACAAGGCCAUAGGCUCGGGAAAGACUUUGUCAAGGGAGUCCAGGAACAAAUACAAGGAAUAAUCUUCUUCCUCCAUAAAGUCACAUAGGAAGGGUGACAAGAUGAAAAAGAAAAUGAAGAAGGUGAUCUACUACGAGACUGACUCUUCAUCACCUUCCACAUCCGGCGCCGAGUCUACAACUUCGAAGUGCCACGAGCGUAAGAAGUAUAGUAAGAUGCCUCUUCUCUAUCCUCGCAUUCCUAAACGCGCUCCACUACUUUCGGUACCCCUAGGCAAACCACCAUAUUUUGAUGCUGAAGAUUAUUGCAUGUGGAGUGAUAAAAUGAGGCAACAUCUAACCUCACUCCACGAAAGCAUUUGAGAUAUUGUUGAGUUUGGAGCGCAGGCACCACAGGUGGGCGAUGGGACUACGACUCGGAUGAGGCCACCCAAAUUAGGCAUUUUAGUUUCCAAGCAACUUAUAUUCUUCUUGUCUCAAAACGGUGUAUGAAGGGGACGAGGUGACCAAGAUCACCAAGCGCGAGACGAUCGAGGGAGAGCUUGGUCGAUUCAUCCUCAACAAAGGAGAGGAGCCGCAAGCAAUGUACAACCGGCUCAAGACAAUGGUCAAUCAAGUGCGCAACCUCGGGAGCACCAAGUGGGAUGACCAUGAGAUGGUCAAGGUUAUUCUUAGAUCACUUGUUUUUCGUAAUCCUACUCAAGUGCAACUAAUCCAUGGAGACCCUAGAUAUAAACAGAUGUCUCCCGAGGAGGUAAUUGGCAAGUUUGUGAGCUUUGAACUAAUGGUCAAAGAGUCCAAACACAUUGUCAACUUGGAGCAAGGCGCCACCUCUACACCCGAGGUGCAACCCGUUGCAUUCAAGGCAACGAAAGAGAAGAAGGAAGAGUCUACACCAAGUAGACUCCCAAUCGACGCCUCCAAGCUCUACAACGAGGAGAUGGCUCUUAUCAUUAAGAGCUUUCGACAAAUCCUCAAACAAAGGAAGGGGAAGGAGUACAAGCCCCGUUCCAAAAGGGUGUGCUAUAGGUGUGGUAAGUCCGGUCACUUUAUAGCUAAAUGUCCAUAUACAAGUGACAGUGAUAGGGACGACGGUUAGAAGGGGAAGAAAAAGAUGGAGAAGAAAAGAUAUUAUAAGAAGAAGGGUGACGAGGCACAUAUGGGGCGGGAAUGGGACUCCGAUGAGGGCUCCACCAACUCCUCCGACGAGGACGCCGCCAACAUCACCGUCAACAAGGGAUUCCUCUUUCCCAACGUCGGCCACAAGUGCCUAAUGGCUAAGGACGACAAAAAGAAGAAGGUACACUCUAGAGAUACUCCCAAAUACACUAUAUCUGAUGAUGAGGGUAGCUCUAGUGAUAAUGAAGAUGAUUUAACUUCUCUUUUUGCUAACCUUACUAAAGAUCAAAAGAAAAAGAUUAAUGAAUUAAUAGAAUCAAUUAACGAGAAGGAUGAUCUCUUGGAAUGCCAAGAGGACUUGCUCGUUAAGGAAAAUAAAAAAAUUGUUAAACUAAAAAAUGCUUAUGCUCUAGAGGUAAAAAAUGUGAAAAAUUAUCUAAAAAGCUUAACAUUUGCAAUGAUUUAAUUUCCUGUCUUAGAGAUGAGAAUGCCAGUUUAAUUGCUAAGAUUGAAGAAUUGAAUGUUUGCAAACCAUCUACAUCUACUGUCGAGCAUGUUACCAUUUGCACUAGAUGUAGAGAUGUUAAUGUUGAUGCUAUGAAUGAUCAAAUUACUAUGAUUAAAGAACAAAAUGAUCACAUAGCAAAAUUAAAUGCUAAAAUUACUAAGCAUGAGUUAGAGAAUGAAAAAUUUAAAUUUGCUCGAAGCAUGCUCUAUAAUGGGAGACGCCCUGACAUUAAAGAUGGCAUUGGCUUCCAACAAGGGAGCCAAAGCAACAUCAAGCUUAAUGCCCCCAAGAACAAACUCUCUAGUUUUGUUAAGGGUAAGGCUCCCAUGGUUCAAGAUAGAGAGGGUUACAUUUUAUAUCCUGAGAACUAUCCUGAGCACAAAAUUAGGAAAACCCAUGCUAGAAAACCUCAUAAUGUUUCUCAUCAUGCUUUUAUGUAUAAGAAUGAGGCUUCUAGCUCUAGACAUUCAACUAACAUCAAAAUGCCUAAGAAGAAAAUUGCUGGUACAUCAAAUGAGCAUAACAUUUCAUUUAAGACUUUUGAUGCUUCUUAUGUGCCUACUAACAAAACAGGCAAAGUAGUUGCCAAAUAUGUUGGGGGCAAACACAAGAGUCCAAAGACUUGUGUUUGGGUAUCCAAGGUGCUUGUUUCUAAUGUGAAAGGACCCAAGACCGUUUGGGUACCUAAGAAUAAGGCCUAAAUUUGUUUUGUAGGUUUAUGCAUCCGGUGGAUUGAGUUGGAUAAUCGAUAGCGGGUGCAUAAACCAUAUGACAUGAGAGAAAAGGAUGUUCUCCUCAUAUUAGAAAAAUGAUGAUCCCCAAAGAGCUAUCACAUUCGGGGAUGGAAAUCAAGGUUUGGUUAAAGGUUUGGGUAAAAUUGCUAUAUCUUCCGACCACUCCAUUUCCAAUGUUUUCUUGUAGAUUCUUUAGAUUACAAUUUGCUUUCUGUUUCUUAAUUAUGUAAAAUGGGCUACAACUGUUGUCGGGGACCAUAAUUAGGGGUACCCUCAAGACUCCUAAUCUCAGCUGGUAACCCCCAUCAGCACAAAGCUGCAAAGGCCUGAUGGGUGCGAUUAAGUCAAGGCUCGGUCCACUCAAGGGACACGAUCUCGCCUCGCCCGAGCCCAGCCUCGGGCGAGGGCAGCCGACCCCGGAGGAUUUACGUCUCGCCCGAGGACCCCCUCCAGCAACGGACACACCUUCGGCUCGCCCGAGGCCCAGUCUUCGCCAAGAAGCAACCAUGGCCAAGUCGCCACGUCGACCGACCGUAUCGCAGGAGCAUUUAAUGCAAAGGUGGCCUGACACCUUAUCCUAACGCGCGCCCUUCAGUCGACAGAGCCGAAGUGACCGCAGUCACUUCGCCGCUCCACUGACCGGCCUGACAAGAGGACAGCGCCGCCUGCGCCGCUCCGACUGCUGUGCCAAUCGACAGAGUGAGGCUGACAGCAGCCAAGUCCGGCCUCAGGCGCCAUAGGAAACUCCACAUCGCCCGACCCCAGGGCUCGGACUCGGGCUCAUCCCCGGAAGACGACGAACUCCGCAUCGCCUGACCCCAGGGCUCGGACUCGGGCUCAGCCCCGGAAGACGACGAACUCCGCCUCACCCGAUCCCAGGGCUCGGACUCGGCCUCGGCCCCGGAAGACGACGAACUCCGCCUCGCCCGACCCCAGGGCUCGGACUCGGGCUCAGCCCCGGAAGACGACGAACUCCGCCUCGCCCGAUCCCAGGGCUCGGACUCGGGCUCAGCCCCGGAAGACGACGAACUCCGCCUCGCCCGACCCCAGGGCUUGGACUCAGCCGACGGUCUCCGCCUCGCCCGACCCAGGGGCUCGGACUCGACCUCGGCCUCGGAAGACAGACUUGACCUCGACCUCAGAGGAGCCUCCACCUCGCCCAACCCAGGGCUCGGACCGACCACGUCACAGGAGGCGCCAUCAUUACCCUACCCCAAGCUAACUCAGGCUAUGGGGAACAAGACCGGCGUCCCAUCUGGCUCGCCCCGGUAAACAAGUAAUGAUGGCGCCCCGCAUGCUCCAUGACGACGGCAGCUCUCAGCCCCCUUACGGAAGCAAGGAGACGUCAGCAAGGACUCGACAGCCCCGACAGCUGUCCUUCCGCCAGGCUCCAGCGCUCCUCCGAUGGCCACGACACCACACGAACUGGGUGCCAAAACCUCUCCGGCUGCCACGACGGCAUGUACUUAGGGCACUAGCUCUUCUCUGCUAGACACGUUAGCACACUGCUACACCUCCCAUUGUACACCUGGAUCCUCUCCUUACGCCUAUAAAAGGAAGGUCCAGGCCCUCUUACAGAGGGUUGGCCGCGCGGGGAAGGACGGGACAGCGCGCGCACAGGCCUCUCGCUCCCUCCCUCGCGGACGCUUGUAACCCCCUACUGCAAGCGCACCUGACCUGGGCGCGGGACAAACACGAAGGCCGUGGGUUUCCCCUUUUAUGCCUGUCUCUCUCCGGCUUCUUCCCCCCUUCGCGCUCCGUCUCGCGCCGACCCAUCUGGGCUGGGGCACGCGGCGACAAUUUACUCGUCGGUCCAGGGACCCCCCGGGGUCGAAACGCCAACAGCAGGAGCAUUUAAUGCAAAGGUGGCCUGACACCUUAUCCUGACACGCGCCCUUCAGUCGACAGAGCCGAAGUGACCGCAGUCACUUCGCCGCUCCACUGACCGGCCUGACAAGAGGACAGCGCCGCCUGUGCCGCUUCGACUGUUGUGCCACUCGACAGAGUGAGGCUGACAGCAGCCAAGUCCGGCCUCAGGCGCCAUAGGAAACUCCGCAUCGCACGACCCCAGGGCUCGGACUCGGGCUCAGCCCCGGAAGACGACGAACUCCGCAUCGCCCAACCCCAGGGCUCGGACUCGGGCUCAGCCCCAGAAAACGACGAACUCCGCCUCGCCCGAUCCCAGGGCUCGGGCUCGGCCCCAGAAGACGACGAACUCCGCCUCGCCCGACCCUAGGGCUCGGACUCGGGCUCAGCCCCGGAAGACAAUGAACUCCGCCUCGUCCGAUCCUAGGGCUCGGACUCGGGCUCAGCCCCGGAAGACGACGAACUCCGCCUCGCCCGACCCCAGGGCUCGGACUCAGCCUUGGCCUCAGCCGACGGUCUCCGCCUCACCCGACCCAGGGGCUCGGACUCAACAUCGGCCUCGGAAGACAGACUCGACCUCGACCUCGGAGGAGCCUCCACCUCGCCCAACCCAGGGCUCGGACCGACCACGUCACAGGAGGCGCCAUCAUUACCCUACCCCAAGCUAACUCAGGCUACGGGGAACAAGACCGGCGUCCCAUCUGGCUCGCCCCGGUAAACAAGUAAUGAUGGCGCCCCGCAUGCUCCAUGACGACGGCAGCUCUCAGCCCCCUUACGGAAGCAAGGAGACGUCAGCAAGGACUCGACAGCCCCGAUAGCUGUCCUUCCGCUAGGCUCCAGCGCUCCUCCGACGGCCACGACACCACACGAACUGGGUGCCAAAACCUCUCCGGCUGCCACGACGGCAUGUACUUAGGGCACUAGCUCUUCUCUGCUAGACACGUUAGCACACUGCUACACCUCCCAUUGUACACCUGGAUCCUCUCCUUACGCCUAUAAAAGGAAGGUCCAGGGCCCUCUUACAUAGGGUUGGCCGCGCAGGGAAGGACGGGACGGCGCUCGCGUAAGCCUCUCGCUCCCUCCCGCGUUGACGCUUGUAACCCCCUACUGCAAGCGCACCCGACCUAGGCGCGGGACAAACACGAAGGCCGUGGGUUUCCCCUUUUACGCCUGUCUCCCCCCUUCGCGCUCCGUCUCGCGCCGACCCAUCUGGGCUGGGGCACGCGGCGACAAUUUACUCGUCGGUCCAGGGACCCCCCGGGGUCGAAACGCCGAUAGUUGGCGUGCCAGGUAGGGGCCUGUUGCGUGUUGACGAACAGCUUCCCGUCAAGCUCCAGAUGGGUAGUCUCCAGCAACCUUUCCAGCCCGGGACGGUGCUCCGUUUCGGGAGUCUUGAGUUCAUGUCCCUCGACGACAGCUACGACAUGAUACUCCUUCCUCCACCGCGCGACGGCGACAAUGGCGGCCGACAACCCGCUCGCCGACGGCGGAAUCGACGACGUCUUCCCCACGUGGCGGAAGAACGACUUUCGGGUUUGUCCUGUCGCCUCCCCCGCCGACGAAGGGGGAGGCGGGGCAACCAAGGCCAAGCAGGAGGCGGCACCUCGUCGGCUUUCGAGCGAGUCGACGGUGUCGGCGCCCCAACGGGGGACACGACGGGCAUCGACUUCGCGUCUGAGACGAAGACGAGCGCCGUCUCCCCACAACACGCCAACUCCAAGCGGACGGACGACGCCAGCACGCUCGCAAAGGACUUGCUGGGCGUCACCCUCGUACCUGAGACGACGGUGCGGUCUACCCCUGACGUGACUUCGUCACCGCCCGUCGACCAAGAGGUACCGACCGAUUCCCAUCUCGUGCCUUUUGGAUUCAGCCUCGACCCACCAAGCGACUUCGCUUUGGUGGACGCUUUCGUAGAGGCGAGUCCAAACCCUCCGAGGUACGGUAUGCGGUCACCCUGUGACCGGCUGACAGCCGACUCGACCUACGAGCCCUCGGGUUCCGAGGAAGAUGACGAGCCCGACUUCUGUUGGGAUUUCUCUGGACUUGGUAACCCCAGUGCCAUGCGGGACUUCAUGACCGCAUGCGACUACUGCCUUUCCGACUGUUCCGACGGUAGCCGCAGCCUUGGCGACGAGGACUGCGGCCCAAGUCGUGAAUGUUUCCACAUCGAUCUAGGGGGUCCUGGCGAAGGCAACCAUCCUGGUAUACCGGAAAACGGUGAUCCCCCUAGGCCUGCGCCUCGCGUUGACAUCCUUCGGGAGCUAGUCGUGGUCCCAGUCCCUGCGGGGGGUCAGGACGCACAGCUCGAGCAAAUUCGCGAGAUGUUGGCCAGGCUCGACGGGGGGCAGGAACACUUGAGCCAUUCCGCCGGGACAUCGGACAGGAAUGGGCAGGCCAACCUCCGGCCGGAGAAGCGCUUCAUCUACCCUAGGGCAUCCAGCACCGCAUCGCCGAUGACGUCAGGGCAAGGCCGCCACCGACUUCCAGUGGGGUCGGCCAGAACCUGGCUGCAGCGGCAAUACUUCUCCACGUGAUGUCGGAGCCAUCAACCACCGAGGGGCGGCGUAUCCAGGGAGAGCUCAAGAAUCUCCUGGAGGAUGCCGCGGUCCGACGGGCCGAAAGCUCUGCCUCCUGAAGGCAGGGGUACCCCUCGGAACAUCGCGUCGCGACUUUCCGAUUCAUGCGGGAAGCCUCGGUCCACAUCGGGCGCACGCGCAACACAGCGCCUGCGGCCCCGGGUCGCCUCGGCAACAAACACCCUCACCGCAACCGUCGAACCCACCUCGACGAGAGGGUGCGCCGAGGCUACCACCCCAGGCAUGGGGGACGCUACGACAGUGGGGAGGAUCGGAGUCCCUCGCCCGAACCACCCGGUCCGCAGGCUUUCAGCCGGGCCAUACGACGGGCGCUGUUCUCGACCCAGUUCCGAACCCCGACUACUAUCACAAAGUACUCGGGGGAGACGAGGCCGGAACUGUGGCUCGCGGACUACCGGCUGGCCUGCCACCUGGGUGGAACAGACGAUGACAACCUCAUCAUCCGCAACCUCCCCCUGUUCCUCUCCGACACCGCUCGAGCCUGGCUGGGGCACCUGCCUCCGGAGCAGAUCUCCAACUGGGACGACCUGGUCCAAGCCUUCGCCGGCAACUUCCAGGGCACGUACGUGCGCCCUGGGAACUCCUGGGAUCUUCGAAGCUGCCGCCAGCAGCCGGGGGAGUCUCUCCAGGACUACAUCCGGCGAUUCUCGAAGCAGCGCACCGAGCUGCCCAACGUCACCGACUCGGAUGUCAUCGGCGCGUUCCUCGCCGGCACCACCUGCCGCGACCUAGUGAGCAAGCUGGGCCGCAAGACCCCCACCAGGGCGAGCGAGCUGAUGGACAUCGCCACCAAGUUCGCCUCUGGCCAGGAGGCGGUUGAGGCCAUCUUCCGGAAGGACAAGCAGCCCCAGGGCCGCCCACCGGAAGAUGUCCCCGAGGCGUCAACUCAGCGCGGCACCAAGAAGAAAGGCAAGAAGAAGUCGCAAGCAAAACGCGACGCCGCUGACGCGGACCUUGUCGCCGCCGCCGAGUACAAGAACCCUCGGAAACCUCCCGGAGGUGCCAAUCUCUUCGACAAGAUGCUCAAGGAACCGUGCCCCUAUCAUCAGGGGCCCGUCAAGCACACCCUUGAGGAGUGCACCAUGCUUCGGCGCCACUUUCACAAGGCCGGGCCACCUGCGGAAGGUGGCAGGGCCCGCGACGAUGAUAAGGAGGAUCACAAGGCAGGAGAGUUCCCCGAGGUCCACGACUGCUUCAUGAUCUAUGGUGGGCAAGUGGCGAACGCUUCGGCUCGGCACCGCAAGCAAGAGCGUCAGGAGGUCUGCUCGGUAAAGGUGGCGGUGCCAGUCUACCUAGACUGGUCCGACAAGCCCAUCACCUUCGACCAGGGCGACCAUCCCGACCGCGUGCCGAGCCCGGGGAAAUACCCGCUCGUUGUCGACCCCGUCAUCGGCAACGUCAGGCUCACCAAGGUCCUCAUGGACGAAGGCAGCAGCCUCAACAUCAUCUACGCCGAGACCCUCAAGCUCCUGCGGAUCGAUCUGUCCUCGGUCCGGGCAGGCGCUGUGCCUUUUCACGGGAUCAUCCCCGGGAAGCGCGUCCAGCCCCUCGGACAACUCGAUCUACCCGUCUGCUUUGGACACCCUCCAACUUCCGAAGGGAGACCCUCACGUUCGAGGUGGUCGGGUUUCGAGGAACCUACCAUGCAGUGCUGGGGAGGCCAUGCUACGCCAAGUUCAUGGCCGUCCCCAACUACACCUACCUCAAGCUCAAGAUGUCGGGCCCCAACGGGGUCAUCAUCGUCGGCCCCACGUACCGACACGCGUACGAAUGCGACGUGGAGUGCGUGGAGUACGUCGAGGCCCUCGCCGAAUCCGAGGCCCUCAUCGCCGACCUGGAGAGCCUCUCCAAGGAGGCGUCAGACAUGAAGCGCCACGCCGGCAACUUCGAGCCAGCGGAGACGGUUAAGUCCGUCCCUCUCGACACCAGCAACGACGCCUCCAAGUUGAUCCGGAUCGGCUCCGAACUUGACCCCAAAUAGGAAGCAGUGCUCGUCGACUUUCUCCGCGCAAACACCAACGUUUUCGCGUGGAGUCCCUCGGACAUGCCCGGCAUACCGAGGGAUGUCGCCGAGCACUCGCUGGAUAUCCGAGCUGGAGCCCGACCCGUGAAGCAGUCUCUGCGCCGAUUCGACGAAGAAAAGCGCAGAGCCAUAGGCGAGGAGAUCCACAAGCUAAUGGCGGCAGGGUUCAUCAAAGAGGUAUUCCAUCCCGAGUGGCUUGCCAACCCUGUGCUUGUGAGAAAGAAAGGAGGGAAAUGGCAGAUGUGUGUAGACUACACUGGUCUAAACAAAGCAUGUCCGAAAGUUCCCUACCCUCUGCCUCGCAUCGAUCAAAUCGUGGAUUCCACUGCUGGGUGCGAAACCCUGUCUUUCCUCGAUGCCUACUCAGGGUAUCACCAAAUUAGGAUGAAAGAGUCCGACCAGCUCGCGACUUCUUUCAUCACACCUUUCGGCAUGUACUGCUAUGUUACCAUGCCGUUUGGUUUGAGGAAUGCGGGUGCGACAUACCAAAGGUGCAUGAACCACGUGUUCGGCGAACACAUUAGUCGAACGAUCGAGGCUUACGUCGAUGACAUCAUAGUCAAGACGAGGAAAGCCUCUGACCUCCUUUCCGACCUUGAAGUGACAUUCUGAUGUCUCAAGGCGAAAGGCGUAAAACUCAAUCCUGAGAAGUGCGUCUUCGGGGUCCCCCGAGGCAUGCUCUUGGGGUUCAUCGUCUCCGAGCGGGGCAUCGAGGCCAACCCAGAGAAAAUCACGGCCAUCACCAACAUGGGGCCCAUCAAGGACUUGAAAGGCGUACAGAGGGUCACGGGAUGCCUUGCGGCUCUUAGCCGUUUCAUCUCACGCCUCAGCGAAAGAGGCCUGCCUCUGUACCGCCUCUUAAGGAAGGCCGAGUGCUUCACUUGGAUCCCUGAGGCCGAGGAAGCCCUCGGGAACCUGAAGGCGCUCCUCACGAACGCGCCCAUCUUGGUGCCCCCCGCGGCCGAAGAAGCCCUCUUGAUCUACGCCACCGCUACCACUCAGGUGGUCAGCGCCGCGAUCGUGGUUGAGAGACGAGAAGAGGGACAUGCAUUGCCCGUCCAGAGGCCAGUCUACUUCGUCAGUGAGGUACUGUCCGAGACCAAGAUCCGCUACCCACAAAUUCAGAAGUUGUUGUACGCGGUGAUCCUGACGCGGCGGAAGUUGCGACACUACUUCGAGUCUCAUCCGGUGACUGUGGUGUCAUCUUUCCCCCUGGGGGAGAUCAUCCAGUGCCGAGAGGCCUCGAGUAGGAUUGCAAAGUGGGCGGUGGAAAUCAUGGGCGAGACAAUCUCGUUCGCCCCUCGUAAGGCCAUCAAGUCCCAAGUCUUGGCGGACUUUGUGGCUGAAUGGGUCGAUACCCAGCUCCCAACAGCUCCGAUCCAACCGGAACUCUGGACCAUGUCUUUCGAUGGGUCGCUGAUGAAGACAGGGGCAGGCGCGGGCCUGCUCUUCAUCUCGCCCCUCCGGAAGCACCUACGCUACGUGCUACGCCUCCACUUCCCGGCGUCCAACAAUGUGGCCGAGUACGAGGCUCUAGUCAACGGGUUGCGCAUCGCCAUCGAGCUAGGGGUCCGACGCCUCGACGCUCGCGGUGACUCGCAGCUCAUCAUUGACCAAGUCAUGAAGAACUCCCACUGCCGCGACCCGAAGAUGGAAGCCUACUGCGAUGAGGUUCGGCGCCUGGAGGACAAGUUCUACGGGCUCGAGCUCAACCACAUCGGCCGACGCUACAAUGAGACUGCAAACGAGCUGGCUAAGAUAGCCUCGGGGCGAACAAUGGUUCCCCCGGACGUCUUCUCCCGAGACCUGCAUCAACCCUCCGUCAAGACCGACGACACGCCCGAGCCCGAGAAGGCCUCGGCCCAGCCCGAGGCACCCUCGGCCCCGAAGGUGAGGCACUGCGCGUCGAGGAGGAGUGGAGCGGGGUCACGCCUAAUCGAAACUGGCAGACCCCAUACCUGCAAUAUCUCCACCGAGGAGAGCUACCCCUUGACCGAGCCAAAGCUUGGCGGUUGGCGCGGCGCGCCAAGUCGUUCGUCUUGCUGGGGGACGGGAAGGAGCUCUACCACCGCAGCCCCUCAGGCAUCCUCCAGCGAUGCAUAUCCAUCGCCGAAGGCCAGGAGCUCUUACAAGAAAUAUACUCGGGGGCUUGCGGGCAUCACGCGGCGCCCCGAGCCCUUGUUGGAAACGCCUUCCGACAAGGUUUCUACUAGCCGACCACGGUGGCCGACGCCACUAGAAUUGUCUGCACCUGCCAGGGGUGUCAAUUCUACGCAAGGCAGACCCACCUGCCCGCUCAGGCUCUGCAGACCAUACCCAUCACCUGGUCGUUUGCUGUGUGGGGUCUGGACCUCGUCGGCCCCUUGCAGAAGGCACCCGGGGGCUACACGCACCUACUGGUCGCCAUCGACAAAUUCUCCAAGUGGAUCGAGGUCCGACCCCUAAACAGCAUCAGGUCCGAACAGGCGGUGGCGUUCUUCACCAACAUCAUCCAUCGCUUUGGGUCCCGAACUCCAUCAUCACCGACAACGGCACCCAGUUCACCGGCAGAAAGUUCCUGGACUUCUGCGAGGAUCACCACAUCCGGGUGGACUGGGCCGCCGUGGCUCACCCCAUGACGAAUGGGCAAGUAGAGCGUGCCAAUGGCAUGAUCCUGCAAGGACUCAAGCCGCGGAUCUACCACGACCUCAACAAGUUCGGCAAGCGAUGGAUGAAGGAGCUCCCCUCGGUGGUCUGGAGUCUGAGGACAACGCCGAGCCGAGCCACGUGCUUCACACCGUUCUUUCUAGUCUAUGGGGCCGAGGCCAUCUUGCCCACAGACUUAGAAUACGGUUCCCCGAGGACGAGGGCCUACGACGACCAAAGCAAUCAAGCUAACCGAGAAGACUCACUGGACCAGCUGGAAGAGGCUCGGGACAUGGCCCUGCUACACUCGGCGCGGUAUCAGCAGUCCCUGCGACGCUACCACGCCCGAGGGGUUCGGUCCCGAGACCUCUAGGUGGGCAACUUGGUGCUUCGGCUGCGACAAGACGCCCGAGGGCGGCACAAGCUCACGCCUCCCUGGGAAGGGCCGUUCGUCAUCGCCAAAGUUCUGAAGCCUGGGACGUACAAGCUGGCCAACAGUCAAGGCGAGGUCUACAGCAACGCUUGGAACAUCCGACAGCUACGUCGCUUCUACCCUUAAGAUGCUUUCAAGUCGUUCAUACACCUCGUUCACACACGAAGUCUAACCAUCAAGGAAGGGUCAGCCUUGCCUCGGCAAAGCCCGACCCUCCCUCGGGGGCUAGAAGGGGGGAACCCCCUCUGCGUCAAAAUUUUCCUCGGAAAAAGAUCUUUUCUGCCAGAAUGUCUUUCGUGCUUUUCGACUACUUCGAAAGUGGGAUCCUGAAAACGACGGAGUACACGUAAGCAGCCAAGGAUGACCGAGCCGAGGGACUCCCACGCCUCCGGGAUACGGAUACCUCACUCAUCACCUUCUGCGGUAAGUAACUCACGCUCGGAUAGGUGAUUCCGCGGACCGAACAAGUCUUCACGCUCGAAAACUCUUCUGCCGAAACGAUUUUUCGGGCCUUCUCGACUAUAUCGAUGGCAGAACCCUACGGACGAGUAAGAGUACACGUAAGCGGCAAGGCCGACCGAGCCGAGGGACUCCUACGCCUCCGGGAUACGGAUACCUCACUCAUCACCUUCCGUGAAAAGUAACUCUCGCUUGGACAAACAAUUCUGUUACCGACAAAUAAGUCCAGAUACUCGAAACAAGAGGAAAAGAAACGCAGCUUUACAACACGACGACAGUGUGUUUGGGCCUCGGCGGCCGCAGAAAACAUAUGCACACUACAAGAUAAACCGAUCCUGUAGGCUCGGACCUUGACAGUCGAAGGGAGCAGCGGCACCCUUGGCGUCAACUACACCUUCGGCGAAGUCCGACCUAGCCUCGGACGGCGACGCGGUCGGAGGAUCUCCACUCCGAAGGACGACAUCAGCACCGCGCCUGGACCAUCGCCGGUGGGGUCUUAUCCAGGAAUCCGGCUUGAGCAGACAGCUCGGCCGGCCACCUCGAAGCCUCAGCCAGCUGUCCCCCGAGGACAUCAGCCCGGCUCGUGGCCUCGGCAACUCGACUCCGGCGUCGGUCCCGCCAGCGGACGACCCGGCCAGGCUCCGGCCGACGAAGUCUUCUUUUCGAGCCAACUCUGCCUCUGUCCACGCAGACACUGCUACCUCCGGCUUCGGCUCAUCGAAGAGCGGCCGAGGGUUCCUUUAACUAAGCAAGAGAAGCCUCGGGCAGCAAGGCCGACCGAGCCGAGGGACUCCUACGCAUCCGGGAUACGGAUACCUCACUCGUCACCUUCGCACGAGGCAACUCACACUUGGUUAAGCGGUUCAGUUAGCCGAUAGGUGAGUCUUAGUGCUCGAAAUGAGGAAAAAACACGGCUCCAUGCCAAAAUACAUACAUGUUCAGGCCCCGACAGCCACAAUGAACAGACACCGGCACUCAAGGUGCCAUUACAAACGGAACUCCGGUUCCGCCUCCGCAGGUACGAACAACCCCCCACGAUUGGAGGGCCUGCGAAGCAACAGAAGGCCGACGGAUGGCUCGCCGCCGCCCGCUCCAGCAGCGGCGACGACGACUUCUGCUCCGAGCGGCCAAACAGCAGCAGCGAUGACCUCAGGGCGGAUGUUGCUGCCAUAAAGCCCUCGCCCACAUCCCCACUCGAGGGGCGAGGACGAGCAGAAGGCCGUAGAGUUGGAGGUCAGUCCGCGGGCGGCACCGACUAUCUCGUCGGCGGAGAAACCUCUUCCGGCUGCCGCGGCGGAAGGUGGCACCGGGAGCAGCGCUGAAGCCGCCCGGACCGGAGAGCCGGACACGCGGCAGCUGCCAGCGCCACGAACGGCGAACGCCCUUCCCCCCGAUCACUGAGGGAAGGAGCGGGCCGCUGCCCGCGCGGAGACCGACCCCAACUCGGCGCACUCCCCUCCCCAGCACUGAUGAUGAACAUCCUUGAAGCUGAGGGAGGGGCAGAGGCCGCAGCGCGGCUUGCUUCUCCCCACCCAGGAGCUGGUGGUCACCGUCUUGGGUGACCACCGGUGAGGGGAUGCGGUCGGGCUGCCUGAUGAAAAUCCUUGAAGCCGAACGAUGGCUAAAAGGUACCAACUUCCGCGAAGUUGCGUUCCUCCGACACGCUCAUCCGGGGGCUCGGAAGGUGGAAAGACUGCGAGUGUCCCCCAUCCGGGGGCUCGGAAGGUGGAAAGACGCGAUGCAUAAGGGGAGCGCGAAGACAUGGUUGCCUUUCAAGGGGGUCACCCUCCUUUUAAAGGCAACUCUCCCCACUUGCGUCCUCAGCCAUCGCGGGCUAAGUCUUCUCCAAUACGCUCCAAGGUCCUCCCCCUACGACACGGGGGCUGGGUCCCAUGCGUCAUGAAAGCUGGUCAGGGGCAGAAGAAGCCAAACCGCCGCGCGCGCGGUACGCGCAACUGCCCAGCGGUUACGAGCAAUCCUCCACUUUCGCCCAGACCAGCGGGUGAAAGGGCGGACCGCCAUGCAGGCGGCAUGCAACCGCACCAAAGGGGCGCACCUUUUCGACUUUUACGCGUCCAGCAUGGAGGCUCAGGCCCACACGUCAUAUAACCAGCGCGCCGGUUGCUACGUGCAAGAAACUGCACCGCCACUCGCGCCACUAUCGCGCCUCCUCGACUGCGGAACCAGUAUCACGACUCGAGGCAACCCUACGCAUGACCCAACAGUGCCAACCAGGCACAUCGGUCACGAGCCAGUCAACCGCGGGAGAAGGCGCGAUGGUCGAUACGGCCAGAAAUGGGCCGACAGUAAUGGCGGUGGUAGGUGAGCGAAGGCAGCGGUCAAGUCGACAGCCAAGCUCACGUCCCCUCCUGGGACAGCGGGAGAGCCCUCUCCCACGGCGGGAAGACGGCGCACCCGUGUCCCGUUCCUCGAACGACUCGUGCACGCGCAACGGCUGCCCCGCGAACCACUCGUCCCAUCGCAUUAACUUUGCGGCGGGACAGGCGGCACCUUUGGCAGGAGAAGCGAGCGACGCUUCGCCUUCGCCAUAAUGACCGCGUCAAAAAAGGUGCGCCACGUCAUUCGAUUUCGUAUCCUUUUCCUUUUCCUCUUUCUUUCUCUUACAACAGGGACCGGGAAAGGGGAUACCCCGAAAGGGAUCCUCCUCCGCGAAGGAAACGGGCCCCGAGCCCCCCUACUGAUCAGAGGUUCGAAGGGUGGCCCCUCGGAGGGGUUCAACAGCCACCUCAGAGCGCUUGGGCUCCGCGCCCACUACUGGUCAGAGGUUCGAAGGCCGGCCCCUCGGAAGGGUUCAACGGCCGCCUCAGGCCACUCGGGCUCCGCGCCCACUACUGAUCAGGGGUUCGUAGGCUGGCCCUCGAAGGGUUCACAGCUGCCUCAGACGCAGAGCGAGGGAUGACCCUGGGUACGUUCGAUACAUAACCAAGGCUCGAGCUACGCUCCCGAGGUACCCUAGGACAUUUUCGAGACCAGCGGGAACGAUCUUGUAACGGAAUCCCAUCAGAGGGAGGCAUCGAGCCCUCGGACCCCGUCAAAAGGGGACCGGGUCCGGCAAAUCACCCGCAGGUACUUUUGGAGCGCGCCUCCGGGCCUCUAGCCGACCCCUAACAAAUGGGGCACGGGCGUCCACUCGGAUUACCCGUUAGCAGCUCACUGGAGACACCAUGUUCGGCGCCCUCCAAGGGCAACAUGGCGCUCCCCCCCUCCUCCUUGCGGAAAGGCGAUGCAGGGGCGUAUGUAAAAAAGUCGAGUUUGUCCUUGACCGUCCUCUCGCUCUGUGCGGAGGCUCGGGGGCUGCUCUCGCAAAACCCGGCUCCGGCCAAACCGUUGACAGCAUCAACAUACCAGCCCGAGAACUUGGGACCCGACCGUGCACCCGGGCUACGGCCAGCUCGCAUAAGGGAACAACCAGACCGGCCGAAGCAUCGCGAAACGCAUUAAGACCUCGAAAGAGUCAAACCACUCCUCCGAGGCCUCGGGGGCUACACCCGGCGGGUGCGCUCGCGCGCACCCACCGGAACAAAAUGCAACCGAGAAAGGCCGGUCCCCUUGCAAAAAAGUGCGACAAAAGCCUCCAAGCGAGUAUUAACACUCCCUUCGAGGCUCGGGGGCUACUGUCGGGGACCAUAAUUAGGGGUACCCUCAAGACUCCUAAUCUCAGCUGGUAACCCCCAUCAGCACAAAGCUGCAAAGGCCUGAUGGGUGCGAUUAAGUCAAGGCUCGGUCCACUCAAGGGACACGAUCUCACCUCGCCCGAGCCCAGCCUCGGGCGAGGGUAGCCGACCCCGGAGGAUUUACGUCUCGCCCGAGGCCCAGUCUUCGCCAAGAAGCAACCUUGGCCAAGUCGCCACGCCGAUCGACCGUAUCGCAGGAGCAUUUAAUGCAAAGGUGGCCUGACACCUUAUCCUGACGCGCGCCCUUCAGUCGACAGAGCCGAAGUGAUCGCAGUCACUUCGCCGCUCCACUGACCGGCCUGACAAGAGGACAGCGUCGCCUGCGCCGCUCCGACUGCUGUGCCACUCGAUAGAGUGAGGCUGAUAGCAGCCAAGUCCGGCCUCAGGCGCCAUAGGAAACUCCGCAUCACCCGACCCCAGGGCUCGGACUCGGGCUCAGCCCCGGAAGACGACGAACUCCGCAUCGCUCGACCCCAGGGCUCGGACUCGGGCUCAGCCCCGGAAGACGACGAACUCCGCCUCGCCCGAUCCCAGGGCUCGGGCUCGGCCCCGGAAGACGACGAACUCCGCCUCGCCCGACCCUAGGGCUCGGACUCGGGCUCAGCCUCGGAAGACGAUGAACUCCGCCUCGCCCGAUCCCAGGGCUCGGACUCGGGCUCAGCCCCGGAAGACGACGAACUCCGCCUCGCCCGACCCCAGGGCUCGGACUCAGCCUUGGCCUCAGCCGACGGUCUCCGCCUCGCCCGACCCAGGGGCUCGGACUCGACCUCGGCCUCGGAAGACAGACUCGACCUCGACCUCGGAGGAGCCUCCACCUCGCCCAACCCAGGGCUCGGACCAACCACGUCACAGGAGGCACCAUCAUUACCCUACCUCAAGCUAACUCAGGCUACGGGGAACAAGACCGGCGUCCCAUCUGGCUCGCCCCGGUAAACAAGUAAUGAUGGCGCCCCGCAUGCUCCAUGACGACGGCAGCUCUCAGCCCCCUUACGGAAGCAAGAAGACGUCAGCAUGGACUCGACAGCCCCGACAGCUGUCCUUCCGCCAUGCUCCAGCGCUCCUCCGACGGCCACGUGUCACACCCGGUUUUAAGGAACAAAGCCAGGUGCAUCUCAUACAUGCGCCAAGAAGACAACAUAUAUAAUAACAGAGUGUAUAGAGAUAAAUGUCAUAAAACAUCAGAGUACUUAUUACAUAGCGGAAGACUUAUUACAAAAUAAAAGGUAAAAGUAAAACGAACUAAGGAUCGUUGGCGCCAAAUGUCAACUGAGAAACGCCACCUAGAUCAGAUCAAACUCCUCGCCUUGUGGCUCCUCCUGAACCACCUGCUCUUCUCCUGUGGGGGGGUGUGAGACAGCAAGGGUGAGCUCACAUACGUUCGUCGCUCAACAAGUCGUGGGGAAUAAUGUGACAUGAACUCACCAAAGGUGGGAGCUCAUGGAGUGUAAGGCUUAUCAAAGAGAAUAGUUAAAGCUGAGCAUUGCUUUUAAGUAGUUGAUCAAAAUUUUAUUAGCAAUUACUAAGUGUAAGUAAAUAUCAAACCUUAAAUAAAGUAAUAGAACAAAUUAAUAAUAAACCCAUGCAAUGCAAAUGACAAAAUUGAAUUUAAGUUCCAUAAUUUAAACAUCAGAGAGUCCUGAGCUGCUCAUGACCGUGAGCUCGGCUAGUAUACCAGUUUUACACUCUGCAGAGGUUGUACCCUUUACCCACAAGUCAUGCUACCCAUCUGCCAAGGGGUCGCGAAUCCCAUACACCUCUACCUAGGAAGCGCGGCAGGGCAACACUACGAGGCCUUUACAAAGUUCCACUAGCUUCCAAAAACCCGCUACAGUUUAUAGGAAGUUCCAAUGCAGGGUUCCUGGCUGACCGCCAUCGCAGCAAAAUCAACCAGGGACCUCCCUACACUGACCACUCCCCUACUGCCCUUGCCCCUUUCGGGUAAGGUAGUCUUCCACUAGCUUUCCUAAUUAAUCAGCCAAGGGCGUCCCAUUAAACCCUUGUGGUGGCACGUGGUUCUCAAGUUAAGCUCUAUGUUCCAAUUAACAUUAAUGAUCUCAACAUGAACAUAAAUAGAAUAACAAAAAGUAUUGGAACAUAGAGGUAAUAAAUGAUUAUCCCAAAACCAUAUAAAGCAAUAGCAAACUACCCAAGUGACUCAGGGGUAAACAAGGUACUGAGAUAAACAAUCUAGGGUGACCUAUUGGGUCCCAUCAAAAUUAACCUAUGCAUGGAUAAGUGAUAUUAAAGAACAUUGUUGGGUAAAAAGUGGUCAAGGGCACAACUUGCCUUCAAUGAGCUCCUGCUCAGCUACUUCAACCUGCUGCUCACCAGGAUCCUCAGUCACGGGCUCUUCUACUCGCCACAAUACAAACAAGCAUAGUGCAUAUAGAGAAAUUAACAAUACACCAAACUUAUACAUAAAAUACACAGUAAUAAUCUACACAUUAAAAUAAAAUCCUAGGAACAGAAAUCAUAAUUUUUGGAGUUAUAGAAUUUAAGUUAUGAAUUUUCAAAGGUUUUAUGUGUUUAAAAUAGGAUUAAGUGUGAGAUUAAUUUUCUUACUGUUGUCAUGACAAAACAGAGACACUAAGUGCUAAAGAAUAAAGUUACAAAUUUUAGGAACUGGAAUGAAGUAAUUUGGAGUUCAAAUGAAUUUUCUAUGGAAUAAAUAAGUUCUAGGAGUUGUUUUUGUAUUAAAAAUACAUUUUCUAAUUUAUUUAAUCUGAUUUUCCUCUCCCUGGAUUGCGCCUCAAUAAUCAGAAAGGUCAAGGGCUCUAGUGUAAUAAUUCUUGAGACACAGAGAACAACCCAGUGGACCGCGGGUUGAUAGAAAGGUUUUCUAGGGUCUCUUUAGAAAAAUGUACCCGCGAAGGGGUAUGGUUGUAUCUGGGCCGUUAGAUCUAAAGAGUGCGGUCCAGAUUAUAUCGAUCGACGAUGAUUCCCCUAUAACCCCGAGCCGUCCGAUUGAGUUUCGAUGAUCCGGAUUCAAAAUCUCCUAACACGGAUCCGAACCGGAUACUGUUAAUCCAAUGGUUCUGAUUUCCUUCCAGACUUGGUGCGAUCAGGGCCGUAGAUCCGUGCAUCUACCGUCCACGAGUCCUCCUUCCCACGGCGCCCUACACGGCGGCAGCGCCAGCCAGUGCGGCGGCGGCAUGGCCGGCGUAUAGUCCAUCGGCGUUUGCAUGCGCUAACCCAUAAUCUAAGCCUCGCAACGCUAUGAGAAGGACAAUCAGGACAUGCUAGUUAGGUUCUCACCGGUGAUUAGAGUCGCAGGGUGACCGGCAGCGGCACGGGGCGGAUCUGCGGCGGCGGUGAAGGAUUCUGACGACGCUGGUGGCCGAACUCGUGAAACACGGACACGAUUGCCCUCUCCACGGCCUAAGGAAGACCCACGACACCACCGAAGGCGCAGACGACGACUACGUUGAGGAUUCCCCCACAGCGGCACCCCGAGCAUCGCCGUGCUUGAUAUCCCCUGUCGGCAAUAGUUCCUUCGAUUUGGAGUCGCAGCUGAGGGGAUAAGAAGGGGAGAGGGUAGGAGGCCGAGGCAGUGGGGUGGUUGCAACUGCCCCCGAUUGCCGUGGAGGUGGUUCAAUGGCUGCGGCUUCUGUUGACCGGAGAUCUCCACCUGCAGACCCGAUCGGUCGACGAGCACCAUUGGUAAGUGUGCGGACCUACGUGGGCUUAGUCCCAACGGCGAACUCGCAGCGUCCAUUACGGAGCAAGAAGCGGAGCUAGUUGCCGCGGGUUCGGCGGGCGGAAUGGCCCCGGGAUCCGGCCGUGAUAUCCACGCAUGAACGGCGGGUUUCAGUUCAGCGAGGAAGACUCGCGACAUUCGCGAGGUAGCCGACGGCCCGACAAGGCAGCCCCACCGGCCAGUGAGACUGAGCCACGCAAGAAAUGGAGGUGCGACCGAAAUCGCUGAGGGUCAGGUCCACCGGGCAGUGGCAAGGCGCAGAUGUGCCAUUUGGGCUCCUCAGGGCAGCGGAGUUGGGCUGACCGCGCGUAGGGGAAAGUGGAGAGAUGGGCCAGAUUAGAGAGAUUAGGCCCAGUUAGGUUUCUUUUCUUUUUUUUCUUUUCUUCCCAAAGUUUAUGCCUUCAAAUUUUGAAUUUCAAGUGUUAUGGUGAAGUUUACUCAUGAACCAAAAAUGUAGGUUCACAAUCUAUUAUUCUCAAGUACAAUUAUCUAAUUAAACUUAUAUAUAUUUAUAUUUAUAGUACUUUUCUUCUCUUUUCUCAUAUUCCCAAAAUUUCUUUUAGAUAUUACAUUCCACUUUUUUGAACUUUAAUAUAUUUCCUGUCAUAUUAUUUUUAUAUUGUCACCAAAAUGCACAUAAAAGAAGAUGCCAGCAUGAUGCAUAAUUUGUUUGAGUGCCUUUUGUUACUUAUUCAUUUAUAUAAGUGAGGUGUCCACAUGUGAUGGUGAGUAGAAAUAACACACACAUAUAGAUAAAGGAAUUAAUUUCUCCUCAUUUAUUAUAUGUUACAAACUGGGUGUUACAAAUCCUACCCCCCUUAAAAGAAUCUCGUCCUCGAGAUUUAAGAAGAUCUAGGGAAAAGGUGGGGAAAAUCUAUGCGAAGCUCUUCUUCUCUUUCCCAAGUUGCUUCAUCUUCACCGUGGUGACUCCAUUGCACUUUGCAUAUCUUUAUCACCUUAUUUCUCGUAACUCGAGUCAAGGUAUCCAAAAUCUUGAUCGGGUACUCCGUGUAAGUCAAAUCACCCUGAACACUAAGCUCUUCCAUCGGUAACUGUUCCUCAGGGACACGGAGACACUUCUUUAGUUGAGAUACGUGGAACACGUUAUGCACAUCCGAUAGACUAUCCGGUAACUCGAGUUGGUAUGCCAUCUCCCCAAUUCGCCUAAAGAUCAAGAAUGGUCCAAUAUAGCGAGGGGACAAUUUGCCCUUAACUUUGAAUCUCCUCAUUCCGCGAAGUGGUGAUACCUUGGGGUACACACAAUCACCUUCCUCAAAUUCAAGUGGUCUUCUUCUAUUAUCAGCAUAGCUCUUUUGCCUGGUUUGAGCCACUCUCAAAUUCUCUCGGAUUAUACGGACUUGUUCUUCUGCCUCUUGAAUCAGUUCAGGCCCAAAGAAUUGUCUUUCUCCAGUUUGAUCCCAAUACAAAGGAGUCCUGCACUUCCUCCCAUAUAAAGCUUUAAAAGGUGACAUCUUCAGACUGGCCUGAUAGCUAUUAUUAUAAGAGAACUCAGUAUAAGGUAGACUCUUAUCCCAACUUCCUCCAUGCUGAAGGGCACAUGCUCUCAACAUAUCUUCCAAUACUUGAUUUGUCCUUUCAGUCUGUCCAUCAGUCUGAGGGUGAUAAGUUGUACUGAAAUUCAACUUCGUACUCAUGUUCUCAUGAAAGCUUCUCCAAAAUCUUGAGGUAAACUGCGAACCUCGAUCAGACACGAUUUUCUUUGGUACUCCACGUAAACAUACAAUCCGAAUCAUAUAUAACUCUGCUAGCUGAGAACCUUUAUAAGUAGUCUUGACAGGAAUAAAGUGAGCCACUUUAGUCAAUCUAUCCACAAUCACCCAUAUAGCAUCAUAUCCUUUCCGGGUGCGAGGCAAUCCAGUAAUAAAAUCCAUAUCAAUCUCUUCCCACUUCCACUCAGGUAUCUUCAGUGGGUGCAGUAGUCCAACUGGCCUCUGGUGUUCAGCCUUAACUCUUUGACAUACAUCGCACAUAACCACAUGUGUAGCCACAUCUACCUUCAAUCCAUACCACCAAUACUUCCGCUUCAAUUCCUAAUACAUCUUGCUACUUCCAGAAUGAUUAGAAUAAUCUGAGUCAUGGGCCUCCUUUAAAAUAGUCUCUCGAAGGCUUUUAAUAUUAGGAACACACAUCCUGUCCUUGAACCAUAUGGUGCCUUGCUCAUCUUCCGUAAAUUCCGGAACUCGACCUUCAGUAAUCAGAUCCUUGAUCUCUUUUAUUUUAGCAUCACCAAUUUGUCCUUUGCGGAUCUCUUGCUCCAAAGUAGGUUCCACAUCAAUAGUAACUCCUUCAGUAUGAGCAACUAUCCCAGGUUAAGUCUCCUGAAAUCCUCAACAAUCUCAUCGGGUAGCUGGGCAACAACAGCUGAAUGAACAUGCUCCUUUCAACUCAAGGCAUCUGCAACCAAAUUUGCCUUGCCUGGGUGAUAGUGAAUCUCCAAAUCAUAAUCCUUAAUAAGCUCCAACCAGCGGUGUUGCCUAAGGUUGAGAUCCUUCUGAGUGAAUAUAUACUUCAAACUUUAAUGAUCCGUGUACACUUGGCUCUUGGUUCCCAUGAUAUAAUGCACCCAUAUCUUAAGCGCAUGCACAACGGCUGCCAAUUCCAAGUCAUGAGUGGGGUAAUUCAAUCCAUGUUUCCUUAACUGACGAGACGCGUAAGCAAUCACAUGUCCUUCUUGCAUGAGCACACAUCCCAAGCCUUGGCCACAGGCAUCGCAAUAGAUAUCAAAUCCUUUCUGUAGGUCUGGCAUAACCAAUACUGGUGUGACAUCAAUCUCAACUUCAGUUGAUCAAAGCUGUCUUGGCACUUCUCGUCCCACUUAAAUUCUCUUCCUUUCUCCAAAAGCGAAGUCAUAGGUUUGGCAAUCUUAGGAAAUCCUUCAAUAAAUCUCCGAUAGUAUCCUGCAAGUCCCAAAAAAACUCUUGACCUCAGUAACUGUAGUGGGUAUGCUCCACGCCACUAUCUCCAUGACUUUAGCAGGAUCCACUGAAAUUCCUCCAUUAGAAAUAAUAUGACCAAGAAAUGGCACCUCGCCAAUCCAAAACUCGCACUUGCUGAACUUGGCAUAUAGCUGGUUAUCUCGUAGCUUCUGUAGCACCAACCUUAGAUGUUGUUCAUGAUCACUUUCACUCUGUGAAUAAAUAAGAAUGUCGUCGAUGAACACCACGACGAAUCUGUCCAAGUACUCCAUAAACACCUUGUUCAUUAAGUUCAUAAAAUACGCUGGUGCAUUGGUUAAUCCAAACGACAUAACAGUAAACUCAUAUAAUCCAUAUCGAGUCGAGAAAGCCGUCUUGGGAAUAUCCGAUGGUCUAAUCCUCAUCUGAUGGUAUCCCGAUCGGAGAUCAAUCUUCGAAAAUACUCUUGCACCUCUCAUCUGAUCAAAUAGAUCCUCAAUACGGGGCAACGGAUACUUGUUCUUCACUGUAACAUCAUUAAGGGUCCUAUAAUCCACAUACAUCCCUUGCGAUCCAUCUUUCUUCUGUUCAAAUAGAACUGGCGCUCCCUAAGGUGAAGAAUUCGAACGAAUGUACCCAACCUCUUGUAAUUCCGUUAACUGCUUCUUCAGUCCCUUUAACUCUUCUUCAGACAUCCUGUAUGGCCGUUUGAAAGUAGGGGCAGUUCUAGGUAAGAGAUCAAUAACAAACUCAACUUCCCUAUCUGGUGACAUCCCUGGUAACUCCUCUGAAAGACAUCCGGAAAAUCUCUAUCCACACGGAUGUUGUCACCAUCAAACCCCUCAGGUAUGAAGAACAUCGCACGUUUGGAUGAGGUGGUUACUGCAAUUAGAACUUGAAAUCUUUCUCCUUUAAGGCUUGUGAGUUCUAUGGUUCCUUUAGCAUAGUGUAUAAACUGCCUUUGCCUUUCUUAACCAUGAAAUACCAAGGAUCACGCCUAUAGUGCUCUCUUCUAACACUAUAGGGGUAGCCCAUCUGGGUUAGAAAUAUAGGGUAAGAAAGGAAGAAUUGUAGAUAAGGCGAGCAAUUACGAGGAAUGUUACUGCGGGGGAUUUAUUAGCUAAGUAUAUUAGUGUGUUAUCCACUAAAGCUAAUACAUUACCUUAUGAUGGUACAUGCUAAGAUGCCCGUCUGUAAUGUUUCAAUCAAUCAAAGAAGCAAAUCAAGCAUUUUCUCAUCAGAACAAUCAACCAACAUUUUUUAUAAAGAAAUUUUUUUGUCUUAGGUGUCCUAUCUCUUAAGAAGGUCAUAAAUGUAGGAUUCCAAGGUGUGAAAUCCAUCUUGUCUUAGAGUUGAAAAGAUAAGAGUAAUCAGAGUAUGACAGCAAAAGGUGAGAUAGGAUCAAGAUAAGGUAAGUAUAGAAUGAAUCAGAGUAAGGUAAGUAGAUAAGGGUUGUCCAUUUCUAUCUAGGUUUCGUCCUAUAGUCAACAUUUCCUCUGAUACCACUUCUGUCACACCCGGUUUUAAGGAACAAAGCCAGGUGCAUCUCAUACAUGCGCCAAGAAGACAACAUAUAUAAUAACAGAGUGUAUAGAGAUAAAUGUCAUAAAACAUCAGAGUACUUAUUACAUAGCGGAAGACUUAUUACAAAAUAAAAGGUAAAAGUAAAACGAACUAAGGAUCGUUGGCGCCAAAUGUCAACUGAGAAACGCCACCUAGAUCAGAUCAAACUCCUCGCCUUGUGGCUCCUCCUGAACCACCUGCUCUUCUCCUGUGAGGGGGUGUGAGACAGCAAGGGUGAGCUCACAUACGUUCGUCGCUCAACAAGUCGUGGGGAAUAAUGUGACAUGAACUCACCAAAGGUGGGAGCUCAUGGAGUGUAAGGCUUAUCAAAGAGAAUAGUUAAAGCUGAGCAUUGCUUUUAAGUAGUUGAUCAAAAUUUUAUUAGCAAUUACUAAGUGUAAGUAAAUACCAAACCUUAAAUAAAGUAAUAGAACAAAUUAAUAAUAAACCCAUGCAAUGCAAAUGACAAAAUUGAAUUUAAGUUCCAUAAUUUAAACAUCAGAGAGUCCUGAGCUGCUCAUGACCGUGAGCUCGGCUAGUAUACCAGUUUUACACUCUGCAGAGGUUGUACCCUUUACCCACAAGUCAUGCUACCCAUCUGCCAAGGGGUCGCGAAUCCCAUACACCUCUACCUAGGAAGCGCGGCAGGGCAACACUACGAGGCCUUUACAAAGUUCCACUAGCUUCCAAAAACCCGCUACAGUUUAUAGGAAGUUCCAAUGCAGGGUUCCUGGCUGACCGCCAUCGCAGCAAAAUCAACCAGGGACCUCCCUACACUGACCACUCCCCUACUGCCCUUGCCCCUUUCGGGUAAGGUAGUCUUCCACUAGCUUUCCUAAUUAAUCAGCCAAGGGCGUCCCAUUAAACCCUUGUGGUGGCACGUGGUUCUCAAGUUAAGCUCUAUGUUCCAAUUAACAUUAAUGAUCUCAACAUGAACAUAAAUAGAAUAACAAAAAGUAUUGGAACAUAGAGGUAAUAAAUGAUUAUCCCAAAACCAUAUAAAGCAAUAGCAAACUACCCAAGUGAUUCAGGGGUAAACAAGGUACUGAGAUAAACAAUCUAGGGUGACCUAUUGGGUCCCAUCAAAAUUAACCUAUGCAUGGAUAAGUGAUAUUAAAGAACAUUGUUGGGUAAAAAGUGGUCAAGGGCACAACUUGCCUUCAAUGAGCUCCUGCUCAGCUACUUCAACCUGCUGCUCACCAGGAUCCUCGGUCACGGGCUCUUCUACUCGCCACAAUACAAACAAGCACAGUGCAUAUAGAGAAAUUAACAAUACACCAAACUUAUACAUAAAAUACACAGUAAUAAUUUACACAUUAAAAUAAAAUCCUAGGAACAGAAAUCAUAAUUUUUGGAGUUAUAGAAUUUAAGUUAUGAAUUUUCAAAGGUUUUAUGUGUUUAAAAUAGGAUUAAGUGUGAGAUUAAUUUUCUUACUGUUGUCAUGACAAAACAGAGACACUAAGUGCUAAAGAAUAAAGUUACAAAAUUUUAGGAACUGGAAUGAAGUAAUUUGGAGUUCAAAUGAAUUUUCUAUGGAAUAAAUAAGUUCUAGGAGUUGUUUUUGUAUUAAAAAUACAUUUUCUAAUUUAUUUAAUCUGAUUUUCCUCUCCCUGGAUUGCGCCUCAAUAAUCAGAAAGGUCAAGGGCUCUAGUGUAAUAAUUCUUGAGACACAGAGAACAACCCAGUGGACCGCGGGUUGAUAGAAAGGUUUUCUAGGGUCUCUUUAGAAAAAUGUACCCGCGAAGGGGUAUGGUUGUAUCUGGGCCGUUAGAUCUAAAGAGUGCGGUCCAGAUUAUAUCGAUCGACGAUGAUUCCCCUAUAACCCCGAGCCGUCCGAUUGAGUUUCGAUGAUCCGGAUUCAAAAUCUCCUAACACGGAUCCGAACCGGAUACUGUUAAUCCAAUGGUUCUGAUUUCCUUCCAGACUUGGUGCGAUCAGGGCCGUAGAUCCGUGCAUCUACCGUCCACGAGUCCUCCUUCCCACGGCGCCCUACACGGCGGCAGCGCCAGCCAGUGCGGCGGCGGCAUGGCCGGCGUAUAGUCCAUCGGCGUUUGCAUGCGCUAACCCAUAAUCUAAGCCUCGCAACGCUAUGAGAAGGACAAUCAGGACAUGCUAGUUAGGUUCUCACCGGUGAUUAGAGUCGCAGGGUGACCGGCAGCGGCACGGGGCGGAUCUGCGGCGGCGGUGAAGGAUUCUGACGACGCUGGUGGCCGAACUCGUGAAACACGGACACGAUUGCCCUCUCCACGGCUUAAGGAAGACCCACGACACCACCGAAGGCGCAGACGACGACUACGUUGAGGAUUCCCCCACAGCGGCACCCCGAGCAUCGCCGUGCUUGAUAUCCCCUGUCGGCAAUAGUUCCUUCGAUUUGGAGUCGCAGCUGAGGGGAUAAGAAGGGGAGAGGGUAGGAGGCCGAGGCGGUGGGGUGGUUGCAACUGCCCCCGAUUGCCGCGGAGGUGGUUCAAUGGCUGCGGCUUCUGUUGACCAGAGAUCUCCACCUGCAGACCCGAUCGGUCGACGAGCACCAUUGGUAAGUGUGCGGACCUACGUGGGCUUAGUCCCAACGGCGAACUCGCAGCGUCCAUUACGGAGCAAGAAGCGGAGCUAGUUGCCGCGGGUUCGGCGGGCGGAAUGGCCCCGGGAUCCGGCCGUGAUAUCCACGCAUGAACGGCGGGUUUCAGUUCAGCGAGGAAGACUCGCGACAUUCGCGAGGUAGCCGACGGCCCGACAAGGCAGCCCCACCGGCCAGUGAGACUGAGCCACGCAAGAAAUGGAGGUGCGACCGAAAUCGCUGAGGGUCAGGUCCACCGGGCAGUGGCAAGGCGCAGAUGUGCCAUUUGGGCUCCUCAGGGCAGCGGAGUUGGGCUGACCGCGCGUAGGGGAAAGUGGAGAGAUGGGCCAGAUUAGAGAGAUUAGGCCCAGUUAGGUUUCUUUUCUUUUUUUUCUUUUCUUCCCAAAGUUUAUGCCUUCAAAUUUUGAAUUUCAAGUGUUAUGGUGAAGUUUACUCAUGAACCAAAAAUGUAGGUUCACAAUCUAUUAUUCUCAAGUACAAUUAUCUAAUUAAACUUAUAUAUGUUUAUAUUUAUAGUACUUUUCUUCUCUUUUCUCAUAUUCCCAAAAUUUCUUUUAGAUAUUACAUUCCACUUUUUUGAACUUUAAUAUAUUUCCUGUCAUAUUAUUUUUAUAUUGUCACCAAAAUGCACAUAAAAGAAGAUGCCAGCAUGAUGCAUAAUUUGUUUGAGUGCCUUUUGUUACUUAUUCAUUUAUAUAAGUGAGGUGUCCACAUGUGAUGGUGAGUAGAAAUAACACACACAUAUAGAUAAAGGAAUUAAUUUCUCCUCAUUUAUUAUAUGUUACAAACUGGGUGUUACACCACGACACCACAUGAACUGGGUGCCAAAACCUCUCCGGCUGCCACGACGGCAUGUACUUAGGGCACUAGCUCUUCUCUGCUAGACACGUUAGCACACUGCUACACCUCUCAUUGUACACAUGGAUCCUCUCCUUACGCCUAUAAAAGGAAGGUCCAGGGCCCUCUUACAGAGGGUUGGCCGCGCGGGGAAGGACGGGACAGCGCUCGCGUAAGCCUCUCGCUCCCUCCCGCGUGGAUGCUUGUAACCCCCUACUGCAAGCGCACCCGACCUGGGCGCGGGACAAACACGAAGGCCGUGGGUUUCCCCUUUUACGCCUGUCUCCCCCCUUCGCGCUCCGUCUCGCGCCGACCCAUCUGGGCUGGGGCACGCGGCGACAAUUUACUCAUCGGUCCAGGGACCCCCCCGGGGUCGAAACGCCGACAACUGUCUUUUUACUGAUAUUGGUGUUACUGUCUUUAGAAGAAGUGAUGAUUCGGUAGCAUUUAAGGGAGUGUUAAAUGGUCAGCUAUAUUUAGUCGAUUUUAAUGAUAACAAUGCUAAACUAGACACUUGCUUAAUUGCUAAGACUAAUAUGGGUUGGCUCUGGCAUCGUCGACUUGCUCAUGUUGGGAUGAAGAAUCUUCACAAACUUCUAAACAGAGAGCACAUUUUAGGACUAACAAAUGUUCAUUUUGAGAAAGACAGAAUUUGUAGCGCAUGUCAAGCAGGAAAGCAAGCUGAAGUUCAUCAUCCACACAAGAACAUCAUAACGACCCACAGGCCGCUUGAGCUACUCCACAUGGACCUAUUCGGUCCGAGCGCUUAUAUAAGCAUCGGCGGGAGUAAGUAUUGUCUUAUAAUUGUGGAUGAUUAUUCUCGCUUCACUUGGGUAUUCUUUUUGCAGGAAAAAUCUCAAACCCAAGAGACCCUAAAGAGAUUCUUGAGACGAGCUCAAAAUGAGUUCGGAUUGAGAAUCAAAAAGAUUAGAAGCGACAAUCGAAAAGAGUUCAAGAACUCUCAAAUUGAAGGAUUUCUUGAGGAGGAGGGCAUCAAGCAUGAGUUUUCUUCUCCCUACACACCUCAACAAAAUGGUGUAAUGGAGAGGAAGAAUAGAACUCUAUUAGACAUGGCAAGGACCAUGCUUGAUGAAUACAAGACACCCGGAUCGGUUUUGGGUGGAGGCGAUUAACACCACCUGGUACUCCAUCAACUGUUUAUAUCUCCACCGGUGCAGCUACAGUACAAAGGACUCCAACGGUCAACCGCUCCAAACCCCAACAAGUCGCUGACGUGGCACGCACCAGACACUGAACAGUGUCCUGUCCGGUGCACCACCGGACUGUCCGGUGUGCCUAUCGACAGCAAAUUCAGCCAACAGCUAGGUAGUGGUUGGAGGCUAUAAAUACCCCCAGCCACCUCCAUUCAAACCAUCCAAGAAUUAUGAACUUCACAUUCAAUACAAGAGCAAUAGCAUUCACUCCAAGACACAUUCAAUAGACCAAAUCCUCUCCAAGCCUCCAAAUCAACUCAAUUCAUUAGUGACUUGAGAGAGGGUGUUUUGUGUUCUUUUGUUGCUCUUGUUGCUUGGAUUGCUUUCUCCUUUCUUAUUCUCAUUCUCUAAGUGCUUUGUAAAGCUAACAAGAGACACCUAAGUGUGUGGUGAUCCUUACAGGGUCUUAGUGACCCAAUUGAUUAAGGAGAAGCCUCGACCGGUCUGUGUAACCGAUUAAGAGAGGGAAAGGGUUGGAAUAGACCCGGCUUUGUGGCCUCCUCAACGAGGACUAGGUUCUUUGGAACCGAACCUCGGUAAACAAAUCACCGUGUUCACUUGCAUUGAUCUUCACUUGAUUUGUUUCCCCUCAUUCCUCUCUCUAAAGUUCCCUUGCUCAUAUUGAUUUGAGUUUGCUCCCAAACGUUAUCCGCAUUGAUUGAGCAACUCUAAGCAAGGAGAACUAUCUUCCGCACUCCGAUUUAAUUCUAACGCUAACCCCGGCCUUAGUGUGUGUUUAAAGUUUGUAAAUUUCAGGUUUCGCCUAUUCACCCCCUCUAGGCGACUUUCAAUACCUGUGGUAAGGUUGCGUUUGUCCAUACAUGUCAUAGCCAUCCAGGUUUCCCUGAUUGUCCUCUUUAUGGUGGUCGACGUGGGUGGCGAAGAGUCUCAGCACCAUCAAUGCCGUCUGAGAGCACCUAGAGCGGGGGGGGGGGGGUGAAUAUGUGAUCCUGCGAAAACUUAACUAACGAUAAACUUUGUCUAUAGAUGGGGUUAGUGAAAUCUACAACCAAGUUCAAUGGAGAAUAGAAGGAGGAUUUCUUCACUUAAUUGCUCUCGCAAGAUGUGUAUUGAAACUAGAGCAAUAAUGAAAGUGAAUUGGAGAGCUCGGAAAAACAAAAUCACAAUGAAAGAAAGUAGACAAUGAGACACAGCGAUUUAUCCAGUGGUUCCACUGAUGCCUACCUCCACGUUGUGGCGUCCUAUUGGACGAGGGUUGCACUCAAGCCCUCUAAGUGAUCUAGAGACCAAACUUGAGUAUCACGAUUGUCUUCCUUAUACUAUAUUCCCGUUUGUGAGGAAUCUCUACAAGUUGGAGUCUCUCACACCUUACACAGUAUGAUCACAAUCAAGAACAAGAGUAAGGGAGAGAGUAGCAAUACACACAAGAGCACAAAUGCAGCAAAACCACGCACACAAGUGAGAAAAAGAGCGCACGAAUGAAAACCGAUAGAGUUUCAACUCAAAACGUGCUCAAAUCUCUCUUGAAUGAACCAAAACAUGAUCAGAGUCUCAGAGUUUAUUGUAUGCUCUUAUGAUGUUAUGUUGUGUUGCAUGGGGUACCGCUCUAUGGCGUCAAGGGGGUCCUUUUAUAGCCCUAGGGAGCCUAGCAGCCAUUGGUUCUUCAUUAGGGAAGCAAUCUGGCUUCUUUGUCUAUGUGCAUAGGAUUGAACAAUCAAUGAUCUGUUUCCUUCAUCCGCCGAGCCGAUCGUUGUACGCCUUCGAUCGUCUGGCACACCGACUCGCCCGAGGCCAUAGCUCGCCCGAGACCACACCUCACCCGAGGCCACAACUCUCUAGAGGCAUUCACGACUCACCCCGAGGUAGUCACGACUUGCCCGAGGCAGUCACGAUUCGCCCGAGGUCAACUUCGGGCGGGAUACGCAGUUUCGAUUCGCCCCGAAACCAACCAUGACAGGAGACAUAGUUUUGAUUCGCCCGAGACCAAUCUCGGCGAGAGACGCAAUUCCGAUUCGACCGAAGCCAACCUCGGCGGGAGACACGGUUCCGAUUCGCCCGAGAUCGACCUUGGCGGGAGAUGUAGUCACGGUUCGCUCGAGCGCAUCUCCGACUUGUUCGAGCGCAGUCACGACUCGCCCGAGCGCAUCUCCGACUCGUCCGAGCGCAGUCAUGAUUCGCCCGAGCGCGUCUCGGGUGACUGUCCUGUGAGGCCGAGACUGGCCAUACUUAGCCAAAAUUCUUUACUAUAUGUUGGCUCGACUUGAGAAGUUCCCUAAUACUUAGAUGAACAUUGUUAGCACCUAAAACAAAUGACUAAGUGCUAGAAACAUACCUUUAUCUUUUUUAUUCAUAGAGGUUUGCAAUAUGUCCAAUUUCAAGCCCAAAAGUGCUUUCUUAUUUUCCUUAAUCUUUUGGACUUGAUUGUUUCAAUUUGCUUUAUAAACACUUGUGCUCAUGCUCAUAAGAGGAGUUUUAGUUCUGAGUAAUGUGUUGAGCAUUUAAUCACCAAAAUAAUUGGAAAUGGCCCACCCUUUCACCAUCUCUGUGCCGCACCGACCCCUGCCCGUCGUAGCCUAGGUCUCGGCGCGACUCAUCAUGUUGCGGGGCCUGUAGGCGGCCAUGACACUUAGACCUAGGUCAAUAGGUCAUGAAUGGGCCACAGGCCUAGGAGCCCAUAGGUUAUGAGUGGGAAGUGGUCCGACUCACCCUCUGUGGCUCGGCGCUAGGCGCAGCUAAUGCAGCACAUCGGGUUAGUCCUGGUCCGGCAUGGAAUCCACCCGAGUGGCUUCCUCUAGAUCCGCCGACCCCCUUUGUGUCUCUGCCUCGCCCGAUCCUUGGCUCGGUGCCAUGGGUUUUAUACGAGGCGGGUCCUUUUCAGGGUGGACCUUUCCCACGCACUUCUACUGACUAGUGGGCCCCGGGGCCCACGAUGAUCAUUUUCCCGACUGGGUGAUAACGAGUGGGGUUUGGGUCGGGUGGACCAAAAACCUGUUUGCAAUCAUACCUGAGAAGUCUACAUGAAACCGCCUGCUAUCGCACAUGCGGGUGCAAUUCCAAACCCGCAUAUGAACUCAUCGUGUUUCGGGUGGUUUUGAGGUCACCCAUUUGUUUUUUACUUAGAAACAAUAAAUUAGCUAUAAGUAAUUAAGUAACAACAAUAAGUGAGUUAAAUCUACAAAUUUUAAGUCUUCUCAUGUUGAGCAUGAAUAAAACAUUUCAUUAAUUAUUAGCCAAUUUACUUAUUCAAAUAACUGCUAUUGUAUAUUAUUUUUUUAUAAAAUAAAGAAUAAAUUAAAUUUUGGGUGUAUGUGAGUCAUCAUGGGUUAACCCCGUAAAACUUUAGGUCGAUGCGGUGCAACCACGGGUCAAAAUCUUCACCCGUGCACCGGUCGGGUUUCGGAUCUAUAAGUAAAAUUGCUAUCUCACGGUCACGGCCUAGAAGGGUAGAAGCGGUUUUUGCCAUGAUAUCUGUCAAUAAUAGUAUUCAUAAGGGUCGAGAUGAAAAUCUCUCAGAUAAGUUGAAUAGUAUCGAAAACCCUAAUCCGUCUCCCUCCUAUCGCACUCGCGUCUCUUUCCUAUUCGCGCCGCCGCCGCUGCUGCAAGCGCCAGCUCGCCGUCGUCCGAAUAGUACACUCUAACGCCGCCAUGGGGCGUAUGCACAGCCGCGGGUAACCCUCCUGUCCUCUUCCUCGUAGCACUGGUGGUAUUGCUUCUAGUGUGGUGAAUCUGUGUGCUGAUGGCGGCUGCGUGGCUCCGUGACGCAGGAAGGGUAUCUCGUCGUCGGCGCUGCCGUACAAGAGGACGCCUCCUACCUGGCUGAAGACCGCCGCCUCCGACGUGAGAGCCUUCUCCUCUCCUUCGACUCCAUUCCAUUCGGCCGUCGUCUGGUUCGUUAUUGUUGGGAAUGCGGAUUUGGUUCGUUGACGUGUGUUGUCGCCUGGUAGGUGGAGGAGAUGAUCACAAAGGCAGCGAAGAAGGGACAGAUGCCGUCGCAGAUCGGCGUCCUGCUCCGUGACCAGCACGGUAUCCCCCUUGUCAAGAGUGUCACCGGCAGCAAAAUCCUCCGCAUCCUCAAGGCCCAUGGUGAGAAUUACAUUUACAUCCCUAUCGCUCGAUUCACAUGUUGCCAGUGGCGGAGCCUGAUGUACAUGGAGUGUGAGGCUAGCAAAUCUAAAGCUUCAUCAGGAAAAUAUACCAAGAUACUGAAGCAUCCUUUAUAGAAUUGCAAAACUAGGAGGGGCCAUGGCCCUAAUGAAGCUCCACCUCGGCUUGUUGGCAUUUUGUGAUUUGUACUGUAUUCAUGUUUCAUGUGCUCGUGUAGGGCUGGCACCCGAAAUCCCGGAGGACCUGUACUUCCUCAUCAAGAAGGCGGUGGCGAUAAGGAAGCACCUUGAGAGGAACAGGAAGGACAAAGACUCUAAAUUCAGGCUCAUUCUUGUCGAGAGCAGGAUCCACCGCCUUGCCCGCUACUACAAGCGCACAAAGAAGCUUCCACCCACGUGGAAGUAGU
rnacentral:lncRNA from 1 species